rnacentral:lncRNA from 1 species
AUCAUCAUCAGCCACUUCCCUUAUAACGAAAUAUAGAUUACAACACUUAUCAAGAAGGACAAUAAAUUCUUGUACCACCAACAACAUUCUCAAAUACAAAAUCUAUAAAUUUUUCAACGCCAUCAGUAUAUGACUUGGAUAUCUAUUUGGCAAACCAACCCAACACUUGUCCAUGACUAUCUCCUUUUAAUGCGCUAAAAAAAUUAGUUCUUCAUUUCUACUACUAAACAAGAUAUUUUCGUGUGUGCACAGUUUUGCAAUAUAAUAAAAAGAUCAUUUUACAAUUUUAUGGUUAAUUUCAUUAGAAUUUACAUAUAUGAAAGCAAACAAAGCCACAAGAAUCAGAGAAAAAGAUGUGACAAUCAAAGUAUAUAAUCAACGAUAAUUAAUGUAAAAAACAGUUUCCAAUACCUUCUGUAAAGAAAUAUCCUUGCCAAGUGCUGAGAACUUCACUUGGCUAUCAAUUACAGAUAUAUAAAGCCUGUAACCUAGAAACAAAAAAUUAGGUCAGCAAGUCCUGAAACAUUUUUAUAAACCAACAUUGGAGAUAGCACUCCAUUUACAAACAAAAUUACAAGCUCAAAACCAAGGUCAACUCAGCAAAAUCAUCACCAAUUACAUUCAUCCAACUCAGCUCCUACACUACCCUCAAUAUAUCCAACAUUCCCUUCAUAUUUACCAACCGUAAGUAAUCCUACAUAUCCCACUCAAGAAUGCGUAAGUAUUUUCAAUCUCAAGUACCUAAAGUUUUAUUCUACAUUUAUAAAAAUUUCAGCACCAUCUCCCUAUAAUUCUCCAAGCACGCGACAUAGCUAUAUAAGUGUUUAUGCGUUAUGCCAAAACAACACAACACCCAUUCACCUAGUACGUUCCCAGAGAACACGAGGAGCAGCUACUGAAAAACCCAUUUUUACGUGGGAAGAAACUUCAGCUACUAGCUACCAGAGAGAAGUAUGCAUUCCCAAACUGUCCAAGCCCGGACAAUUCAAGAAUUAUUAAUAGACAUAUGAUCCUCACUAUCAUCCAAAUAUGACACUAAUAAAACAUGUGUCUAUUAAUAAUUUCUUAAACAAGUCUAAGCUUUUAAUGCACGUAUCAAAAGUUUAAAAUUGAAUCUGAAAUUUGAAUAACACAUAAAUAUCAUAAAUCUUUUCAAGUUAUUCCUGAUACAAUGUAGGCAUGUAGCAUUAUUUCACAUAUCAUUUCUUAAGCAAAACCAUAAAAAAAUACAAAUGAUAAAUACAUUUUCGUACUGAUGCAGAUUAUGUUUACUGAGCAAUAAGUUUUAAGUCAUUCAUGUUGAAAUACUUCUUCCUAUUCUUUCAACAUAUAACUAGUACGUACACACAAUUAAUAAAUAAAUAAAUAACCUGGUGGUGAAUCUUGCAAAAUCUUCCUUUUUUUUGUGGGGGGGGGGGGGGGGGGGGGGGGGGGGGGGGGGGGGGGGGGGGGGGGGGGGGGGUGGGGGCGCUAUGAAUCUUGCAAAUCCUCGGGAAGCCAUGUUAAGACAAGGCCAGCUUACUAUUAGGGUAUGAAAGAUAAAACCUUUUAUUUCCUUUUCAGAAUAAAAAGGACAUUGACAGUGUUAAAAAAAAUCUAGAGGAUUUCAGGCCUCCAGAUCCUUACAAAUCAAGGAUAUUAAAAAAAAUUACUUAGAGGAGAAAGGUUAUGCUCAUUUGUAUCUUGUUAGAAGAAAUUGAUCCAAAGCCUCAGUUUUAAUUUGCUUCAUACAGCCAAUGACUAGGUGUUUAAAAACCAAUGAAUAUUUUUAUAAGAAAUCAACAAUAUUGUUGAAAGAAAAACCAAAUAAAAAUAAUAAAGCCAAUGAAUAGAUCAAGGCUCUUUAUGGUCUAAUAACUAAUCAAACUAAGUUGUGGGCAAAGGCGAAUAUGUUUGUUUGGUCGAAAAUAAGCUCAACAAAUCACUAAUAAUCACCUAAUCACUAUUCUUUAUGCUAUGCAAUAUAAUGGCCUGGGUAAUGGCGCCAAGGCAGAAAAUAACUAGCUAGCCAGUUAUGAUAGUUGAUUAACUUAACCUACUGGAAAUCCGAAGACCAAAACGAAGAAGCUUUGCCUAGAACUAGAAUAGGAACAUUCAUACCCAAAACUAAUAUACACGAUUAAGAAACUUGAUUAUAUGUAUAUUUCUGUUGGCCACACUGAAAGAGAAUUUUCAAAAGAUGCUAAGGUACACCAAAUCCCACUAUUUCAUACUCAUAAACACAAAAAACCAAGGAAAAAAUUAAUGACUAUAUAAAAUAAAAUCGGUCAUAGGACAUUGAGAUUAGGACAACUUGAUUUGUAUACCGUAAAAUAACUAUAUCUGCAUAGUGAACUAUAUUUCUGUUAGAACUCUGAAGUUUUCUAUUAAAUUUUUUUCUCUGUUAGGUAAACCACUUAACUGAAAUGCUUAAGCCAAUAUUGACAAUCAUAGACAUAAAAGUAUUAAUAGGCUCAUUCAAGUGAAAUGAGCAUUAUUUUACACAUCCUUUAGGAUUUUAAGUCAUUUAGAAGUCAUUCAUGUUAAAAAAAAAAAAAAUUCAUAUACUUUCAAUAUAAUUAGUACAUACACAAUUAAUUAAUUAAAUAAAUCUGUUUCAGCUAGUAUAGGAACUUAAUUAAUCAAAGCUAGUAGUUAUAGCUAGGACUUGAACGAGGCACCUUUCAAAGUUCAAGAAGAGCAUCUGAACAGAAUGAAAGCACUUUGUAGAAAUGAUAAUGAUGCUUUACACAAUAUGAACUUUCAUUUAUUCAAGAACAUAACACUACUCCAAGCUCUUAUUCUACGAGUCAAUCCAGUUUGUAGAUGCACGCCAUUGUAAAAGCUUUUGUAUUAUAAUUUCUGAAAAUAGAACAUAACAUUAUUAAUAUAGAAUCAGCAAUGUAUAUAACUUAUCAGACAAUAUAACAAGCACUUGGUGAGCAUACAAGAUAAACCAAAACAAGUUAUCUAGAAAAUGAAACUAAAACCCAAGCUCCGCUAUUCAUUGUAGAUGCUUUAAACAUAAAAUUAAACUAAAUCUAAUAGCAAAACAUUAGAAUGGAUGUUGGAAUUAAAGCUAAAUUCAAUAGUAAUUCAAAUGAAUCCAUUUGAACUUUGUAAAUUCCGCAGAACAAAAUUAAUUUGAGUGAGCAAACUCACCAAUGGAACAAGAACGCAGGGGCUUCAACUUGUACGAAUAAAAAAAUAUUGCUGGCGGGACAAAAAUUGACAAUAACGGCUACAAUACGAAUUAAAAAAAAUCAAAGUCUAUAAUUACAAGUUAAGUAAGAGAAGAAACUCAUAAUCACAAGCUUACCUCAAAAGAUGAAGGGAGAAUACGAUGAAGAAGAAGAUGCCCGGCGUUUUACGCCGUUCGCUGGCAACCAGUUAUGUUUACGAUGGUGGCCAGUAACACGGACUCCAGCGAAUACUUUUCUAACUGGAAAUAAAUUUAAAAUUCUAAAAUAUUAGUAUACCGAACGGCUCUUCACCGUCACGCAGUUCGUAACAUAUGUGACAGCAGUGUGGCCGUCACAUAAAGGGUAACAAAAGCAACUCGGGGUUACAGAGUUAGAAGUUAGUGAUAUGCGUAAUGGCUGCUUUUGCAUUCACAUUAGGGGUCACAUAUACCCUAUUUUCUUGUAGUACAUGGUAAAUUCUAUUUGAAAAUUGCUCAGUAUUUUAGAUUUGUACGAAAUCAUUUUUGUGUGCUCGUUGGAUAAUAAUAUAUAAUAAAUUAAAAUUUUAGUGUAAUUUUCACAAUAUUGUAUUAGAAAUAUGUCUCGUUGAAAGGUUUUGAAAUCGUUUGAUUGAUCAUAAUUGUUAUUUCGACAGUUGCAAAAGAUGCCAGAGAAAAUUUGAUUAUCUUAAGAAAUGAGUGCAUGAGAUAUGAAAUCAACCAUACCAUAAAAUCAAAUUUUAUCGUUUCAUUCUUCCUGGUUCAAAUUUAUGGAAACAAUAAUCAAAUGCACCCAUGAACUAGUAUAUUCCGACAUAUGUACCAUCAAAUUUUUGCUAUAUCAUACUUAUAUAUGUAUAUUGAAAUUUUAAUAACAACAAUUGGGCCAAGCGUAUGUUGGUACUUGAAGAUUUAUAAGCUCCAUCCUUGAAAAAAUAAGGCUUGAUUGUUCUCAAUCUAAUUCUUUUUGUUUUAAGUUCUUAAUUAAGCUUUCUUGCUUGUUUUCAAGAGCCAGUUUUGUAGUGAUCGAAAAACAUGAUUUGCAUGUAAUGCACUUGGCAUUUAUGCGUCACUUAUUAAUUAGAUUUAAAUUUUAUAAAUUAGUUAAGCUGAUUAAUACUGUGCAUGUGCACUAAAUGAUAAAUACUACAUAAAUUGGUAGGAGUGGGCAAAACCGGGUUCGGGUCGGGUCGGGUUCGGAUCAACCCGAUCGGAUUUCGGGUUGUUCGGGUUUAACAAAAAUUAAUCCGAAUACAACCCGAACUUCCCACCCGACCCGAUCCGAUCCGAUUUAUAUUCGGAUUGGGUCAGGUCGGGUUGUGAAUUCAGGUUGAAAUCGGGUAGGAUCGGGUUGACCAAUUUCCUUGAUUUUGUUACUACCAUUUAAAAACACAUAAUUACAACAAUUAAAUACUAAAUAUUAAUUGUUUAAUUUAACCAUAUGCACCAUCAAUUCAAAUCUUUAAAAAAAAAAGCUUAAAAAAAGCGUGAAAACUCAAGAUUCAAAGUCAAAGGUGAGAAGCUCGGGUUGAAGGAUUGGAGCAGCAGAAGCACCUUGCAGCAGAUUCGCGGCACUUGCAGUAGAUCGGUGGCCGCGGCACUUGUAGCAGCAGACCGACGGACGCGUAGUAGCAUAUUGGCGGCACUUGCAGCAAAUCGGGCAUGGAGACGCGCGGCAAAUCGGCCAUGGAGAUGCGGGUGAGGCUGUGACUUGUGCAACGACCUCCGUUGGCAGCUUGGCGUUGGCCCAACGCCGUUGGGGGUGACUGUGUAUGUGUUUUGUGUAUUGAGAUUGGGGAUUGUGUAAUGAGAUUGGGGAUUGAGGAGAGUUGUGAGUGUUUGUGUAAGUAACCGUGUGUUGUGAAAAUGGGAAUUGUGAUUUGUGUGUGCUGCGUGUGUGUGGCUGUUUGCUUUAGGUUUAGUUUUUUUUUUUUAUAGCAACCCGAUCGGGUUUCGGAUCGGAUCGAACCCAAUCCGAUCAUAACCCGAUCGGGUUUCAUUGUUUUGAUCCGAUCGGGUUUUCUGCACAACCCCAUCCGAUCCGAACCUGAAAUUUUUCGGGUCGGGUCGGGUCGGAUCGGGUAAUUUGCCCACCCCUAUAAAUUGGGACACUAGUAACUAUGCAUCCCAACCAUGUAAUAUUUAUUUGUCACGAAACCAACCACGACAUGAUAUUCUUAAUAUUAUUUAGGAUACCAUUUCAAGCCCCAUGAGGGCUCCUUCCGUUAAAUAAAAAAAAAAGGUAUGAAAUAGGUGUAGAUUUUACUUUAGAUAUUAUUAGUGAGAGUACCUUUGGUGGCAAUGGUCCGAGAUGAUUUGGGAUUUGACCAUUCUACUCUCAUCUUAAUUAUCAAAUGGAAUGUAAGUAUGGAUAAACUCGUCCUGUUUAUAUAUUUGUGAUCAAAAUUAGGACCAAUCUCAAACCCCUCACAAUCAUUUAUAUUAUUGCACCAGUUUAACAAUAAGAUUUACGAAACACAUACGACUGUUUUUAUAACUAAAAGUAUUUUUAAGCUACAAGAUUACCAAAAUGACCCUAAAUCAAACCAAUAAAAAUGUUUUAAAGUAAUAAUAAUAAACCAGAGUAAACGUACAAAAAUUCAUGCAUAAAUUGAUAAUCAACAAAAACAUCCAAAAGUUUAACUCCAAGUUUUCUAUUCAAUUGACAUAACCCUUAAAUUUCAAAAGGUAUAAUCAAUUUUGUGUCUAAUCCUAUAAAAUUAGAAAAUUAAAGAAUAUUAUAUAUUGAUAAUUAAAUAAUAUGCAAUUAAUAAUGUUUAAAAAAAUAAUGUUAAACAUAUUGUCAACUAAAAUAAUUGGGAGAAUUGGAGUUCCAAGAUAAAUUCUUAUCUAGUCCCAAAUCAACAAUUGUGAUUAAUUUCAAUCUUAAACUUUGAAACUCGGACUGCUUUUAAAAUUGGUCCUAAUAAUAUGGACAAAUCCCAUUCUGAUCAAUAUGGAAUCCCAAUCCAUACCUUUGGAUUUCGAUGGUGUUUAGUUGGAGGGAGGAGAGGAAGGAAAUGAAUUCAAAUUCCUUUCACUUUCCUGUUGUUUGGUUUUCACUAAUAAAUGGGAAUUCAAUUUCUAUUGAAAUUUAAUUUUCAUCAAAUUGUGCAUUUUGGAUUCCUCACCGAAGGCUGUAAAAUUCAAAUUCCCUUUCUAUUAGAAAUCGAAUCUUCCAAAAUUGCUCCAAUCAAAUUUUUAUCAAUUAUUUUAAUUAUUAUCAAAUAAUUCUUAUUUAUGAUUUUAUUUUUUCAAUUUAAAUUGUCACUAAGGAGUCGGACUUACUACCACAGAAAAGAAAAAAAAUAAUUUAGUCAGCUGAACUAAUUUUUGUUUUUUUUUUUUUUUAUUAACUUUGAAAUAUUGCAUACAUAACGAGCUGCUAUUGAAAUUAGUGUUAAAAAAAAAAUAGAUGCAAAAGGAGAAACAAGCAUCAUGUGCAGUACCCACUGUGAAAUAUUCACAUUGGAAUAAGUCGUUGGCAGCUGGUCUGUUUGGCCAUUAAUAUUUUGACAUUCAAUGUUCAUUAUGAUCCUAGUAAAUUAAGCCAUAAAAAAUCUAUUGAAAUUACUCACCGUACAAUGAUGGUUGGAGCUGCAUGUAUCAUUUAUUGUUAACAACAAACUUAUGAAAUGCUUUGAAUGUACCUCCGAGGUUGUAUUUACUAUACUAGUUAGGAGAAAUUACGAAGUUAAAUUAUUUGAUAAAUACUUAUUAUAAUUUGAAAAAUAUGUUAAUUUUGUCCUCCACUUUAUGAUAAAAAAUUUAUAAUAUAUAUAAAUCAUUCAUUCUAUAAUCUUGAAUUUUAUUAAAGUUAGAAAAACUAUUACUCUACAUGAUAUAAUAGUGUGAUGUUAUUACACUAUUAUACCAUAUAAAAUAUAUUUACUUUCUUAAAUUUUAAUAAAGUCUAGGUCUUGGAGAGAAGCACUUUAUAUAUAUAUGUAUAUAUGAUUAUUGUCUAGUGACAACAUUCUCAUUUUAACAAAGUGAUGAUAUAUCUAACUAAAAAACGCAUAUUUCAAUACACCAAUAGAUUAAAAAAAAUACAGUUUUUAAUAUGUUAAAAUCUAUAUAUUUUGUAUUAUUAAUAUUUUCACUUUAACAAAGUGGGGUCUCCUCACUAUAGAAGUACUUUAUAAAUAUUCUUUAUAUUUUUGUGAAAAUUAUUAUUUAAAAGUCAUAUUUUCCUAAAAACUAAUAACUUUUAUUUUAUUACUAUGCUGUACUUUUCAAGACAUAACACCUCAAUACCAUGACGUUAAUUAUUGAACUCUGCUGUACAAAGUUGUUGGCUGGUCUAUUUAGCUUAGUCUUUCAAUUAUUUGUCGUUUGAACUGAGAUGAUUCGAAUAAAGCUGUAUAUCAAUAAUUUCCUAGUGAAACUUCGAGAAAAAAUAAAAAUCAUGUCAUACAGUAGCAUUAUUUUUAUUUUCAGCUUGAUUAUGUUUUGAGUUAACUUAUAGAUUAUUUGAAAUAAAAAGAAUAUAAUUUAUUUUUUCUAACUAAAUAUUUUUAAAUAAUUUUGUUAAUUUAAUGAGUAAUUAUACACUUACAAAGUUAUGAUAUAAAAUUAUAUCCCUGAAUCCCAAUCAUAUGACACCAAUUAACUACUGCUAUGUGUUUCUUAGUAUUUAACUUUUUAUACUAUUAUUAAUGAGAUAAUUAUCUUCAACACCAAUAAAUAAAUUUUAUAUUAAUACAUCCUCUGACUUUAUUAUCAAAUGAUUAUAAAUCAUAAUCAAACCAAGCUACCAAAGCCUACUACUAAGAGAUUGAUUAAAGGGUUUUCCAAGAUUUCAAAUUGGAUGAAACUAUGGUGCAACGGUUGCACCGUACUACUCAAUUUUGUCUUUUUCAAUUAAUUACAUCUCAAUACCUAUAUUUUAUAAAAAAGUUGAAUAGACACUAGAAGUUACAAUUUUUUAUAUAUGAGUCCUCUUUUGGGAUAAAAAUGGAUUUUAAAAAAAUUUAACUGUUACUAUUAUUAAUAUUUAUAAAUUUCAUUAUUAUUAUAUUAAUAUUAUUGUUAUUAUUAUUAAAAUUUAUUAUUUUAAUUAUUGUCAUGUAUUAUUAUUACUACCAUAAAUGUCAUCAUUAUUAAUAUUAUUAUUAUCAUUAAAAUUUAUUAUUUUAUUAUUUUAAUUAUUAUGUAUUAUUAUUACUGUCAUUAAUUAUUAUUAUUAUGAAAUUAAUUUAUUUUAUUAUUUUAUUGUUACAAUUACUUUAAUUAAGUCAUUAUUAUUAUUUUAUUAAUUUUAUUACUAUUAUUAAAUAUAUUAACUUUAUUAUUUUAAUCAUGAUUAAUUAUUGUUAUUAUUAUUUUAUUAAUAGUAAUAUUAUUAAAAUUAUUAAUUUUAAUAUUUUAAUUAUUGUCAUGUAUUAUUAUUACUACCAUAAAUGUCAUCAUUAUUAAUAUUAAUAAUAAUAUUAUUAUUAUCAUUAAAAUUUAUUAUUUUAUUAUUUUAAUUAUUAUGUAUUAUUACUAGGGGUGGGCACGGUUCGGUUCGGUUUGGUUCGGUUCGGAUCGAAAUUAAGUAGAACCGAUUUAAAUCGGUUAUUUUAUAAAAAGAACCGAAUAAGAACCGAACUCAAACGGAUCUUUUCGGAUCGGUUCGGUUCGGUUCGGUUUUUUGGUUCUAGGUCUAUUAGGCCUAUUUUAAAAUUUCAAAUUUUUAGCCCAUUGGACCUCAUAAAUGUAAUAAUUGUUUUCAACAAUUAGUUCAUCCUAAUUUCAUUACAAAUAUUAACAAUAAAUACAAAGUAUUCAAAACACAUUUUAUCACUAAUAUCUUAUUAACUACUAAUAAGGUACUCACAAAAUAUGAAAUAUUAAAAUUUCAAAAUACAUAACCAAACUCCAAUACUCCAUCUACAUAAACAUAAUCAUAAUGUUGUAAAGACAAAUAAAAAUAACAACAAUUACAACUUACAACACAAAAUAAAAAGAAAAUUUAGAAACAAACGCCAACAACAUUCUCCCAUCUUCACCCAAAAAAAAAAAUUGCAAACAAAUGCCAACAACAUUCUCCCAUCUUCAUGAAUAUCAACAUCAACUUUAGGCAUUUUCGACUCAAUAUUUGGAUUUAUAAAAAAAAAUUUAACACAUGUCGAUUUGAAUAAAAUAUAAAAUUAAUUCGGUUUUUCGGUUCAGCUAAGUGAACCGAAUACCGAACCGACAUUUCGGUUUUUUUUUACAAAUGAUAUAUUUCGGUUUUUUUUAAAAUAAAAACCGAUCCAAAUUCGAAAAAACCACCGGUUCGGUUCGGUGUUUUUAAGACCACGGUUUUUUUGCCCACCCCUAAUUAUUACUGUCAUUAAUUAUUAUUAUUAUUAUGAAAUUAAUUAAUUUUAUUAUUUUAUUGUUACAAUUACUUUAAUUAAGUCAUUAUUAAUUAUUAAUUUUAUUACUAUUAUUAAAAAUAUAUUGGCUUUAUUAUUUUAAUCAUUAUUAAUUAUUGUUAUUAUUAUUUUAUUAAUAGUAAUAUUAUUAAAAUUAUUUAAUUUUAAUAUUUUAAUUAUUGUCAUGUAUUAUUAUUACUACCAUAAAUGUCAUCAUUAUUAAUAUUAUUAUGAAAUUACUUAUUUUACUCAUUAUUAAUUAUUAUUAUCAUUAAAAUUUAUUAUUUAUUAUUUUAAUUAUUAUGCAUUAUUAUUGCUGUCAUUAAUUAUUAUUAUUAUGAAAUUAAUUAAUUUUAUUAUUUUAAUUGUUACAAUUACUUUAAUUAAGUUAUUAUUAUUUAUUAAUUUUAUUACUAUUAUUAAAAUAUAUUAACUUUAUUAUUAUUAUUAUUAUUAUUAUUAUUAUUAUUAUUAUUAUUAUUAUCAUUAAAAUUUAUUAUUUAUUAUUUUAAUUAUUAUGCAUUAUUAUUGCUGUCAUUAAUUAAUAUUAUUAUUAUUAUAAAAUUAAUUAAUUUUAUUAUUUUAAUUGUUACAAUUAUUUUAAUUAAGUUAUUAUUAUUUAUUAAUUUUAUUACUAUUAUUAAAAUAUAUUAACUUUAUUAUUAUUAUUAUUAUUAUCAUUAAAAUUUAUUAUUUAUUAUUUUAAUUAUUAUGCAUUAUUAUUGCUGUCAUUAAUUAAUAUUAUUAUUAUUAUAAAAUUAAUUAAUUUUAUUAUUUUAAUUGUUACAAUUACUUUAAUUAAGUUAUUUUUAUUUAUUAAUUUUAUUACUAUUAUUAAAAUAUAUUAACUUUAUCAUUUUAAUUAUUAUUAUUAUUUUAUUAAUAGUAAUAUUAUUAAAAUUUAUUAUUCUAAUUAUUAUAUUAUUAUUAAUGUUGUCAACAUCAUCAUCAUCAACAUUAUUAAAGUUUACAUAUUUUUUUGUUUUAAGUAAUAUUAUUGUCAUUAUUAUUAUUUUACCUUAAGUAAAUAUUUAAAAACUUUUAGUUUUUAUGAUUUUGUAACUUACGGUCAGACUGUGAAAUAGUUAGAUAAUCAUUAAUUAUUAUUAUUAUUAACAAUUUAAUAAAAAUAUUAUUAAUUAUUGUUAAUAGAUUAAUUAAUUAUAAUGUUUUUUAUUCUUGUAUUAAUAAUAAAAAUAAUCUAUUUAAAAAAUAUUUAUGAUUAUAAUAAAAUAACAAUUAUAAUUAUAAUUCAUUUAACAAUAAUUAUAUUUUUUAAAUAAUGGAGGUUAUUUGGAAAAUUUAAAAUUAUAGGGGCAAAUUCAUACUCUAGGGUUUUAAUAAAAUAAAAUUGAGUAUAAGGGGUUAAACGAAAUUUUAUAUUUCAAAAAGUUUAUAAUAUUCAUGAAUAAAAUAUAAAUAACAUAGAAUAUGGGGGGUUAUAUAAAAUUUCACAGGCUGACCGUAAGUUACGUUAAAUGUAUAACUUAGGCGGACCUUUAGUGAAAUGCACAAAUGGCACAAGGGACCCCGCCAACCGUUAAGUCACAUCAUUUAUUUAUUUGUGAAUGAAAAAUAAGGUCCUUAUGCUAGUUUGACGAUUAUAAGUUAUCAUCACAAGGUUGUUGGGCGCAUGCAUACUGAGUCACAGCACUGAGAUUCAACUUUUCUGUACAAUAAGAGUUUAUUUGUCUUUUUGUAUUGGGAUAAAAUGGAUCUCCCUCCAACUUUAAGUAAGGCUUAAUAUUCAGGCUGUGCUGUAAUAGAAUUAUUGAGGAGAGUUUCAUUUUUUAUUGUAAAUAUCAGUAGAGCUCUCAUUGUAAUAUAUCAGUCUAUCAAAAAAAAGUUAUCAUCCCAAUAACUUUGGACUUUGAUAUUAAUUUUACUAAUUAUGAAAUUCAUUAUCUAAUAAAAAAAAUAACACAUAACAAUUGGGUCUCAAAUUAGAAUUCUACUAUCGAAAUUCCUAGCAUUAUUCUAAUAUUAAAAAUUCAUCAAAAUAAUAUCUAUUAUCUAAAAAAAUAAAAUAAAAAUCUAAAGCCAUAGAUUUACUUUUCAAUCUUCCUGAUUUGGCUGAUUUCUUUUAAAGCUUUGGUUUCUUUAUAUUUUUAUCGAUCAUUUUAGCGGUGCUGGCAUUUGAUUUUUUUGACUAAGCUACUGUUUAGUUCUAAGUUUUGGCAAUUGCCCGGACUGCUCUGUUUUGUGUAUCUUCGACACAACAAGGCUUAGCAUCUAAAUGUCGGCAGCCACGCAACUUCUUGGAAUCUUCGUGCAAGUGUUGGAUAUCGACUGUUCGAUAAUGAUGGCAGCAUGGGACUGGAGUGUAAUUGACGCAGUGGAAUAAAGAUCACAUGUCUCAAACUUUUGGCGAAGAUAUUGUCAGAUAUUUUAUUGAUUAAGGAUCACAAAUAAUGGAUAUUGGAUGAGAAUCACAUGCUUUACCACAAUCGUAAUGUUACUAAUGUAAGUCAAGCAAUUAUUUUUAAAUAAUGAUAUUAUAAUUAAAAAAUAAAUAAAUAUUUAUAAUAUUUAAAAGAGUAAUUCCGAUUAUUAAUUUUUUUAUAUUACUUAAUUAUUAGCUGACAAAUAAUUAAAAGGUUAUAGAACAGGACUCAGCUACCUUACAACAGUUGCAAGGUACCACCAAAUUUUGACUUUUCUUAAUUUCAGUUUUUUAUCAUUAGAUUUAAUGAAAAGGUGGUUUCAAUGGUAGAGAUUUGUUCAUUUAAAUAUUAACAUUACACUCCUUGAUAUUUAUUAAAGACACAAACAAGUUAAAGAGUUUAAAAUUUUAACACAUAAGUCCGGAUUGUUUACAAUUUAUAUUGUUUAAUUAGUAGUGAGUAUUAAAAAAUAAAUAUUAUUUUUAAUAUUAUAUAUUUUAUUUAAAAGAAUAAAUAAAUAUUAUUUAAUAUUAUUUAUUCCAUUUUAUUUAAUAUUAUUUAGUCAUAUACUUAUUAUUAUAUUUAUUCUUUCAAAAAACUAAAUAACAUUAAAUAAAAUAAAAUAAUCAUUAGGGCGCUUUAAAAAUAAAUAUUAUUUUUAUUUUUGUUUUAUUUAAUCAUUGGCUUAUUAUUAUAUUUAUUAUUUUAAAAAAUAAAUAAUAUUAAGUAAAAUAAAAUAAUCAAUAAUGACUGUUAAAAUUAAUAUUAUUUUUACUUAGUCAUAGGCUUAUAAUUAUAUUUAUUCUUUAAAAACUGAAUAAUAUUAAAAAAUCAAUAGUGUCUUAAAAAUAAUAUCAUUUUAAUAUUAUUUAUUUUAUUUAAGUUAAAUUUUAAUAUUAUUUAUUUUAUUUAAGUUAAAAUUUUAAUAUUAUUUAUUUAAUUUAAAUUUUUUAAUAUUAUUUAUUUUAUUUAAUAUUAUUUAGUCAUAGGCUUAUUAUUAUAUUUAUUCUUUUUUAUAAAGAUAAAUAAUGUUAAAUAAAAUAAAAUUACAUUUUAUAAAAGUUACCAGCGAAAGCAUACAAAAUUAUAAAUAAAUGUAAAAAAAUAAAUAAUAUUAAAUAAAAUAAAAUUACAUUUUAAAAUGUCACUAGCUAAAACAUAUAAACUUAUAAAUAAAAUGUAAAUAAGAAAGAAAGUAAGGUAUUAAAUGAAAUGUAACGUCACAUAAAACAAAAAUAAGUGGCACAUUACAACUGUUGCAAGAUAGCUGGACUCAUAAAACAAUAUUUUUAGGUCAAAUUUUUAUUCUGAUACGACACAACUUGUACUUUCAUUCCUAUGCUAAAAUAUAUCUAACCUACUAAUAGUCAAGAAAUAUAUCUAUUCAACACAUAUUUGUUAGAAAGAUUAUCUACUAAUUAAUCAUUGAGACGAGAUUACGAGCCUCAACAUAAAUUAGGAUAAAAAUUAAUAUAUUGAAAUUCAUAAUUUUUUUUUUCCUUCAGCAGUUUAAAAUGGAGUCGCCCACUAGUACUGAAAUAAUUUUAUCAGAUUCGCUUGAAAGUAGUUUUACAAGCAAGCAGUUUUUCCCUCUUGAUCCCCGUAAUCGUCAGCUCCUACUCUUUGCCUUCAAUUCUCAGUCAAGAAAACCUCUCCUGAUUUUCGUCUUUUGAUCUCAUACACACUUUGCUUCUGUUCAUCGUGGUCGCUGCUCGUGCUAGCCGUUUUCUUAUUUAGCUUUGUUCCCUUUUGCCAUCAGCUCUUCGCAUUUUCAUUGGAUCAAGCAACCCUUUUCUUGAUUCAAUUGUCUGAUCUCAAAAACACUUUGAUUCUCUUCUGUUACGCUGAUUUUCCCUUGUUUUGUACAAAUAUCAUUUCUUUUUUCAACUUUGCCUUGUUUUGCUUCUGCUUGAUUAUCAAUUGCGCGGCCGUUGACCCUGUUCUAUUUCUAUUUCGUUCACUUCCCCAAAAAAUAAAAAAUGGACAUUUUGAAAAGCAUUGUUCCAGGAGUUGUGAACUGCUUGUCUCCUCACGCACAACGCGAAUUUAGUUAUUGGUAUAACUCCGCUGCCAACUUUGAGAAUCUCAAGGCAGAACUCGAUAGGCUCAAGGAUGAAAGAGAAAGCAUUCAGCGCAGAGUUUCUGAGGCUGAAAGAAAAGGUGAAAAGAUUGAAGAGAAGGUUGAGAAAUGGCUGGUUAAUGCGAACAAGAGCAUUGAGGAGGCAGCCAAAUUCAUUCAAGACGAAGAGAAAGCAAAUGAACGAUGUCUCAUGGGGCUGUUUCCAAAUUGGAUUACUCGCUAUCAGCAUGGAAAGAAAGCAGAAACAGAGAAGGAGGCCCUUUUUAAACUCCGAGAAGAAGCUGGGAGAUUUGAUGAUAGAAUUUCCUACCGUACCGUUCCGGAGGAUAUAUGGCUCAAGUCUCACAAAGGCUACGAGGCCUUCGAAUCAAGACUUUCUACUUUGAAGGCCAUACAAAAUGCAUUGAUCGAUGUUGAUGUCAGCAUCAUUGGGGUGUACGGCAUGGGCGGCGUUGGAAAGACGACACUGGUGAAGAAGGUCGCCAGGCAAGCUAUGGAAGACAAGCUCUUUGAUAUGGUGGUCUUUUCAGAGGUUUCGCAAACUCCAGACAUAAAAAAGAUUCAACAGGAAAUUGCCGAGAAGUUGGGCCUGGAGUUGCACGAGGAAGUUGAAUCUAGAAGAGCUAGUAGGCUAUGUGAGCGAUUGAGAAAUGAGAAGAAGAUCCUUGUGAUUCUGGAUAACAUCUGGAAACACCUUGAUUUGGAGACCGUUGGAAUUCCUUUUGGAGAAGAUCAUAAAGGAUGCAAACUACUGCUGACGACAAGAGAUCGUAGUGUCCUCUUGAAAAUGGGAUCUGAAGACAACUUUUUGAUAAACAAUUUAAAUGAAGAAGAAGCCGGGAGAUUGUUUAAGAUGAUGGCCGGUGAUGAUGUUGAAAAUCGUGAGUUGAAAUCUACAGCAAUAGACGUCGCCAGGGCAUGUGGAGGUUUGCCCAUUGCCUUGACUACAGUAGCAAAGGCAUUGAGAGGCAAGAGUCUGCAUGAAUGGAAGAAUUCCUUGCGAGAACUCCGAACGCCUUCAAUGGUAAACUUCGAAGGAGUGUCUGCAGAGACUUAUUCAAGUAUUGAACUGAGUUUCAAGUAUUUAAAAGGUGGGCAACUCAAGGAACUUUUUCAGCUCUGCAGUCUAAUGGGUAACAGUAUCCCUACUUUGAAAUUGCUUAAAUACUCCAUAGGUUUGGGUAUAUUUCAAGGAGUCAAUAAGGUGGAAGAUGCACGAAACAAGUUAUAUGCGUUGGUACAUGAACUUAGAGACUCUUGUUUGUUGCUUGAGGGUGAUAGCAAUAAACUAAUUUCAAUGCAUGAUGUUGUUCGCGAUGUCGCCAGAUCAAUUGCAUGCCGAGACCAACAUGUAUUUGUGGUGGAAAACGAGGAUGUGUGGGAGUUGCCAGAUAAGGAAUCACUAAAAAAAUGCUAUGCAAUCUCUAUAAGAUAUUGUUGCAUUCAUGAGCUUCCCAAUGCAUUGGAAUGUCCACAACUUGAGUUCUUGUGCAUGUCUCCCGAAGAUUCUUCUCUUGAAGUGAGUAUUCCUGAAAAUUUUUUUGUAGGGAUGAGAAAGCUUAAAGUUGUAGAUUUUACUGGAAUGCAGUUAUUUUCAUUGCCUUCUUCAAUUGAUCUCUUAGUAAAACUUAAAACACUUUGUCUUGAUGAAAGCAUUUUGAGAGACAUCGACAUAGCCAUUAUUGGAAAGUUGGAAACUCUAGAAAUCCUCAGCUUCGUGCGGUCUGAUACGGUGCAAUUGCCCAAAGCACUAGGUCAACUGACUAAGCUAAGGCUGUUAGAUUUAACAGACUGUUUCCAUCUAAAAGUUAUUGCUCCAAAUGUCAUAUCAAGCUUAAUCCGAUUAGAAGAAUUGUAUAUGUGUAAUUGCUCCAUUGAAUGGGAGGUUGAAAGAGCCAACAGCAAAAGAAGUAAUGCUAGCCUUGACGAAUUGAUGCAUUUACGUUGGCUAACCACUCUAGAAAUUGAUGUUAAAAAUGAGAGUAUGUUACCAGCAGGCUUUUUGGCCAGAAAGCUCGAAAGGUUCAAAAUAUCUAUUGGAAAUGGGUUAUUCAUGCAUCCCAUGCUUUUUGGACAACAUUGGUUUAAAAGUCAGCUGCACUUUUUGAUCGACAGUAAUCGCAAGAUUUCAAGAGAAUUGGAGCUCAAGCUUGAUUUUAUGGACAUUUGCUCCAUGAAAUUGCAGGGCAUCAAUAACGUUGAAUACUUACGGUUGGACAAGCUGCAAGGCAUCGAGAAUGUUCUUUUCAAUUUGGACACGGAGGGCUUUUCACAAUUGAAGGUCCUCUGCGUCCAAAAUAAUCCUGACUUCUUUUGUAUCGUCGAUUCAAGGGAGAUGGUCGCUUGUGAUGCCUUUCCUCUUUUGGAGUCACUUGCCCUUCACAAUUUGAUCAACAUGGAGAGGAUAUGUGUUGAUCGGCUCAAAGUAGAGUCUUUCAACGAACUCAAAAAUAUAGAAGUAUAUAAUUGUGAUAAGUUGAGUAAUAUCUUUUGGCUCUCUACUUCAAAAUGCCUUCCAAGACUUGAGAGAAUUGCAGUUAUUAAUUGCAGCAAGAUGAAAGAGAUUUUUGCAAUUGGGGAAGAAGUUGAUAAUGCAAUUGAGAAGAUAGAGUUUGUUCAAUUAAGAUCUUUGAGUCUGGGGAAUCUUCCAGAGGUUACAAGUUUUUGCCGCCGUGAGGUGGAGACUCCUUCAGCAUCACCGAACAGACAAGUGUCGCAAGAGGAAUCGACGACUACGUAUUGCUCCAGCGAAAUCACUUUGGAUACUUCAACUCUGCUUUUCAACGAGAAGGUGCGUAGGCUAACAUUUUCUUUAUAUAUAUAUAAUUAAAUCAUUUAAAGAAUUGAAAGAAAAUGGAAAAAGGAUAAAAAGAAUCUCACGCGCUCACUAAUUGAGCUCUUAACAAGUAGUAUGAAUUAGAAUGCAUACUCAGCUGUCAGUUGGAAAUUGAUUCAGACUUGAUUAAUUUGUAAUCAAAGAAGAAAAUUUCAACAAGUGCUUCCCCUAUAGAUAUUGGAUCUAACGAGAAAUUCUUAUUUUUUUAGGUUGCGUUGCCUAACUUGGAGGCUUUGGAGAUAUCUGAAAUUAAUGUCGACAAGAUUUGGCACUACAAUCAAAUUCCGGCGGCCGUGUUUCCUCACUUUCAAAGUUUAACAAGAUUGAUUGUGUGGCGUUGUCACAAAUUAAAAUACAUAUUUUCAGCGUCUAUGAUCGGAAGCCUCAAGCAGCUCCAACACCUAGAUAUACGAGACUGUAAGGAUUUACAGGAGAUCAUUUCUGAAAACAGAGCAGAUCAAGUGAUCCCUUAUUUUGUCUUUCCACAGCUCACCACUCUGAGACUCCAAGAUCUACCAAAACUUAGAUGUUUGUACCCUGGAAUGCAUACUCCGGAAUGGCUUGCGCUUGAAAUGCUUUUUGUGUAUCGCUGUGACAAAUUAAAGAUAUUCGCUGCAGAUUUAUUGCAGAAAAAUGAGAAUGAUCAACUUGGUAUUCCUGUACAACAGCCCCCAUUGCCGUUGGAAAAGGUAUGAAGCCAUUUUCUAGAUUUUUUUUAUCAAUAACUUAUUUUUAACUUUGAAAAAUAUGACAAAGCAAUGAUAAAUUAAUACUCAAUAAAUUGAAAACUUUUAUUAUACAAUAAUCUUUGCUAGUCUAGACUAAGGGAUCAAUGUGGUAGAUUAAUAAUUAUAUGAACUUUUUUAGGUAUAGCAUUUAUAAAAGAAUCCUUAGUCUUUCCUAUAGAAGAACUUACAAAAUAAAUUAGUAAUUUAUUAUCGUGCAAUAAAAUAAUUUCUUUUUUUUCCCUAAUUUCUUUUUUACCUCUAAAAUUAAUAUAUAAAAAAUCAUUUAAUAAAAUUUAUCAAUAAUUCAAUUUGUUUUUGUAAAAUAUAAUAUAAAACAAAUAAUAUAAAGUCACUGCAUGUGAUUGGAUUACUCAAAAUCAUUUGAGAGAACACCAAUUGACCUUGUCAGUUAUUAUGAUUGAUGAUGAUCAGAUCUUACCCAACUUGACGGAACUAUCACUAAGCGGAAAAGACGCGAAGAUGAUUUUGCAGGCCGAUUUCCCACAACACCUUUUUGGCAGUCUUAAACGACUAGUGAUUGCUGAAGAUGACUCAGCUGGUUUUCCAAUCUGGAACGUACUUGAGAGAUUUCACAAUCUCGAAAUACUCACACUGUUUAAUUUUUCAUUCCACGAAGAGGUAUUUUCGAUGGAAGGAUGCUUAGAGAAACAUGUGGGGAAGUUGGCAACGAUAAAAGAAUUAGAGCUGUACCGGCACUAUCAUCUGAAGCAGCUGUGCAAACAAGACUCCAAACUUGGCCCCAUUUUUCAGUAUCUUGAAAUUCUAAAAGUAUAUCAUUGUCAAAGUCUGUUAAUUCUACUGCCAUCAUCAUCGGUAUCUUUUGGGAACCUAACAAAACUUGUAGCUAGCGGUUGCAAGGAAUUGAUGCACUUGGUAACAUCCUCCACAGCAAAAACUCUAGUGCGACUCGUAUCACUUGGUGUAUACGGAUGCAGAGCAAUGACAGAGGUGGUAAUAAAUGACAAAGACGGGGUUGAAAAAGAAGAGAUUGUUUUCCGCAAAUUGAAGACGUUGGAACUGUGUGAUUUAGACAGCCUCACAAGUUUCUGCUCUGCCAAUUACACCUUUGAAUUCCCAUCUUUGCAAGAGUUGGGGGUGAUUUGUUGUCCCAAGAUGAAGAUUUUCACUACAGGAGAAUCAAUCACGCCUCCGGGAGUAUACGUCUGGUAUGGAGAGACAGCGGAUCAACGGUGCUGGGCUAAUAAUGAUCUAAACGCAACCAUACAACAAUUACAUGCUGAGAAGGUACGGAUAUACAUAUUACUCUCUAUCUCCCAUGAUAAAUUUUUAUAAAAUUUGCUUUUUAAAAUACAAUAUAGAUAAGAUAUUUGUUUAAAGUAAAAGUUUAAAUUGAUGAAUAAGAAUUUUAUUUUCAGCUGUUGGCGGUGCCGUCGUCGUUCUCCACCCGGUACUAAUUUCAUAGGCUUCUUAUGACUUGGGAGUUGUGAAUUUUUAGAAGAAAGUCUCAACUGGUAAUUAAUUUUUAUUUCAUUUAUUUGAUCUCAUGGCUUCUUUCGCAAUUUCAUCUGAAUUAUUUAGAAUGGGUCACUCGAUUUACUGUUAAAUUUGGAAUGCCAUUUUAAUGAUUCGUUCAGACUUUUAUGGACAGAUUUUGCAUCAUUGAAUGUCUUUCAGUCUAGUUUAAUUUAAUUUUUUUUUUGGAGAGUUUCCCUUGUUUUCUAAAAUUGUAUAAUUCCUUGCAUACUUUUUAUGAUAAAAUUUCAUUAAAAACCUUCAUAUUUUAUAAUUCCAUGAAAUCGUGCGUACUUUUUUCCUAUCUUUCUUCGCCAAUUAUUUGUUUUCAUCAUUGCUGUUCUGUUAUUUUAGCUUGUGCUCUGUUUGUUCAUUUGGUUUGGUUUGCUUCACACCUAUCUUUCUUUGGAAACUUAGAAGGCAAAGGAAGUACUUAGAAAAUGCUCUUCCCUAUGAACACAUAAUUAAGAACAGCUGAAAAUCAUUCAUCGGAUAAAAAAAUUAAAAAUAAUUAAAAAUAAACAAAAUCUAAUCAGAGCAUUAUGCCUGGAACAAAUCCUUAAGCCAUCAAAGCAAAACUCUUCGCUAUGAAAAACUAUAUUGUGGAAAUAUUGUUUGAAAACGUUGGAUACCAAGAAAGGGACUAAUCUGGUCUAGUUUUAUGAGAAGUGCAGAAGAACAGUAUUUUCUCUGUUGUUCCUAUUAAAAUUCUUUACUCUGUUAUUGUAGAAUGUCUGGAUACUCAUGAAGAUUCAGGUAACUCUUCUUCUGUGCAUCAUUUGAAAUAAGGUCUUUUUUUUUUUUUUUUUUUUUUUUUUUUUUGGGAAUAUCUCCUACUGGGUUUAUAGCUCAUACAAAGAGAUAUUCUCAAAUGAAGCCGGAUACUGGUAGAAACAAGGGAGGAAGUUGGCGCUGAUAAAAUGGUUAAUCCUGUCCAGACUUAAUCAUCUGAAGCAACUCCAAACUGGACUCCAUUUUCAAUAUCUUGAAAUUCUAAGGCUAUAUUAAUGCUUGUAAAAAUCUUUUAAGUCUAUUCCCAUGAUCAUCUGUAACUUUUGGGAAUCUAACAGAACUGGUGGUUUUCCAUUGCAAAGAAUUGUAACAUCCAUCCACUACAGCAGAAAGUCGAGUGCGGCUCGUAUCAAUGAAGGUAACUGGAUGCAGGCCAAUGACAGAGGUGUUUGACAGAGGUGUUAAUAGGUGACGGAGAAGAAGAUGGAGCACCAAAUUUAAUUUCAAAACAAGAGAUUGUUUUCAGCAAAUUGAAGACGUCGAGUCUGUGUGAUUUAGAUAGUCUCACAAGUUUCUGCUUUGCAAAUUACGCUUUCAGAUAAAGAUUCUUGAAACUGUCCUAUUUAGAGCUGACAUUUCCACUAGAUUUAAGAGAAUAUAAAAAAUUCAUUAAUCGUUAGUUUUUAAUUUCAUUAUUCAAUGAAAGUCCUGUCAAAUUAAAUUGCCGCUAUUGAAUCUCUCGCUCCCCUUGCAAAUCUCUAUGUGCAAGUACCUAAAUUUACAAAUUUUACUUCAAAUUAAUGAAUGACAUAAUUUAUUUUCAGCAGUACGAUAUGUUCUGAUCCCAUAGGCUUUUUAAUUUAUUACAUGGUGUUGUCAAAUUUGAAGAACAAGGUCCGAGGUAACAAUCGUUUUCAUUUCAUUUUGUUUGAUCUCUAAGUUUAUUUCAUCGUUUCAUCUAAAUUAUUUGCAAUGCGUCGGUUGGUUUCUUGUUAAUUUUGGAACAAAGUUGAUGCAACCAAUGGUUGCAUAUGAUGAGUAGGAUAUCGCUCUGAGAUCAUAACUUGAGUUAUAGAUAUCUAUCUAGGGCGUAUAAUAUAUCAUUAAUCUAUUACUAUAACAUUGUAUUGGUCUCGUGGUCCAGCUAGAAAUUCUAUUUGUUUCAUAGUUAUUUUACAAGUUUAAGAUAUUUUCUUAUUUUUCUUAUUAUUUUCAAGAUUUUUAUUUUUUUUCUACAAAUAUAAGAUUUAAGUACGAUUUAUUUUAUUUUUAUUAGAAGAAUGUUAUUAUAUAAUAAUAUUUUAGGUUUGCUUAUUUUGGUAAAUUCGUAAUAUUUAGAAUUAGUAUAAAGAGGGUCCAAAAUCCAAAUUUUGUUAUUCAGACCUAUCUAUUAAUAAAAUUUCAGACUUUUCAAAAACUUGUGUUUCUCUAUAUUUUCAAUCUCAACGUCCAAUUUUCCGUCAUCAUAAAUUCUAAUGCCUGGUUCCAUCAGGUCUCUCUUCUGUGAAGCCCCUGGAGUAAAAGCUCCGAAUGUGUUACCAUUGAAAUCAUGGCAGAAAACUUUAGUACUUAAUUAAGGCUCUUGAAUAAGACUCUUUAUGGCUUCAAUAUUUUACUUGAUAUGAAAAUUUCUUUCUAGAUAGAAUCAUUGUGAAGAUAAAUUGUGGUAUUACUGACAAUGAAUAAGUUGAAACAUCAACAGAGAUAAAUAUUGAGCAAUUAAUGUUACCAGCAAUCAAUUUGUGAGCACCAACAACCAUUUUCAUAUUUAAGCCGUUAGAACAGUAACACAAAAUAUGGCGAGUGGCAACCACACAAAUAAUCAAAUUCCUGAUAGAUUUUGAAAACUUUAAUUUGCUAGAUAUGUAUUUUAAUAUUUCAACAGGUGCAUCUUUUCUCUACUCAUGUGGCACGUUGAAUCAGAAACGGUUUGAAUGUCAAUAUUACUCCAAGUGCCUCAACCAAAUUCAGAAUGAAGAAAAUCAUCUGGUUACCUGCACUUUAGUUUAAGCAGCUGAUUAAGUUAAUUAGCACCAAGUAAUUCACAUACUAGUGAGAAAUUUCAUUAGUAAAUUCAUACCUGGGAGGAAACCAGCAUCUUGACGCUUUUGUGACCAAGAAAAUCUGCCAGAACCCCAAUUAAUGAAAAAAAAUUAUAACAUCAUUUACAUAUAAUUUUACAAAAUCAAUAGGACACUUACAGAGCACCUCCUACAGCUGGACCGGCAGUUUUGGUAAGCGACACCACAGUCAUAGCAAGUCCAUUAUGGUAUAAUGCUGUUCCUGUUAUUAUACCAUAAACCAAAAAAAUAAUUUAAACUUUUGACACAUACAAAGCAUGAAAAAGCUGAAAGCAUGGAAAUGUACUAAACAAACAAAAGAAAAUAUAUUUACCACUGCUCUGUUUUGCAGAAGGAACAAUCCAGUAAUUAUAGACACCUGAUGUUAUAAUUCAGGAAAAGUGAAAGAGAAUUACAACAUUUCUGAUAAAGAAGAUAUAAAAUAACUUUUAUACAUUCUUGCUAAUGGGUAAUAUAACCUAAGUAUAUGGAUCAAUGAUUAGGAUAUCCACUUACAGAUAAAACAUUCUUCAUCACAGAAGCACAGUUUAUCAAUAAGGCAAGGCUGAACCCAGAUAACAUUGCUAUGUAAGUGUAACUUGUCAAAAGCGGUAUCGAUAAAACCUGUAUAUACAUAGAAAAUUACGUCACCAAAUCCAUGAAGAAAAGUAUUUUAUAAACAAAUAUGUUUGAAACAAACUAUCAAAUGAUCUAAAUGCCACAUGGUUUGUUCAAAAUUUUACCCCUGCAAUGCGUGUUAUUAUUAUUGGCCCGAUCAUCCUCUCAACGUAAGGGUAUAGAGUAAGUUGAAAAACAAGGAGGCUGAAUCCUGCAGUAAGUUCAAAAUGAGGAGUUGAGGACAAUCAAUAAGCAGUUUUGUGGGGUUGAUGCAUGAGAAAAGAAGUUAAGAGGAACGAGUAACAUUUUCAGUUUCGUAAUAAGUAUAAAUGGGCAGCAAGAGUAUUGGUUUUGCACCUGAGAUGGCAAGAACUUGGCCAGCAUUUUCGGUUGAGUAACUCAGACCCCCGUACUUCCACGGGCUGAUAGCCCACAAUGAAAAUAUCUAACAGAAUAGUUGCAAUAUUAUGAUUUAAAAAAAUUACAUAGAUAAGAAAUUCUUAGGAUCAGUAAUAGCCAUAUGUCUUCUUUAUGUAUAAAACUCAAAACAAUCCCAUCAAUAGCAAUAGCACCCUCUGUUUCAGGUAGAAGUUAAGAGAUAACUUUGCAAAUAUCUAACAGAAAGCGAUCUGAUCCAGGAUCCUGGACUUUAUUCAAGUUCGGGAAAGCCAUUGGUCAUUGGACUAUUAAACCAUGUGGCUUAAUAACUGGUUGAGCAGAUCAUCUCGACCAGGAUAUUAUAGUUCACAUCGACCAGAAUAAUAUGUGGUGACCUCGAGCAGAUCACCUCGACCAGGAUAUUAUUGGUCAUCUCGACCAGGAUGUUAUUGGUCACCUCGAGCAGAUCACCUCGACCAGAAUAAUAUGUAGUGACCUCGAGCAGAUCACCUCGACCAGGAUAUUAUUGAUCACCUCGACCAGGAUAAUAUGUGAUGACCUCGACCAGAAUAAUAUGUGGUGACCUCGAGCACAUCACCUCGACCAGGAUGUUAUUGGUCACCUCGACUAGGAAGUUACCAGAAAACACGAUUCAGUCAAAACAUUUUCUCCGAAAUAUUAGGGACCAUAUUCUUAGUGGGCUGAAAAUUAGUAGUUUUCUUGAGAAUCCUAUGGGAGAGGAUAAAAACCGCUAUAUUUUCAUAUAAAAACCCUAAGGGGGGAUUCUUCUAGCUCUCUCUCUCUCUCUCUCUCUCUCUCUCUAAGCAACUGAACCCAUUGGACCUUUUUCUCCCUCUACCACUGAGAAAUUUCUCUUUCGCCUGUGAUUUCUUUAAGAUUGAUUAUUGUGAAUUUUUUUCCUUUAAAUUUACUUAAAAGCUUUUUGUUUAAAGCAAUCAUAAUUAAGCCACAUGAAUUGUGGUAUGGGUUUUUCCAAGUAAGACCCGAAUCGCUGACUUGAGCGUCGGAGAGUUCUCGCCGGAAAAACUUCCGGCACCUCCUGACUGUUGGUUGUGUUCACAGGCUCACAGGUUAUCUGCUCAUGGAUUGUCUGCUCAUGGGUUCUCUGCUCAUGGAUCGUCUGCUCACGGGUUAUCUGCUCAUGGAUUGUCUGCUCAUGAGUUCUCUGCUCAUGGAUCGUCUGCUCAUGGAUUGUCUGCUCAUGGAUCGUCUGCUCAUGGGUUGUUUGCUCAUGGGUUCUCUGCUCAUGGGUUGUCUGCUCAUGGGUUGUCUGCUCAUGGAUCGUCUGCUCAUGGGUUGUCUGCUCAUGGGUUCUCUGCUCAUGGAUCGUCUGCUCAUGGGUUGUUUGCUCACAGAACAUCUGCUCAUAGAAAAUCUGCUCAUGGUGCUAACUAAUCAUCAGCUUCCCACCAAACAAAUUUAAUGCUGAUGCAGGGAUCUGAGAUUUGACCAACUCAUCCAGAUUUCGGCAUCAACAAUAACUUUCCCGAACAUUAAAAUAGUUUAGAUUUUGGAUUGGAACAUUUUUAUGUCAUAAUAAAGUAGAAUAUAUAUAUAUAUAUAUAUAUAUAUAUAUAUAUAUAUAUAAACAAUCAAACUCAGGUAGAGAUGUUUAUACCUCGGUGUAAGCGAUAUCAUGAAGCGAGAAAACACAAUAAACAAUAGUAGAAGAAAUAAAGGGCCAAUUCUUCAUGAGGCUUUUCUUAGCAGUGGCCUCCUCACUUCCUUCAUCUUGUUUAAAUUCUGCAUUGGACCCACAGGCGGAUUCCAAAGCAUCACAUGAUACAUCAAGUGAUACACCAUCUUCAUUGUGUUUGUGCAAUGUCUCCUGCAUCAAAAAGCAUGUGAUGGUGUCAAUGUAGUCAUUAUAAGAGAAGCGAAAGUUAUAUUUUAUAGUCUCACCCAUAAGAAAAUUUGAAGUUAUGGGAGAGUUGCUAUUACAUGUACAAUUCAGCCUGAAAAGAGAGCUAAAGGCUACGUACCGGAAUCCAGCAAGAAGCAAUAGUUACCGCAAAAGCAAAGAGUGACAUACAGAGACAGGGAAGGAAGUAAGGAAACCUGCAUAAAUUUGUUUUUCAAAAUACCAUCAUAUUGAAAGUAUUACAGAAAAAGAUAAGGCUAAUGGCAGUAAAAAUUCACUUACUUUCCAAACAUAGAUUCUUUGGAAAAUGCCUUUGGAUAUUUCUCUGCUGGCUGGAUUGCAAAAUUAUCCACGAAUAUAUAUAAGAAUAAUAUUUAUCAAGCCAAACUACUAAAAAUUCAAAAAAAAAAAAAAAGCGCAUAAUAAUCAAGUAAAAAUUGCCGAACCUGGGCCAAAAAGCCACCCACUGCAGGGCCAAUAAUCAACCCUGUGCCCCAUGCUGUACUGAGCUGAAAUUAUAUCGUAGUUCUCAAGGUAAAUGAUGCUAUAAAAUUUUCUCAAGAACUUUGCAAUCAUACACGAACUGAUAAGCUCACCGUUGACAGUCCUAAAGUUUUGUGUUGAUCGCGCAAUAUUUCACAUGCAUAUGCCUGGUGGUGCAAGAGAAGUUUGAGUACAAAUAUUUACAGGAGUUAAAUUGGAAUUAUCAACAAAUACCCCCAAUCAAUACCUUAAUUGGUCCAAGUAAACCAUUCAAAGCCCCAAGGAGAAACCUUGUAGCUAUGGCCAUCCAGAAACUAACACUAAGCCCAAAGAGAGUGUUAAAAAUAACCCUGUGAGCAUUUUAAGACAAAUAAGAAACCCAGAAAUUGCCAAAAUAUCAUCAAUUUCAAGCUUGAUCAUUUGAAAAUAGAGGUCACUAACACUGUGAUGCAUCCUAUUAUUAUUACAGGCUUUCGACCACAGCGGUCAGCCACCAUUCCCCACAAAACAGAUGUUAGAGCUCUGCCAAGCAUGUAUGAAGACCAUUCAAUUUCAUCAUGGUAUUAAGAGGUUUGUCAGAUGCAUCCUAUUAUUACUUCUCGAGGAAUUUGAACUGUUAUAUUGGUCGUACAUACAUACAUACAUGCAUACAUACAUAUACACAUACUGAAUAUUGUCUAAGUGGUUUAUUUACAGGUAUUCAAAAUAUAAAUUAUUGCUAUGAUUUUAGAAAAUAUUGUCUUUUUUUUGUAAUUUAUAUUAAAAUUUUGCGACAAUUGUUUGGCUGGAAUUUUUUUUUUUAUAAGAAAAAUAGUGAUCUCACACUGAUCCAUAGUUGAGCCAAUUACCUAGUUAAAAGCUACCUCCAUAUUUUUUAUUUUUUACCCUAAUGCAUGUCUGAUUCUUUUAAAAUUUUACGUUAUAUAUAUUAAACAAAAAUUAUAAUUUUAAUCAUUGAAAAAUUAAUGACAGACAUCUUUUGAAUAAUAUUUUUUUAAAAAAAUACAGAGCUAGAGAUAAUGCUAUAAUUGAUUGAAUAAGAAGGCUACAACUUGAUGAUAACUUUAUUGCAAUGUUGCGUGAUCUCAAUAUAUUAUUGGCUUUUGUGUGAGUAAAAGUUGCUGGCUCGUGUUUUACUAAUUUGGGUUUGUAUUUGACUGGCUCGACAAAGAAUCGAUUUACCUCAUACUCAAAUUACAAACAUCGAAACCGGAUCUGUCAUUACGUUAAUUGGCCUCCUAAAAUAAUCAAUCACUUUCUCUUUAGUCUACUAUCCACUCUUUCCAGUCGCUUAGUUUCAUUCUAAUCAUCUAAACGGCUCUUUGGUACUGUUUCUUCUAUUCGUCAUUGUUCUUGUUCUGUUAUUAUUUAGCUUUGUUCACUCCUCAGUCUCAUUUCUAAUUCUGUACCCAUCAGCUCUUUUAGCUCUUUACGUCGUGAUAGAAACCCUUUUCUUGUUUCCUUCAUCUCAUCUGAAAAACACAAUUGCUUGUCCUAUCGCUGUCUCUUUGUUUUUACUUUCCUUUGGCCUUCUUCGCUUCUACGUUUUUGUCAGGCUUCGAGAUGCUGGAAAUCAUUGUGACUAUCGUCUUGGAACUUGUAAAAUGCUUGGCUCCUCCAACUGCACGCCAACUUGUUUAUUUGCGAAAGCGGAACUACAAUGCCAACUUUGAGAAUAUCAAGGCGGAAAUGGAGAAGUUGAAGGUUGAACGUACGAGCAUUCAGCGCAGGGUUUCAGAGGCGAAAGAAAAAGGGGAAGAGAUUGAAGAGAAGGUUGAAAAGUGGCUGGUUAGUGCGAAGUACGAACGGCAUCAUUGACCGGGCAGCCAAAUUCAUUGAAGAUGAGGAGUCAACGAAUAAGCGCUGUGUCAAGGGCUUGAGUCCUAUUUGGAAGAGUCGCUAUCAGCUUAGCAAGAAAGCAGAGACGGAGGUGAAGGCCAUUAUUGAACUUGGAGAAGAAGUUAAGAAGUUUGAUACUGUUUCCCACGGUACCAUUCGGGAGCAGAUAUGGCUUAACUCUAGCAAUGGUUACGAGGCCUUCGAAUCAAGACUUUCUACUUUGCAAUCUAUAAAAAAUGCAUUGACUGAGGCGAAUGUCAGCAUUAUUGGGGUGUACGGCAUCGGCGGCAUUGGAAAGACCACACUGGUGAAGGAGUUUGCUAGGCAAGCCAGGGAAAAGAAGUUGUUUUAUCGGGUGGUUUUAUCAGAGGUUUCAUAAACUCCAGAGAUAAAAAAAGAUUCAAGGGGAAAUUACAGAGAACUUAGGUCUGGAGUUGUCCGAUGAAGCUGAAUAUAGAAGAGCUAGCAAGCUGAAUGAACGAUUGAAGAGUGAGAAUAAGAUUCUUGUGAUUCUAGAUAAUAUCUGGAAACAUCUUGAUUUGGAGACCGUUGGAAUUCCUUUUGGAAAUAAUCAUAAAGGAUGUAGACUUUGAUAGACAACCAAGGAGAUCAGCUAGAGUUUCAAAGCCAAGCAGCAAGCUUGUGGACUUUGUUUGACCAUGCAAACCAUGCCCAUGCAAGCCAUGCAAUUGAUCUCCCACAUAACACUUUCAUGCGAGUUAGUUGGAAUAAGAGCACGUGAGGAAUUGAUAUUGAAGUAAAAGUGAUGGUUGUCGAAGCCAGUAAAAAUAAAUACCUACUCUAAAUAAAUUAUGUAUAGUGAUUGAGUAAGGUCGUGUCCACAGAGAUCGGUAAUUAUUUAAAUUCUUUUAAAAAGUAAAUUGCAAAAUGGGGGGAUUGUUGACAAUAAUAAAAAUCAAAUUAAAAUAACAAGAAUGCAAAUUAAAAUUUUAAUUCAAAUUGGGAAAAGCUCUGGUUGAAGGAAUUAACUCAGCUUGAUUUGAUUACUGAUCAUUGAUUCAAUUAUAAAUCACUACUACUUAUGAAUAGAUCGGUUAUAGCUACUGAGACCCUCUAAUAGUCAAUCUCUCCUUAACUAAUCGAUAACCAAAGUACGACCGUUGGUUAUUUCCCUAAUCAAUAGACAACCUAGAUACGAUCAUAGGAUUUAAUCAAUUGACAGCCUGAAAAUCCAGAGAGACCCAAAUCCUAAUAAAUAAACGCAUACAAUGGUUCAUUUAAAUUAGAUUGUUUAUUCUCAUAACACAAUGCACUGCUAUGCUAUUUGUCACAAACAUUAAAAUCUUCAUACGAUAAAUCAUUUAAUUGACAACAUAUUAAGUUGAUAAUUAAAUAGUGGUCAAUUAUCUAAUUAACAAACAUAAUCAUGACAAUAAUUCAGAGAAUAAACAAAUACCCAAAAAAUAAUAAAAUAAUUAAAGCAUAAGAAAGAUCUCACAGUAGUGAUGAAUCAAACCUUCAUUAACCUUCAACCAGAAUAAUAGGUUUAGUUCCUCAUAGAGAAAAGAGAAAAAUUUAGAUCUAGGGUUUUUCUCUUUUCAAAAAUCUCUCCUUUUCACAAUACAUUCCUCCCUUAAAUUCUCUUCUCCCUCUUCUCCUCUAAAGUUCUUUUUACAAUAAAAUACUGAUAUCUAAAAUAUUAUCUAAAUAUUAAAUUCAUAAUUACAAAAAUAACCAAAAAUAUAAAAUACGUUAAACUAAAAACUGUAGGUCCGCAGUUGACAGCAUGUGCCCACACCUUAUCAACACAGUUUUUCUGAAGCUCAUAAUUUCUCCAAGAAAUCAAUGAUCCUCAAAUAUCAUCUUGUAGCUCAAUUUUAGCACCAAUCAAUAGAAUUGCACCUACAAAAAUAAAACACAAGUAAAUCACUAUUAUUAAGUGCAAAACAUCGAUAUUAAAGGAAGUAAAUAAUGCAAAACUAGUGCAUAAAUUGUACUCUAACAAAAAGACUACAUCAAAGUUGUUGCCAAGAAUCAAGUUAAUUUAUUUUCUGCUUUGUUUUUAUCUAGUUGUUAAUAUUGAUUUGAUUUGGCUGGAUUUGAGCCAAGGUUUUAGGCUACAAAUCAGUAGUAUACUUUAUGUUUAUCUGUAUAAAUAAGCAGCAACCAUGACGAUUGAAAGGAAGGAAAUUAGUCAAAACAAAUACUGGUUGUUCAUACCAUAAAUUGAACGAAUAUCAGGCACUGCUUUUCUGUAUUUGAUCGGGACCUAUCAGACUAUUGCUGACAGCAAGAGAUAAUAAUGUGCUUUUAAGUAUGGGCUCCAAAGAUAACUUUUUGAUUGGCAAUCUAACUGAACAAGAAGCCUGGCGAUUGUUUAAGAUAAUGAAUGGUGAUGAUGUUGAAAGUUGUAAGUUCAAGUCUACAGCAAUUAAUGUGGCUAAGGCAUGUGGAGGUUUGCCCAUGCGUUGACUACUGUAGCGAGGGCACUGAGAAACAAGAGUCUCCAUGAAUGGAAGAAUGCCUUGCGAGAGCCUUCAAUGGUAAACUUCGAAGGGGUGCCUGCAGAGACUUAUUCAAGUAUUGAGCUGAGUUUCAAUUAUUUAAAAGGUGAGCAAGUCAAGAAAAUUUUUCUGCUUUGUCGUCUAGUAGGUAACAGUGUUUGGUUUUCAGACUUAUUUAGAUACUCCAUGGGUUUGGGCAUAUUUCAAGGAGUCAACAUUCCCUUCCUAUUUACCAAAGGUAAGUGAUAAAUCCUACAUAUCCCACUCAAGAAUGCAUAAGUUUCUUCAAUCUCAAGUACCUAAAGUUUUCUUCUACGUUUAUAAAAAUUUCAGCACCAUCUCCCUAUAAUUCUCCAAGCUCACGACGUAGCUAUAUAAGUGUUUAUGCGUUAUGCCAAAACAACACAUGACACCCAUUCACCUAGUACGUACCCAGAGAACACGAGGAGCAGCUACCGAAAAACCCAUUUUUACGUGGGAAAAAAACUUCAGCUACUAGCUACCAGAGAGAACUAUGCAUUCCCAAACUGUCCAAGCCUGGACAAUUCAAGAAUUAUUAAUAGACAUAUGAUCCUCACUAUCAUCCAAAGAUGACACUAAUAAAACAUGUGUCUAUUAAUAAUUUCUUAAACAAGUCUAAGCUUUCAAUGCACGUAUCAAAAGUUUAAAAUUGAAUCUGAAAUUUGAAUAACACAUAAAUAUCAUAAAUCUCUUCAAUUUAUUCCUGAUACAAUGUAGCAUUAUUUCACAUAUCAUUUCUUAAGCAAAACCAUAAAAAAUACAAACGAUAAAUACAUUUUCGCACUGAUGCAGAUUAUGUUUACUGAGCAAUAAGUUUUAAGUCAUUCAUGUUGAAAUACUUCUUCCUAUUCUUUCAACAUAUAACUAGUACGUACACACAAUUAAUAAAUUAAAAAAAAACCUGGUAGUGAAUCUUGGAAAAUCUUCCUUCUUUCUUUUUUUUUUGGUGGGAGGGGGGGGGGGGGGGGGGUGGUGGUUGGGGGAACUAUGAAUCUUGCAAAUCCUCGGGAAGCCAUGUUAAGACAAGGCCAGCUUACUAUUAGGGUAUGAAAGAUAAAACCUUUUAUUUCCUUUUCAGAAUAAAAAGAAUAUUGACAAUGUUAAAAAACAUCUAGAGGAUUUCAGGUCUCCAGAUCCUUACAAAUCAAGGAUAUUAAAAAAAUUUACUUAGAGGAGAAAGGUUAUGCUCAUUUGUAUCUUGUUAGAAGAAAUUGAUCCAAAGCCUCAUUUUUAAUUAGCUUCAUAUAGCCAAUGAUUAGGUGUUUAAAAACCAAUGAAUAUUUUUAUAAGAAAUCAACAAUAUUGUUGAAAGAAAAACCAAAUAAAAUUAAUAAAGCCAAUGAAUAGAUCAAGGCUCUUUGUGGUCUAAUAACUAAUCAAACUAAGUUGUGGGCAAAGGCGAAUAUGUUUGUUUGGUCAAUAAUAAGCUCAACAAAUCACUAAUAAUCACCUAAUCACUAUUCCUUAUGCUAUGCAAUAUAAUGGCCUGGGUAAUGGCGCCAAGGCAGACAAUAACUAGCUAGCCAGUUAUGAUAGUUGAUUAACUUAACCUACUGGAAAUCUGAAGACCAAAACGAAGAAGCUUUGCCUAGAACUACAAUAGGAACAUUCAUACCCAAAACUAAUAUACACGAUUAAGAAACUUGAUUAUAUGUAUAUUUUUGUUGGCCACACUUAAAGAGAAUUUUCAAAAGAUGCUAAGGUACACCAAAUCCCACUAUUUCAAACUCAUAAACACAAAAAACCAUGGCAAAAAUUAAUGACUAUAUAAAAUAAAAUCGGUCAUGGGGCAUUGAGAUUAGGACAACUUGAUUUGUAUACCGUAAAAUAACUAUAUCUGCAUAGUGAACUAUAUUUCUGUUAGAACUCUGAAGUUUUCUAUUAAACUUUUUUCUCUGUUAGGUAAACCACUUAACUAAAAUGCUUAAGCCAAUAUUGACAAUCAUAGACAUAAAAGUAUUAAUAGGCUCACUCAAGUGAAAUGAGCAUUAUUUCACACAUCCUUUAGGUUUUUAAGUCAUUUAGAAGUCAUUCAUGUUAAAAAAAAAAAACAAAUUCAUAUACUUUCAAUAUAAUUACUGCAUACACAAUUAACUAAUUAAAUAAAUCUGUUUCAGCUAGUAUAGGAACUUAAUUAAUCAAAGCUAGUAGUUAUAGCUAGGACUUGAACGAGGCACCUUUCAAAGUUCAAGAAGAGCAUCUGAACAGAAUGAAAGCACUUUGUAGAAAUGGUAAUGAUGCUUUACAUCUACAUGCUCUUACACAAUAUGAACUUUCAUUGAUUCAAGAACAUAACACUAAUCCAAGCUCUUACUCUACAAGUCAAUUCAGUUUGUAGAUGCAAGCCAUUGUAAAAACUUUUGACAUUACUAAUUAAUAUAGAAUCAGCAAUGUUAUAUAACUUAUUAGACAAUAUAACAAGCACUUGGCGAGCAUAUAAGAUAAACUAAAACAAGUUAAUUAGAAAAUGAAACUAAAACCCAAGCUCCGCUAUUCAUUGUAGAAGCUUUAAACAUAAAAUUAAAGUAAAUCUAAUGGCAAAACAUUAGAAUCGAUGUUGGAAUUAAAGCUAAAUUCAAUAGUAAUCCAAAUGAAUCCAUUUGAACUUUGUAAACUCCGCAGAACAAAAUUAAUUUGAGUGAGCAAACUCAUCAAUGGCACAAGAAAACAGGGGCUUCAACUUGUAGGAAUAAAAAUAUAUUGCUGGCGGGACAAAAAUUGACAAUAACGGCUACAAUGCGAAUUAAAAAAAAAUCAAAAUCUAUAAUUACAAGCUAAGUAAGAGAAGAAACUCAUAAUCACAAGCUUACCUCAAAAGAUGAAGGGAGAAGACGAUGAAGAAGAAGAUGGCCCGUGUUUUACGCAGUUCGCCGGCAACCAGUUAGGCUUACGAUGGUGGCUAGUAACACGGAGUCCAGCGAAUAGUUUUAAAUUUAAAAUUCUAAAAUAGUAAUAUACCGAACGGCUCUUUACGCGGGUAGUAACUAACAUAUGUGAUAGCGGUAUGGCCGUCACAUAAAGGGUAACAAAAGCAAGUCGGGGUACAAAGCUAGAGCCUAGAAGUUAGUGAUAUACGUAAUGGCUUCUUUUGCAUUCACAUUAGGGGUCACAUAUACCCUAGUUUCUUGUAGUACAUGGUAAACUAUAUUUGUACGAAUUCAUUUUUGUGUGCUUGUUGGAUAAUAAUAUAUAAUAAAUUAAAAUUUGGUGUAAUUUUCACAAUAUUGUAUUAUAAAUAUGUCUCGUUCAGAGGUUUUGAAAUCGUUUUGAUUGAUCAUAAUUGAUAUUUCCACAGUUGCAAAAGAUGCCAAAGAAAAUUUGAUUAUCUUAAGAAAUGAGUGCAUGAGAUAUGAAAUCAACCAUACCAUAAAAUCAAAUUUUAUCGUGUCAUCCUUCCUGGUUCAAAUUUAUGGAAACAAUAAUCAAAUGCAUCCAUGAACUAGUAUAUUCCGACAUAUGUACCAUCAAAUUUUUGCUAUGUCAUACUUAUACACACACACAUAUAUAUAUAUAUUGAAAUUUUAUUAACAACAAUUGGGCCAAGCAUAUGUUGGUACUUGAAGAUUUAGAAGCUCCAUCCUUGAAAAAAUAAGGCUUGACUGUUAUCAAUCUAAUUCUUUUUGUUUUAAGUUCUUAAUUAAGCUUUCUUGCUUGUUUUCAAGAGCCAGUUUUGUAGUGAUCGACAAACAUGAUUUGCAUAUAAUGCACUUGGCAUUUAUGUGUCACUUAUUAAUUAGAUUUAAAUUCUAUACAUUAGUUAAGCUGAUUAAUACUUUAUACUUGCACUAAAUGAUAAAUACUACAUAAAUUGAGAACACUAGUAACUAUGUAUCCCAACUAUGUAAUAUUUGUUUGUCACAAACCCAAUCAUGGCCUAAUAUUCUAAAUGUUAUUUAGGAUACCAUUUCAAGCCCCAUGAGGGCUCUUUCCGUUUAAAAAAAACAAGUAAGAAAUAGAUGUAGAUAGCCAUAAUGAUUUAAUUUCUACUGCAUACAUAGCUGUAAUUAUUUUAAAAGCUACAGGAUUACCAAAUUGACCCUAAAUCAAACCAAUAAAAAUGUUUAAAAGUAAUAAUAAUAAACCAAAGUAAACGUACAAAAAUUCAUGCAUAAAUUGAUAAUCAAUAAAAACAUUCAAAAGUUUAACUCCAACUUUUCUAUAAAUUUCAAAAGGCAUUAUCAAUUUUGUGUCUAAUUCUACAAAAUUAGAAAACUAAAGAAUAUUAUGUAAUUGACAUAACCCUUAAAUUUCAAAAGGCAUUAUCAAUUUUGUGUCUAAUUCUACAAAAUUAGAAAACUAAAGAAUAUUAUAUACUGAUAAUUAAAUAAUAUGCAAUUAAUAAUGUUAAAAAAAUAAUUUUAAACAUAUUGUCAACUAAAAUAAAUGGGAGAAUUGGAGUUCCAAGAUAAAUUCUUAUCUAGUUCCAAAUCAACAAUUGGGAUUAAUUUCAAUAUUAAACCCCGACUGCUUUUAAAAUUGAUCCUAAUGAUAUGGACAAAUCCCAUUCUGAUCAGUAUGGAAUCCCAAUCCCAUACCUUUAGAUUUCGAUGGUGUUUAGUUGGAGGGAGGAGAGGGGAAGGAAAUGAAUUCAAAUUCCUUUCACUUUUUCUGUUGUUUGGUUUUCACUAAUAUAUGGGAAAUCCAUUUCUAUUGAAAUUUAAUUUUCAUCAAAUUGUGAAUUUUGGAUUCCUCAACGAAGGCUGUAAAAUUCAAAUUCCCCUCCUAUUAGAAAUCAAAUCUUCCAAAAUGGCUCCUCUCAAAUAUUUAUCAAUUAUUUUAAUUCUUAUCAAAUAAUUCUUAUUCAUGAUUUUAUUUAUGAUUUUAUUUUUUAAAUUCAAAUUGUCACUAAGGAGUCUGACUUACUACCACAGAAAAGCAAAAAAAAAAAAAAAAACAGUUUAUAGAUUAUGAUAAUUCUAUAUAUUGUCUGAGAAUUGCAAUCCCGUAGCCGAAGUAGUUUUUAAGUACAGAAUUUCAGUCAUUUCUAUUUAAUUUUUUUUUUAAAUGUGAAUUGGAGGGAUCAAGAGCAGCUCACUGGAGGUUGAGGCCGACAUGGAAUCUGAUUAUCAGGAGAUCCGAGUGCAGGGAGGAUUCAAUAGUGAACCCGAAUGAAAUCGGGCGGGUGGGCCUGCCUAUGUGUUUUUCCAAUCCAUAUUAAAAGGAGUUUCUUUUACAAAUACAUAUUGGACAUAUUUUGACAUGUCGUACUAAAUUAAGCCAUCAAAAAUUGCUGGGAAGGGAGUAAUAUCUAUUUAUAACUGGAAAUUACUCACCGUACAAUGAUGGUUGGAGCUGCAUGUAUCAUUUAUUAUUAACAACUAACUUAUGAAAUGCUUUGAAUGUACCUCCUAGGUCGUAUUUACUAUACCGGUUAGGAGAAACUAUAAUAUUAAAUUAUUUGAUAAAUACUUAUUAUAAUUUAAAAAAUAUAUUAAUUUUGUCCUCCACUUUAUGAUAACAAAAUUAUAAUAUAAAUAAAUUAUUCAUUCUAUAAUCUUAAACUUUAUUAAAAUUCGAAAAACUAUUACUCUAUAUGAUAUAAUAGUGUGAUGUUAUUACACUAUUAUACCAUAUAAAAUAUAUUUGCUUUCUUAAAUUUUAAUAAAUUCUAGGUCUUGGACAGAAGCACUUUAUAUAUAUGUAUAUAUAAUAAUUCUCUAGUAACGACAUUCUCAUUUUAACAAAGUGAUGAUAUCGCUAACAAACUAAAUAACACACAUUUCAAUACACCAAUAGAUUAAAAAAAUACAAUUUUUAAUGUGUUAAAAUAUAUGUCUUUUGUAUAUUAUUGAUAUUUUCACUUUAACAAUGUGAGGGUCUCCUCACUAUAGAAGUACUUUAUAAAUAUUUUGUAUUUUUUUAAAAAAUUAUUAUUUAAAAGUCAUAUCUGACCAAGACUAAUAAUUUUUAUUUUAUUACUAUACUGUACUUUCAAGACAGAACACUUCAAUACCAUGACCUUAAUUUUUCAACUCUCUUGUACAAAGUUGUUGGCUGGUCUAUUUAGUUUAGUCUUUCAAUCAUUUGUCGUUUGAACUGAGAUGAUCCGAAUAAAGCUAUAUAUCAAUAAUUUCCUAGUGAAACUUUGGGAAAAAAUAAAAAUCAUGUCAUACAGUAGCAUUAUUUUAAUUCACAGCUUGAUUAUGUUUUGAGUUAACUUAUAGAUUAUUUGAAAUAAAAAGACUAUAAUUUAAUUUUUCCAACUAAAUAUUUUUAAAUAAUUUUGUUAAUUUAAUGAGUAAUUAUACACUUACAAAGUUACGAUAUAAAAUUAUAUCCCAGAAUCUCAAUAAUAUGACACCAAUUAACUACUGCUAUGUGUUUCUUAGUAAUUAACUUUUUAUACUAUUAUCAAUGAGAAAAUUAACUUCAACACCAAUAAACAAAUUUUAUAUUAAUACAUCCUCUAGGUUUAUUAUCAAAUAAUCAUGUCAUAAUCAAACCAAGCUACCAGAGCCUACUACUAAAAGAUUGAUUAAAGGGUUUUCCAAGUUUGAAAAAGUUAGUAGCAUUGGCAAAUGGCAACUCCCAGGAAUCUUCCUACUACAAUCAACCAUUCAGUGAAAUUCCCAAAUGGCACAAAGGACCCCGCCACCCGUUAAGUCACAUCAUUUAUUUAUUUGUGAAUGAAAAAUAAGGUUUCGAUCGUAAGAAAUGAACACCUUAUAAUGCAUGAUUACCUGUAUGUCAAGUUUGGCGAUUAUAAGUCAUCAUCACAAUAACUUUGGAGCGGAGCUAUCGGCACCCCCUUGAUAUCCUUUUCAAACCCCUUUUCUGCUUAUUUCCUCCUCAAUCCCUAAAAUAGCCUUUAUCUGUAAUUUUUCCGCAAACAAUUUCAACCUCCUUUCAGUUAUCACUCUUCAACCACUCCCACUUCAAGUUUCUUCUUUUUAUAGGAAAGGCUUUUGAUAACAACCCAAUAUUUUUUUGUUUUAAUUUUAUACUUUUCAGUUUAUGACAUUAUAUUUUAAAAUAAAUAUGUAUAAAAUACACACAAGGUUUAGUUAUCUCCUAGCAUUCUAAUAACGUUAGUAAUUUAUGAAAAUUUUAUAAAAUUAUCUUUCCUACAAAAAUAAAUUGUUAAGUGAAAAAAAUACUUUAUAUCAAAUUCUUACUCUUUUACCAUUGACCUUUUUUUUUCAAAAAAAAAAAUGGAACUUUUAAGUGCUUUAGUGGAGAAAGAGUCGGUGAGAAAAAAUCAUAUAUGAAUUUAAUAAGAUAAGAUUUAAGGGACAAAAUUGUAAAUGUAUAACAAGAGGGGUUUUAUAAGAAAAAUACAGGGGUGCCAAUAGCGUCACUCUAACUUUGGGCUUUGAUAUUUAAGGCUCCGUUUCGGACAAAUGCGUGGCAAUUGGACAACACAUCACUCAAUUAUAGAGUGUGAAAUAUUGAUAUUGUUCUUAUUAUUUUACGUAAUGUAUACAUUUUUCCUCUUAUUUUUGUUUGUUUAUUUAUUUUUGAUACUUAAUAAAUAUAAAUUUAUUUUUUAAUAUUUAAUAAAUAAUCCUAACCAGGCAAUAUUGCCAGAAAAUAACGAACAAUGAUCCAAAUCCUUUUAUUUUACAUAAAUAAUUUCAAUUCACAACAACUAUGACGUUACAUUACCAAACAAACACUAAAUAUUUUGAUUAUUGUAGUUUAUCUUUCAUUCAUAACAUGAAGAGUUUGAAAUAUGAUAUCAAAACAAAGAGUAUGACAUGUCGUGUUGUGUUCACAGAAGAAAUGUAAGCCAUGUCAUCCGAAAACUAAAAGGAACGUAUGACAAUCAGAAGCUGUCAUCUCUGAUUUGCUUACACUUUUAAGGAUAAAUUCUGGGUUUUCAGUGACAAUUAAAAGCUAGAGUGAGAAUUAGAGAGAGAGUUAGAUAUUCUUAUUCCUAGUCACUUGCUAUAUUUUGUAGGUCUUUUGUGACUCCAAUGAUAAAAUCGCUCAAUAUUUUUUUUUUGAUAGAGCCAUAUUUUUUAAAGCAUAAAGAAAGGCAGAAAUAUUGUAAAUCCAACUUAAAUUUUCUGUUCAUUGUGGUCGCUGCUAGUGCUAGCUGUUUUCUUAUUUAACUUUGUUCCCUUUUGCCAUCAGCUCUUUGCAUUUUCAUUGGAGCAAGCGACCCUUUUCUUGUUUCAAUUUCUGAUCUCAAAAGCACUCUGAUUCUCUGGACACUGAUUUUCUCCUUGUUUUGUACAAAUAUCAUUUCUCUUUCCCAUUUAGCCUUGAUUUGCUUCUACUUGACUAUCAAUUGCCCAGUCGUUGACCCUGUUGUAUUUCUAGUUCGUUCACUCCCCCCCCCUCCCCCCCAAAAAAAAUGGACAUUUUGAAAAGCAUUGUCCUAGGAGUUGUAAACUGCUUUGCUCCUCUAGCACAACACGAAUUUAGUUAUUGGCAUAACUCCGGUGCUAACUUUGACAAUCUCAAGGCAGAACUCGAUAGGCUCAAGGAUAAAAGAGAAAGAAUUCAGCGCAGAGUUUCUGAGGCUGAAAGAAAAAAGUGAAAAGAUUGAAGAGAUGGUUGAGAAAUGGCUGGUUAAUGUGAACAAGAGAAUUGACCAGGCAGCCAAAUUCAUUCAAGACGAAGAGGCAGCAAAUGAUGGCCGAUGUCUCAUGGGGCUGUUUCCUGAUUGGUUUGCUCGCUAUCAGCAUGGAAAGAAAGCAGAAACAGAGAAGGAGGCCCUUUCUAAACUCCGAGAAUAAGCUGAGAGAUUUGAUAAUAGAAUUUCCUACCCUACCAUUCGGGAGGAUAUAUGGCUCAAGUCUAACAAAGACUACGAGAACUUCGAAUCAAGACUUACUACUUUCAAGGAUAUACGAAAGACAUUAACUGAUGUUAAUGUCAGCAUCAUUGGGGUGUACGGCAUGGGCGGCAUUGGAAAGACGACACUGGUGAAGGAGUUUGCUAGGCGAGCCAUUGAAGACGAGCUUUGUGAUAUGGUGGUUUUUUCGGAGGUUACCCAAAGUCCAGACAUAAAACAGAUCCAAUAGGAAAUUGCGGAAAAGCUAGGCCUAGAGUUGUCCGAGGAAGCUGAGUUUAGAAGAGCUAGUAGAAUAUUUGAAAGAUUGAAGAAUGAGAAGAAGAUCCUUAAGAUUCUGGAUAACAUCUGGAAAUCUCUUGAUUUGGGGACUAUUGGAAUUCCUUAUGGGGUUGAGCAUAGAGGAUGUAAAUUAUUAUUCACUACAAGAGAUCUUGAUGUGCUGAUAAGGAUGGGAUCUGAGAAACAAAGAGCUGCCUGAGUGGAAGAAUGCCAUGCAAGAACUCCAAAUGCCUUCAGAGACAAGCUUCGACGAAGGAGUACCAGCAGAGGCACACUCAACAAUUGAGCUGAGUUACAAGUAUUUAGGUAAGCAACUCAAGGAAACGAUUUUACUAUGUAGUCUUAUUGCACCAACUUCAAUUAUGGACUUGAUCAAUUAUAGCAUGGGUUUGGGGUUUUUUGAAAGUGUCCUUAAGCUAGAAGAGGCACAUAACAAAUUACAUGCAUGGGUCCGUCAACUAAGAGACUCUUGUUUGCUGCUUGUGGAUGGUAGCAGUAAAUUCUUUUCUAUGCAUGAUGUUCUUCGCGAUGUUGCCAUUUCAAUUGCAUGUCGUGACAUGAAUGCAUUUGUGGUGAGAAAUAAGAAUAUGUGGGAAUGGCCAAAUCCAGAUGCAUUAAAAAAAUAUCUUGCAAUCUCUUUAAUAAAUAGUCGUAUUAAUGACAUUCCUGAAGGGCUGGAAUCUGCACAACUUGAAUUUUUACUUAUGAUUCCCAAGAACUCUUUUUUUGGGCUCAAUAUUCCUGAGAACUUCUUUAAAGGGGUGAAAAAGCUUCGGGUUGUAGCUUUGGUAAAAAUGCGGUUAUCAUCAUUGCCAUCUUCAAUCUAUCUUCUAGUAAAUCUUCAAACACUUUGCCUUGAUCAAAGCAUUUUGAGAGACAUAGACAUAGCCAUUAUUGGAAAGUUGAAAAAUCUAAAAAUCCUUAGCUUUGUGCGGUCUGAUAUUGUGCAGUUGCCUAAAGCACUAGGUGAACUGACUAAGCUACGGCUGUUAGAUUUAACAGACUGUUUCCAUCUAAAAGUUAUUGCUCCAAAUGUCAUAUCAAGCUCAACCCGAUUAGAAGAAUUGUAUAUGGGUAAUUGCCCCAUUGAAUGGGAGGUUGAAAGAUCCAAUAGUAAAAGAAGUAAUUCUAGCCUUGAUGAAUUGAUGAAUUUACCUUGGCUAACCACUCUAGAAAUUGAUGUUAAAAAUGACAGUAUUUUACCAGAAAGCUUUUUAACCAAAAAGCUGGAAAGGUUCAAAAUAUCUAUUGGAAACGAAUCAUUCAUGCCUCCUCAGAAGAAAACAAUGGUUUCGAAGCCUGCCGCACUUUUUGAUCAACAGUAAUCGUGAGAGUUUAAGAGAAUUGAAGCUCAAGCUUGAUUUUAUGGACAUUUGCUCCAUGAAAUUGCAGGGCAUCAAUAAUGUUGAAUACCGAUAGUUGGACAAGCUGCACGGUGUCAAGAAUGUUCUUUUCGAUUUGGACACAGAGGGCUUUUCACAGUUGAAGAUUCUCUGGGUUCAAAAUAAUGCUGACUUCUUUUUUAUCGUUGACUCAAUGGAGAUGGUCGCUUGUGAUGCCUUUCCUCUUUUGGAGUCGCUUACUCUUUUCAAUUUGAUCAACAUGGAGAGGAUAUGUAUGAAAAAUAAUUUCUUGAAACUUAUUUAAAUCCAGACUAAAUUACUGAGCAACAUCAAAUUGGAAGCGUACCUGAAUCCAUUGUUAUUAUGCACUAGAAAAGAUUUUUGAUCUUGGCAAUGGAUUUCCAAACUAGUCUCUAUCCUGUGUUAAGAAUUCUCACUGAGAGGAUUUUUGAGAAUGAAAAGAGAUUGAGAUAGAAUGGGGACCAUAACCACCGUAUAAAGAAAACUGACUAGCGGUUUUAAUUUUAUGUUAAUUAUCACUUCUGCUCCUCAUAGAAGUUAUAAUUAAACUAUAAUAUCUAUGUAAUUAACCCACAACUAUUAUACCCUUAGCCAUUUAAUUAACAUUAAAUAGAUCACUUAAUUGAUGGCUAAUUAAAUAAUAGCACACACAUUUUAUUUGUUUCAUGUGUGGCCCCAAAUAUUAGAUUAAUUAAAAUUAAUCUAACAAUGUAUUGAUCGGCUCAAAAUUGUGAUGAGUUGAGUAAUAUCUUCUGCCUCUCUAGAACAAAAUGCCUUCCAAGACUUGAGAGAAUUGCAGUUAUUAAUUGCAGGAAGAUGAAAGAGAUUUUUGCAAAUGGGGGAGAAGCUGAUGUUGACAACAACAAUGCAACUGAGAGGAUACAGUUUUCUCGAUUAAGAUCUUUGAGUCUGGAAAAUCCUCCAGAGGUUACAAGUUUUUUCCGUGAAGUGAAGACUCCUUCAGCAUCACCACACAGACGAGUGCCGGAAGAGGAAUUGACAAAUUCUUGCUCCAACGAAAUCAAUUUAGAUAGUUCAACUCAGCUUUUCAACGAGAAGGUGCAUAGGUUAAUACUUUAUUUAUUUAUAUAUGAUUUUAUUCUAUUGUGCAUUCUCUUUUGAUGUCAUACGCAGGAAAUAAUUAAAUCAUUAAAGAAUUAAAAGAAAAUGAUAAAAAGCAAAAAAGAAUCUCACGCACUUGCUAAUGGAGCUCUUAGCAAGUAAUAUGAAUUUGAUUGUAUACUCAGCUGUCUGUUGGAAAUUGAUUCUGACUUGCUUUAAUUUGUAAUAACAGAAGAAAAAUUUCAACAAGUGCUUCUUAUAUGGUUAUUGGUUCUAACGAGAAAUUUAUAUCUUUUUUAGGUGGAGUUGCCUAACUUGGAGGCUUUUGAGUUGUGUUCAAUUAAUGUCGACAAGAUUUGGCACUACAAUCAUCUUCCGUUCAUGCUUUCUCGCUUUCAAAGUUUAACACGAUUGAUUGUGCAGAGCUGUCCCAAAUUAAAAUACAUAUUUUCAGCGUCUAUGAUCCAAAGCUUUGAGCUGCUCCGAGAACUAUCCAUAGCGGAUUGUAGGGGUUUGCGAGAGAUCAUUUCGAAAGAUAGAGCAGAUCAUGUGACCCCUUGUUUUGUCUUUCCACAGAUGACCACUUUGAGACUCGAAAUUCUACCAGAACUUAAAUGCUUAUACCCUGGAAUGCAUACUUCGGAAUGGCCAGCACUAAAAACUUUAUAUGGGCCUCAUUGUGACCAAUUAAAGAUAUUCGCUGCAGAUUUAUUGCAGAAUAAUGGGAAUGAUCAACUUGGAAUUUCCGCACAACAACCCCUAUUUUUGUUCGGAAAGGUAUGAAGUCAUUUUCUCGAUUUUUUAUUAAUUAGAUCAUUGACGACUUUUGACUUUGAAAAAUAUACAAAACAUCGAUAAAUUAGUACUUAAUAAAUUGAAAACUUCCAUUACAUAAUAAUUUUUGCUAGUUUGGACAAAGGGAUCAAUGUGCUAAAUUAAUAAUUCCAUGAACUUCUUUAGGUGUAGCAUUAUAUUAGUUUUGUCAUAUAUAACCACUUACAAUAUAAAUUAAUAAUUUACUAUUGUGGAAUAAAAUAUUUUCAUACCAAUUUAUAAAUCAAUCAUUUUUUCCCUAAUUUCUCUCUUAUCUCUAAAAUUAACAUAUAAAAGCCCUAGAAUGAAUUUUAUCACUAAUUCAAUUUUUCCGUACUUUUUUUGUAAAAUAUAACAUAAAAGAAAUACUAUAAAGUCAAUGUGUAUGAAUGGAUUACUCAAAAUUAUUUGAGAGCACAUCAAUUGACCUAAUUAGUUAUUACGUGAUUGAUGAUGACCAGACCUUUCCCAACUUGAAGACACUAUCAUUACGGGGAAAAGACGUGAAGAUGAUUUUUGCAGGCUAAUUUACCACAACACCUUUUUGGUAGUCUUAAAGAACUACACAUAACUUUUAAUUGGUUUGACUGUAUCAAAAAGUCUUGAUAUGCGUCUUAUGAUGUUGUGAUAGCUUAUCUAUAUGGGUCACUUGACACGGAUAUAUGUAUGAAAAUCCCUUAAGGAUUUAAAAUGCCAGAAUCUUGUCAAUCAUCACAUCGUGGCUUGUAUUCAAUAAAGCUACAAAAGUCUUUAUAAGUAUUAAAACAAUCUGGAUGCAUGUGGUAUAAUCGCCUCAGUGAAUAUUUGAUAAAACUAUGAUACGUUAAUGAUCCUAUCUGUCCAUGUGUUUUUAUCAAGCAAUCAAAAUUUGAAAUUACUAUUGUCGCAGUUUAUAUUGAUGAUUUGAAUUUAAUAGGAACUCCUGAAGAGCUCCAAAAGACCGCUCAAUGUUUGAAAAAUGAAUUUGAAAUGAAAGAUUUAGGGAAAACUAGGUAUUGUCUUGAGAUGCAGACCGAGCACAGACUUAAUGGUAUAUUUAUCCAUCAAUCAACUUAUACUGAGAGAAUUUUAAAACGUUUCAACAUGGAUAAAGCUUACCCAUUGAGUACCCCAAUGGUAGUCCAGUCUCUUGAUCCGAAAAAAGAUCCAUUCCGUUUUAAAGAAGAUGAUGAACAGAUACUUAGUCCUGAAGUACCAUAUCUAAAUGCAAUUGGUGCUCUGAUGUAUUUAGCACAAUGUACUAGACCAGACAUAGCAUUUUCUGUUAAUUUGUUAGCUCAAUUUAGCUCUGAACCAACUAGAAGACAUUGGAAUGGUGUCAAACACAUUUUUCGUUAUCUUCUAGGAACAAUUUGAUUUAGGUUUAUUUUAUUCUAAUGAACUAACAAAAAAUCCAGGUCUUGUUGGUUAUGCUAAUACAGGUUAUUUAUCUGAUCCCCAUAAAGCUCGUUCACAAACAGGAUAUAUUUUCACUUUCAAUGGUACAAAGAUUUCUUGGAAGUCUACAAAACAGACUCUCGUUGCAACAUCCUCCAACCAUUCUGAAAUUCUUGCACUACAUGAAGCCAAUCGAGAAUGCAUAUGGUUGCGAUCUGUAAUCCAUCAUAUUCAAAGUACAUGUAGAAUAUCUUCAAGUUCAGAUAUCCUAACAGUGAUAUAUGAAGAUAAUGCUGCAUGUAUAGCUCAACUCAGAGGAGGAUACAUUAAAGGGGACAGAACAAAACAUAUUUCACCGAAAUUCUUCUACACUCAUGAGCUCCAACAGAAUAAGAAGAUUAAUAUCAAACAGAUACGCUCCACGGAAAAUUUAGCUUAUAUGUUUAUAAAAGCUCUACCUACAUCUACGUUCGAAAAAAUUGUAUAUGGCAUCGGCAUGCAUCAUUUUAACAAACUGUUAAAUUAAUACAUGUUGCCUUCAGGAAGAGCACUCAACAAGAGGAGCGUGAUCUUACAAGAGAAGAAUCGUAGUAAUAUUGGACACAUAUAUACUGUACUCUUUUUUUUCCUUUUGACCAGGUUUUCCCAUUGGAUUUUUACUGGCAAAGGUUUUUAAUGAGGCAGUAUCCAAUGUCAUUAGGGGGAGCACAUCUAAUGAAUAAUUGGUGAAUCUAAUGGGGAGCGUUGUAAAUCGUGAUGGAUUCCACCAAAAUAAUGCUCUCCCAUUAUCUUCUUUAUUGCUCUUCCCCUUUUUAUAAUUAAUAAUUGUGAAUAACCCCACCUUCUAAUGCCUAUAUAUACCCUUUCUUUGCUAAUGAAUGAAUACAAUUCAAUUUCUUGCUCAAAGCAUUUUGCUUGUUUUCUUCAAUAUUCAUUUGAGUAUUCCUUACUUAAAUAUCAUCAUUAAAUAAUUGCUUACACACAACUCCUUUAAAUUAUAACAUCCAUUAUCUCCGAAUUUAAAAUACUUUCAACAAUUUUUACGGAUUCUGGCAAUUGUUCACGCAACUAUUUUAAUCGAAAAUAUAUAUGGCUCCAUAAACAAUGAUUAUCUCUUGACAGCUGUUCUGCACUUGCUUUUUUUUUUUUUUUUUGAAGAAAGGAAGAAAUUCAUUAAACAGACAAAUGAGAAAAUAACCAGGGUGGUGGAACAUGUCUCCAUUCACCCGGACCUGACACAGAACACCCCACCUUAGCCACAACAUGGGCGGCGGUAUUCGCAGAUCUCCUUACAAAAGAGAAAGUCACCUCUUUUAAGCAAUGAGCCAAGGCUCUACAAUCUGAAAUAAUAAUACCAAAUCCGUUUUGAUAGUCCUUGGAGUCAAUCAAAGCAUUAAAAACUUGUAAACAAUCAGUCUCAAUAAUAAUAGGAAAAAACUGGGUGUUCUUAAGCCAACUCAAGACCUCUCACACACCCAAAGCCUCUGCCUCGCGAGCUCCAAAAUUGCCAAUCAAAGAUCCACAUUUUGCAGCAAGAAAUUGACCCUCAGAAGACCGGAUAACUGCGCCUUAGCUAAUCCUAGUAGUAGCGCGGGAAGUGGCAGCGUCCACAUUGCAUUUAAACCAUCCAACGCGAGGGCGUUUCCAGCAAAUAGAGCCAAGAGUUAAAUCUGCUGGCAUCUGAGUAAAGUGACUCAGUUGACGAGCCUUUUGCCACUGGAACAAGUCUUGACCAGCUUUAUUGAGCACUUGAGACACUCUGCCUACUACAUGCCUCCAAACUUUAGUAUUCCGAUUCUGCCAAAGACCCCAGUAAACCAUUGCAGCAAGACAACUAUCCUCAAUACUACACCGAGUAAAUAAAGCAUCCAACCAAGCACCAAAAUUCACAAAAUUUCCAGCAAAACCAACCAAGGAAACCAUCCAGCAUUGUUUGGCAAAAGGACAAUCAACUAAGACAUGAUAAAUUGUCUCAAGAGAUUCAUUAUAGAUAGUACAAUAAGGGUGUACCUCGACUCGACGACUGAGAAGGUUAUCAGCAGUGGGAACCACAUUUGCCACAGCUCUCCAAAGAAAAUUCUUGAUUUUGGCGGGCACAGCCAGCUUCCAAAUCUUACUCCAAACUCCACUGCCAGGCGGUUCCGAUAUAAUAUCCAUCCACUUGUAACAACUUCGAACAGUGUAAACUCCUUUUGCGUCAGGGAGCCAAUACCAAGUAUCACAAUCCCUCCGAGAGCUAAGAGGAAUUUGGAGAAUGCAGUCUCGAUCUCUUCUGUUAAACACAUCCUUUACAAGGUCAUAAUCCCACCUUCGGUGAUCAGGAAUCAUAAGACUGUUAACAUUUAUGUUUCAUAAUAUUGAUUUUGAUGAUAACAAACAAGAUUAAGAAUAAUUAAUCUUUUAGGAUCAAAUUAUUUUUUAUAUAUUUUAAAUAAAUCAUUAUUUUCACAUUAUAAAUGUUUUAUAUUUAAUGAAAAAAUGAUUUUAAGAAAAAUGAUUGUUUAAAUACAUGAAAUGUUUGUCAUCAUCAAAAAGGGGGAGAUUGUUAACAUAUAUGUUUCCAUAAUAUUGAUUUUGAUGAUAACAAACAAGAUUAAGAAUGAUUAAUCUUUUAAGAUCAAAUUAUUUUUAUACAUCUUAAAUAAAUCAUUAUUUUCACAUUUUAAAGGUUUUAUAUUUAAUGAAAAAUGAUUUUAUGAAAUUGGUUGUUUUUCAAAGUUUAUGGUUUAAUUAAAAGAAUUUUUGAAAACUUUGAAAUAAACAAGUAUUGCUUGAAAUUCUGGUAAAGGACUUAUUUGAAAAGUGUUAUAGCAUUUUGGCUAUAUCAUAAUUUCAGAAAGUUUUGGGAUUAACAAAGCAUUACUUAGAAAUUCUGAAAUUGGACCUAUUUGAAAUAUUUCAUAACGUUUUGGGCCUUAGUACAGUUUUAUAAAGUUUUGGGGUCAAACUAUAAUUUCAAAAAAUAGUGCACUGUGCAGGUUACUGUAGCAAGCGGCUUACCGGAUUCUAAAAACCGGAAAUCCGGAUUCGGGGCAGUAAGCAUCCGAAACGCAAACGGCUAACCGGAUGUCCAUAAACGGCAAGCCGGUUACGACAAAAAAUGUGCAUAACGGCUAGUUUUUGAGUUCAAACUAUAUAAACUCAAAACCAAUUCAUUUUUGGUAACUUAAGCAAGCAAGAACAAGUGCACACAACAUAUAUUGAGCUUCAACUUCGUGAAUCAUCAUUCAUUAAAUCAAAGUGCACACAACAUAUAUUGAGCUUCAACUUCGUGAAUCAUCAUUCAUUAAAUCAUCUUUGUUCUUCAAUUUGUAUAUCCACUCUUAAAGAGAGUUUCAUUGUUGUAUUUAUCAUUUCUCAUAAAAUUGUGAGAGUACAAGUGUGAGAAACACUUAGAGUGAAGAGAUUGGAGAGAUAAUCUCUUGUUGUAAAGGUUUAUUGACACCUCGAAGUCAAUUGUAAUCGUUGAAGCCUUGGAAAGGCUUGGAUAGUGAAAUCCUCAAGCGGGUGAGCUUGGAGGCGUGGACGUAGGCGGGGAUAGCCGAACCACGUAAAAAUCCUUGUGUUCAUUUUCUCUUCCCUUACUCUUUUAAUAUUGUGUUUAUUUGAAUUUAUUGUUUUCGAAUUGAUUAAGGCAUUAGAUUGAAUUGUUGUGUGGUUUGCCUAGGAUAAUUUUUAAAAUUCCAAUUCACCCCCCUCUUGGGUUGCACACUUAUACCUAAUUACUCACAGGAGCUGAUGCUAACGUCGCUGGAAGAUUAGUUGUAAUAAAGCCACUCUCCUGAUCAGGCAGCUAGGGAACCAAGCCAAUAGGAAUGCUCUGUCCACUUCCAACUUGGACACGACUCCCUUGGAUUAAAAUCUUCUGAGCAGCCAAAAUCGAUCUCCAUGCAUAACUCGGAUUACUUCCCAACUUAGCUUGAGUGAAGUCUGCAUUAGGCUAAUACCGUGCUUUAAAUAAUCUGCCCACCAGCGAAGAUGGAUUUGUAAUUAACCUCCAGCCUUGUCUCCCUAGCAUAGCAACAUUAAAGUUGUGGAUGUGUUUAAACUCAAUACCACCAUAAGAUUUGGGCUUACAAAGUUUUUCCCACUGCAUCCACUUAAUUCCACCACUACCAUAUCUUUUACUGCCCCACCAAAAAGAAUUCAGCAUCCUUUCAAGUUCUCGCAGAGGUCGAGAGGGAGGAGGUAAACUUGCAUAGCAUAAUUAGGUAUGGCAUGUGCCACAGUUUUAAUUAAGAUUUCCUUUCCAGCUCUAAAGAGGAGUUUCUGAUGCCACCCUUGAAUUCUCUGCCAAACUUUAUCCUUUAUAUAUCGGAAAAUAUCUAUCUUCUUGCGCCCAACAUAUGAUGGUAAUCCAAAAUAGGUACCAUGGUCUGUAGUAGCUGUAACUCCAAGUUGUUGACAGAUAUUAUGAACAGUAUCCUCAGCCAUAUUCCUACUGAAAGAAAUUGAGGAUUUAUUGUAGUUCACUUGCUGCCCCGAAGCUGCUUCAUAAGUUGUCAAAAUCUUUUUUACCAGGUGAGCCUCCUGAACAGUAGCUUUAAAGAAAAGAAAGCAGUCAUCAGCAAAAAAGAGGUGAGAAACCAAAGGAGCACCUCUAGCAACUCGAGCCCCAUGGAUCAUCCCAGCCCUCUCAUAGUGAUUUAUCAGCAAACUCAGCCCCUCUGCACAGAUGAUAAACAGAUAUGGCGAUAGCGGAUCUCCUUGUCUAAGACCUCGACUUGGCACGAUAGGGCCCAGCUCCAACCCUUCCCGGGUAAUUUUGUAGGUAACUGUAGUGACACAGAGCAUAAGAAGAUUCACCCAAACAACAUCAAAUCCCAACUUCAGUAAAAUCGAUCUAAGAAACCCCCACUCAAUCCGAUCAUAAGCCUUGGUCAUAUCGAUCUUUAAUGCAGCAAUCCCCUCAUUUCCUUGACGUUUCCGUUUGAGAAAGUGCAUUAUCUCAGCCGAGAUUAAAACAUUAUCAGCAAUAGCUCUACCUGGAACAAAAGCACUCUGAGAAUUGGAAAUUAUCGAUCCUAAAACCAUCUUCAUACGAUUAGCAAGCAUCUUGGCUAUAAUUUUAUAGAGGACAUUACAUAAGGAAAUAGGUCGAACAUCAGUUAAGAAUUCUAUAUGUUUCUUCUUAGGAAUAAGGACAAUGGAAGUCUCAUUAAAACCCUCAGGAAAAGAACACUCCCGAAUGAAUCUAAGACACGCCUCAGUAAUAUCAGUACCCACAAUAUUCCAAAACUUUUGGUAAAAUGCUGGGUUCAUUCCAUCAGGACCAGGGGACUUAUCAGGGUGCACAUCAAACACGGCAGAUUGAACAUCUUCAGCAGUAAAAGGUUCCAAAAGAGCUUGAUUUUAUACAUCAGUAAUUUUAGCUUCCACACAACUUAGCACAUCAUCAUAAGAACAAAUCCCAGUAGUAAAUAAAGUUGUGAAAUACUCACGAAUUAAAUUAUUUACAUCCGCAGGAUUAGUACACCAUUGCCCCUCUUGCGUGCGAAGCUUAAUUAAGGUAUUCUUACGCUUCCUUGAUGAGGCCAUGGCAUGGAAAUACUUUGAGUUUAAAUCCCCAUCCCGAAGCCAAAACAUCUUCGAACGCUGCUUCCAAUAAACUUCAUGGCUAUGCAAGAGCUCAUUGUAUCUAUCUCGAGCUUCAGUAAAAUCAGCCAAGCUAACUGUAUCACGCUUGCCCCGAAGCUGAUUCAUUUUAUCCUUGCACUCCUUAAUUUGAACUUUGAAAUCCCGAGUACGAUGAUAGCCCCACCGAACUAAAUCUAAGCUGCAAGCCGGAAUUUUACUGAGAAUAGGAAGCCCACUCGUCAUAGACCAACUCUUCUCAACAAUAUUAGCACAAUCCGGAUUUCUAAGCCAUGAGUUCUCAAAACGAAACUUCAUUGACCGCCGUCUCAAAACCACAGGAGACACAUCCAAAAAGAUAGGGAGGUGAUCUGAACUCGAAGCUUCAAGACACAGAACCUUCGCUUGCGGGAAAAGAUUCACCCAAGCCGAAUUUGCAAGGGCUCGAUCUAACCGUUCUUCAACCCAAGCUUCAGUGCCCCGUGACCGUUCCCACGUGAACUGGUAACCAUCCAUACCCAAAUCAAUGAGGCCCGAAUCUGAAAGGGCAGCCCUGAAACCAUUUAUCUUCCACUGCGGGUGGGCAUGAGAGCCGCGGUUCUCUGAGGAAUUGAGAAGGUCGUUGAAGUCCCCUAGGCAGACCCAUGGUAACGACGAAGAAGAAGCUAGGUACCGGAGAAGAUUCCAAGAAUCAUGUCUGCGAAAUGACUCGGGAAACCCAUAGAAACCCGUAAGUCUCCAGAUGCCCCUUUCACUAUCCUCAACUGCAACGUCUAUGAAAUUACGACCAAACUUCAAUAGUUUAACUUUAAAACUAUUUUUCCAGAACAUAGUAACCCCACCACUACGACCCUUUCUAUCCACCACAAACAAACCCUCAAAGCCUAAUUUAAUUUUGAUGCUUUCUAACUUAUCUCUGUAACAUAAUGUCUCAAUCAAAAAAAUAAAGUCCGGUCUUUUAUUAUGGACCAACUCAACAAGAGCUUGAACUGACCGUGGGUGGCCCAACCCACGACAAUUCCAACUUAAACAACUCAUUGCUGUCGGUGGGCCUGGGAUACAGGGCCCACCGCUGGUCCAUUUUUUGAGUGCUCACUCAUCUCUAUUGUCUCGUUAUCAGCAUGCUCUUCUAAAGUCAAAUUGAUAGAAGGCCCACCUCCUGAUCUUCUCCGUUUUGCAUCAACUAAAAUUAAUGCAGAAUUAUACUCCACAUCAGUUUCCUUCACAAGCAUCGAAUGAUUAGCUAUUAGUUCCUCGUCAAUUCCAGCUACACACGUUGACUUACAGCCUGUUACAAGAGUAUUAGUUUCCAUAGUAGAAGUCAUUGUGGCUUGAUCACUUUCCUUCCCAAGGUCUCCAUGACCAGCUGUCCCAUGAUUCACGCUAUUUUCCAAGUCAACUGCCAUUGCAACAGCGGAAGUUGAGGAAUUACCAAAUUUCACCUCAUCUAUCUCCAACACUCCCGAUCUGAGCCAAUGGUCACCAGUGUUCAUCGAAUUUCUCCGAUUGGGAGCCUUCAUCCAAGGGCCAUAAGGUUUUGUAACAGGGGUAGCAUCGGUUUCAUAUAUUGAAGGGCAAUUUAUAUCAGUGUGUCCUAAAAUGCCAUAGAUAAAACAAAAAUUGUGCAGUCGCUCAUACUUGAAGUCUACCCAUAACCACUCCCCACCCUCCCAUUUGAGGCGCAUUCGUCGUUUAAGAGGUUUCCUAACAUCAAUCGAAACCCUCAGCCUCAUGUAAUUACGCCAUACUCCUGUAAGAUUAUGUUCAUCAGACGCCAAAAAUUCACCAAUAAAGUUGCCAAUACUCUGUAAUAUUUUCUCGGAUUGAAAUCCAAGAGGCAGAUUAUACACUUGAACCCAGAAAUAUGUGUGGAAUAGAGGGAUAUUCUGCGGUUGUUCAACUACCCCAAGUCUCCGAAUGAUAAGAAUAUGCUGGUCAAAAGUCCAGGGACCAGAUUCAAGAACCCUCCUCACAUCAAUUUCAUGAAAGAACUGGAAGAGAAAAAGCGUGGGAGAUAAAUCCUUAAUACAAACACCACGCCCAGGACGCCAUAACGAAGCCAUAGUAUUUUUCAUGGCAAUAAAGUUCACUACUUUAUCCGUGAGAAAUCUUCCCACAAGGCAGAAUUUGGAAUCAAGGCGGAUAUCCCCAGGUUCACCAAUAUCUCCUCUCCAGCCACAAUCAAACCACCCUCCUCCUCUUCGUCAAGUUGCAGGCGCGCACAGAUGUUGCUCAUCUCAGAUGCCGGAGUAUUACUUGAGUUGGCCAUGGAUUAAAGAAAGAAAGGAUCGAAUCCGUAGACAGUAGAGAAAUAACAAAAGGAGACCAGAUUUUACUUGUCAAAAGACAAGACACACACACUUGUCAAAAGACAAGACACGAAUAAUUUUCCCACCUUAAAAGCUGGAAUAUCUUGGAACACUCUAAUGCACACUCGGUAAAAACAAAAGCAUGCUAAUUAAUAAACAUUUUUCACCAAAACCAAAACAGUGCUUGCCAUUUCUUUUUUGCACAGAAACCAAAACAAUGCUCUUAUCUUCCAUGCGGAACUUCCAGCAACUUUCACCGGCAACGGCUGGACAUAUUAGCGAUGGCUGGACAUUUCAGAAUGGAGACGGUUGAUGAAUGUGCGACGGGUCGGGUGCUGGUGGUGCUGGCAGUGGCAGAAAGAUCGCGCUUGGCGGGUGUUAAGUGAUACUAUUUUUGUAGCUUAGUCGCAGUUGCCGGAGAUACGUGGACGGCCAGCAAAAAGUACAUUAAUAUCUAUGUGUUUGAGAAGUUAUUCCAACCUUCUCUUAGAAUACUAUAAUCAGAUUUGAGUGGUUCUGUAAAUCAAGUUUGAACUAAUAAAUCCAUUCGGUGACUGUUAAUCCUAAGUACUAGUGUCGCUUGAUUUUUAUCUUAACCCGACACCGUGUGUUCUGCACUUGCUAUUUGUACUGAAAUAGAAGAUUAUCUCUUGAUGAUUAUUUAAUUGAAAAGAAUUUGUCGUUUAUAUUUGUUCACUGGCCUUUGGAUGAGGAUCACAUGUUUUAUGACAAUCCUAAUGUUGCUAAUGUAAGUCAAGCAAUUAUUUUUAAAUAAUGAUAUUAUAAUUAAAAAUCUAAAAACAUUUAUAAUACUUAAAGACUAAUUCAGAUUAUUAAUUUUUUUAUAUGACUUCAUUAUUAGCUGACAAAUAAUUAAAAGGCCAUAGAACAAUAUUUUUAGGUCCAAUUUUUACAAAACUUGUACUUUCAUUCCUAAGCUAAAAUAUAUCUAACCUACUAACAAUCAAGAAAUAUAUCUAUUCAACACAUAUUUGUUAGAAAGAUUAUCUACUAAUUAAUCAUUGGUUACGAGAUUAAUAUAUUGAAAUUCAGAACUUUUUUUUUUCCUUCUGCAGUUUAAAAAGGAGUCGCCCACGAGUAUUGAAAUAAUUUUAUCAGAUUCGCUUGAAAGUAGUUUUACGAGCAAGCAGUUUUUCCCUCUUGAUCCCCGUAUUCGUCAGCUCCUACUCUUUGCCUUCAAUUCUCAGUCAAGAAAACCUCUCCUGAUUUUCGUCUUUUGAUCUCAUACACACUUUGCUUCUAUUUAUCGUGGUCACUGCUCAUGCUAGCCGUUUUCUUAUUUACCUUCGUUCCCUUUCGCCAUCAGCUAUUUGCAUUUUCAUUGGAUCAAGCAACCCUUUUAUUGAUUCAAUUUUCUGAUCUAAAAAACACUUUGAUUUCCCUUGUUUUGUACAAAUAUCAUUUCUUUUUUCAACUUUGCCUUGUUUUGCUUCUACUUGAUUAUCAAUUGCGCGGUCGUUGACCCUGUUCUAUUUCUAUUCCGUUCACUUCCUCCCCCCCCCCCCCCCCAACAAAAAAAAAUGGACAUUUUGAAAAGCAUUGUUCCUGGAGUUGUAAACUGCUUGUCUCCGCGCGCACAACGCGAAUUUAGUUAUUGGUACAACUCCGCUGCCAACUUUGAGAAUUUCAAGGCAGAACUCGAUAGGCUCAAGGAUGAAAGAGAAAGCAUUCAGCACAGAGUUUCGGAGGCUGAAAGAAAAAGUGAAAAGAUUGAAAAGAAGGUUGAGAAAUGGGUGGUUAAUGCGAACAAGAGCAUUGAGCAGGCAGCCAAAUUCAUUCUAGACGAAGAGAAAGCAAAUGAACGAUGUCUCAUGGGGAUGUUUCCUAAUUGGAUUACUCGCUAUCAGCAUGGAAAGAAAGCAGAAACAGAGAAGGAGGCCUUUUUUAAGCUCCGAGAAGAAGCUGGGAGAUUUGAUGAUAGAAUUUCCUACCGUACCAUUCCGGAGGAGAUUUGGCUCAAGUCUCACAAAGGCUACGAGGCCUUCGAAUCAAGACGUUCUACUUUGGAGGCUAUAAAAAAUGCAUUGAUCGAUGUUGAUGUCAGCAUCAUUGGGGUGUCCGGCAUGGGCGGCAUUGGAAAGACGACACUGGUGAAGAAGGUCGCCAGGCAAGCUAUGGAAGACAAGCUCUUUGAUAUGGUGGUCUUUUCAGAGGUUUCCCAAAUCCCAGACAAAAAAAGGAUUCAACAGGAAAUUGCCGAGAAGUUGGGCCUAGAGUUGGGCGAGGAGGUUGAAUCCAGAAGAGCAAGUAGAAUAUUUGAGCGAUUGAGAGAUGAGAAGAAGAUCCUAGUGGUUUUAGACAACAUCUGGAAACACCUUGAUUUGGAGACCGUUGGAAUUCCUUGUGGAGAAGACCAUGAAGGAUGCAAACUACUGCUGACAGCAAGAGAUCGUAGUGUCCUCUUAAAAAUGGGAUCUAAAGACAACUUCUUGAUUAACAAUUUAAAUGAUGAAGAAGCAUGGAGAUUGUUUAAGAUGAUGGCCGGUGAUGAUGUUGAAAAUCGUGAGUUGAAAUCUACAGCAACAGACGUCGCCAGGGCAUGUGGAGGUUUGCCCAUUGCCUUGACUACAGUGGCAAAGGCACUGAGAAGCAAGAGUCUGCAUGAAUGGAAGAAUUCCUUGCGAGAACUCCGAACGCCUUCAAUGGUAAACUUCGAAGGAGUAUCUGCAGAGACUUAUUCAAGUAUUGAGCUGAGUUUCAACCAUUUAAAAGGUGAGCAACUCAAGAAAAUUUUUCUGCUCUGUAGUCUAAUGGAUAACCGUAUUCUUACUUCGGACUUGUUUAAGUACUCCAUGGGUUUGGGUAUAUUUAAAGGAGUCAAUAAGAUGGAAGAUGCACGAGACAAAUUAUAUGCAUUAGUCCAUGAACUUAGACACUCUUGUUUGUUGCUUGAGGAUGAUAGCAAUGAACAAUUUUCAAUGCAUGAUGUUGUUCGCGAUGUCGCAAUAUCGAUUGCAUGCCGCCACCAACAUGUGUUUUCGGUGAGAAAUGAUGAGGAUGUGUGGGACUGGCCAGAUGAGGAUACACUUCAAAAAUGCAAUGCUAUCUCUUUAAUAAAAAAUAGUAAUUGUGAAUUUCCUGAAGGAUUAGAAUGCCCAAACCUUGAAUUUUUAUAUAUCUCUCUCAAAGAUUCUUCUCGUGAAAUUAAUAUUCCUGGGAACUUUUUUGUAGGGAUGAAAAACCUUAGAGUUCUAGAUUUCACUCUAAUGCAGUUUUCUUCUUUUCCAUCUUCAAUUGAUCUUCUAGUAAAUCUUCACACACUAUGUCUGGAUCAAAGUUCGUUGGGGGACAUAGCAAUCAUUGGGAAGUUGAAGAGUCUAGAAGUCCUUAGCUUUGUGAGGUCUGAUAUUAAGAAGUUGCCCGAAGAGCUAGGUCAACUGUCUAAGCUAAGGCUGUUUAAAAGUCGGCGGCGCUUUUCGGUCAACAGUGAUCGCAAGAGUUUAAGAGCAUUGAAGCUCAAGCUUGAUUUUAUGGACAUUUGCUCCAUGAAAUUGCAGGGCAUCAAUAACGUAGAAUGCUUAUGGUUGGACAAGCUGCAAGGCAUCGAGAAUGUUCUUUUCAAUUUGGACACAGAGGGCUUUUCACAAUUGAAGCUUCUCUGGGUUCAAAAUAAUCCUGACAUCUUUUGUAUCGUCGAUUCAAGGGAGAUGGUCGCUUGUGAUGCCUUUCCUCUUUUGGAGUCACUUGGCCUUCACAAUUUGAUCAACAUGGAGAGGGUAUGUAUUGAUCGGCUCAAAGUAGAGUCUUUCAACAAACUCAAAACCAUAGAAGCAUAUAGUUGCGAUACGUUGAGUAAUAUCUUUUGGCUCUCUACUACAGAAUGCCUUCCAAGACUUGAGAGAAUUGCAGUUAUUAAUUGCAGCAAGAUGAAAGAGAUUUUUGCAAUUGGGGGAGAAGUUGAUAAUGCAAUUGAGAAGAUAGAGUUUGCUCAAUUAAGAUCUUUGAGUCUGGGGAAUCUUCCAGAGGUUACAAAUUUCUGCCGUGAAGUAAAGACUCCUUCAGCAUCACCAAACAGACCAGUGUCGCAAGAGGAAUCGACGACUAUGUAUUGCUCCAGCGAAAUCACUUUGGAUACUUCAACCCUGCUUUUCAACGAGAAGGUGCGUAAGCUUACAUUUUUUUUAUUCUAUCAUGCGUUCUCUUUUGAUGUCAUACGUGGAAAAUAAUUAAAUCAUUUAAAAAAUGGAAAGAAAAUGGAAAAAAGGAUAAAAAGAAUCUCACGCGCUCACUAAUUGAGCUCUUAACAAGUAGUAUGAAUUAGAAUGCAUCAAACUCAGCUGUCAGUUGGAAAUUGAUUCUGACUUGCAUUAUUCUGUAAUCAAAGAAGAAAAUUUCAACAAGUGCUUCCCAUAUGGAUAUUGGAUCUAACGAGAAAUUCUUUUUUUUUUAGGUUGCGUUGCCUAACUUGGAGGCUUUGGAGAUAUCUGCAAUUAAUGUCGACAAGAUUUGGCACUACAAUCAUCUUCCGGUCAUGUUUCCUCGCUUUCAAAAUUUAACACGAUUGAUUGUGUGGCGUUGUCACAAACUAAAAUACAUAUUUUCAGCGUCUAUAAUCGGAAGCCUUAAGCAGCUCCAACACCUACGUAUACGCCACUGUGAGGAUUUACAGGAGAUCAUUUCUGAAAACAGAGCAGAUGAAGAGAUCCCUAAUUUUGUCUUUCCACAGCUCACCACUGCAGAUUUAUCGCAGAAUAAUGAGAAUGAUCAACUUGGUAUUCCUGCACAACAGCCCCCAUUGCCGUUGGAAAAGGUAUGAAGACAUUUUCUAGAUUUUUUGUCUAUAGCUUAUUUUUAGCUUUGAAAAAUAUGGCAAAGCAUCCAUAAAUUAAUACUCAAUAAAUUGAAAACUUUUAUUAUACAAUAAUAUUUGCUAGUCUAGAUUAAGAGAUCAAUGUAGUAGAUUAAUAAUUAUAUGAACUUUUUUUGGUAUAGCAUUUAUAAAAGAAUCCUUAGUCUUUCCAUAUAGAAGAACUUACAAAAUAAAUUAGUAAUUUAUUAUUGUGCAAUAAAAUAAUUUCGAGCCAGUAUGAAUCAACCUUUUUCCCUAAUUUCUUUCUUACCUCUAAAAUUAACAUAUAAAAUAAAUUUUAUCAAUAAUUCAAUUUUUUUAAAAAUAUAAUAUAAAACAAAUACUAUAAAGUCACUGCGUGUGACCGUAGAUCAUCAAUUGACCUCAUUAGUUAUUAUGAUUGAUGAUGAUCAGAUCGUACCCAACUUGAAGGAACUAUCACUAAGUGGAAAAGAUGUGAAGAUGAUUUUGCAGGCCGAUUUCCCACAACACCUUUUUGGCAGUCUUAAACAACUAGACAUUGUUGGAGAUGACUCAGCUUGUUUUCCAAUCUGGAACGUACUGGAGAGAUUUCACAAUCUCGAAAUGCUCAUACUGCGUUAUUUUUCAUCCCACGAAGAGCUAUUUUCGAUGGAAGGAUGCUUAGAGAAACAUGUGGGGAAGUUGGCAAUGAUAAAAGAAUUAGAGCUGCACGGGCACGAUCAUCUGAAGCAGCUGUGCAAACAAGACUCCAAACUUGGCCCCAUUUUUCAGUAUCUUGAAAUUCUAAGAGUAUAUUAUUGUCAAAGUCUGUUAAUUCUAUUGCCAUCAUCAUCGGUAUCUUUUGGGAACCUAACAAAACUUGAAGCUUUCGGUUGCAAGGAAUUGAUACACUUGGUAACAUCCUCCACAGCAAAAACUCUAGUGCAACUCGUCACAGUGCGUAUAUAUGGAUGCAGAGCAAUGACAGAGGUGGUAAUAAAUGACAAAGGAGUUGAAAAAGAAGAGAUUGUUUUCAGCAAAUUGAAGACAUUAGAACUUUGUGAUUUAGAUAGCCUCACAAGUUUCUGCUCUGCCAAUUACACCUUCAGAUUCCCAUCUUUGGAAUAUCUGGAAGUGAUUGGUUGUCCCAAGAUGAAGAUUUUUGCUACAGGAGAAUCAAUCACGCCUCCAAGAGUAAAUGUCUGGUAUGGAGAGACAGAGGAUCGAUGGCUUUGGACCAAUAAUGAUCUAAACACAACCAUACAACAAUUACACGCUGAAAAGGUACGGAUAUACAUAGUACUCUCUAUCUCCCAUGGAAACAUUUUACAAAAUUUUUUUUUUUAAUAAAAUAUAGAUAAGAUAGUUGUUAUAAAGUAAAAGUUUAAAUUGAUGAAUAAGAAUUUUAUUUUCAGCUGUUGGCGGUGCCGUCGAUAUUCUCUACCCAGUACUAAUUUCAUAGGCUUCUUAUGACUUGGGAGUUGUGUAUUUUUAGAAGAAAGCCUCAGCUGGUAAUUAAUUUUUAUUUCAUUUAUUUGAUCUCAUGGCUUGUUUCGCAAUUUCAUCUGAAUUAUUUAGAAUGGGUCAAUCGGCUUACUGUUAAAUUUGGAAUGCAAUUUUAAUGAUUCGUUCAGACUUUUGUGGACAGAUUUUGCAUCAUUGAAUGUCUUCUAGUCUAGUUUAAUUUGAGUUUUUUUUCUUUUUUUUGAGAGUUCCCCUUGUUUUCUAAAAUUUUAUAAUUCCUUGCAUACUUUGUAUGAUAAAAUUUCAUUAAAAGCCUUCAUAUUUUAUAAUUCCUUGAAAACAUCAUUGCUGUUCUGUUAUUUUAGUUUGGUUUGCUUCACACCUAUCUUUCUUUGGAAAUUUUUUUUUUUUUUUUUUUGAUGAUCUUUCGAAAUGCUCUUCCCUAUGAACACAUAAUUAAGACCAGCUGAAAAUCAUUCAUCGGAUAAAAAAUUAAAAAUAAACAAAAUCUAAUCAGAGCAUUAUGCCUAGAACAAAUCCUUAAACCAUCAAAGCAAAACUCUUCGCUAUGAAAAAAUAUACUGUGGAAAUAUUGUUUGAAAACGUUGGAUACCAAGAAAGGGACUAAUUUGGUCUAGUUUUAUGAGAAGUAUAGAAGAACGUUGUUUUCUCUGUUUUUCCUGUUAGAACUCUUUACUCUGUGAUUGUAGAAUGUCUGGAUACUGAUGAAGAUUCAAGUAACUCUUCUCCUAUGCAUCAUUUGAAAUAAGGUUUUUUUUUUUGGGGGGGUAAUAUCUCCUACUGGGUUAUAGUUCAUACAAAGAGAUUCUUAAAUCAAGCCGGAUACUGCUAGAAACAAGUGGGGAAGUAGGCACUGAUAAAAUGGUUAAUCCUGUCGAGACUUAAUCAUUGAAGCAACUCCAAACUGGACUCCAUUUUAAAUAUCUUGACAUUCUAAGACUAUUUUACAAGCAUUUAAGUCUAUUCCCAUGAUCAUCUAUAUCUUUUGGGAAUCUAACAGAACUGUUAGUUUUCCAUUGCAAGGAAUUGUAACAUCCGUCCACUACAGCAGAAAGUCUAGUGCGGCUCGUAUCAAUGAAGGUAGCUGGAUGCAGGGCAAUGACAGAGGUGGUAAUAGGUGACGGAGAAGAAGAUGAAGCACCAAAUUUAAAUUCAAAACAAGAGAUUGUUUUCAGAUAAAGAUUCUUGAAAUUGUCCUACUUACUGCUGACAUUUCCACAAGAAGUUAGAGAAUAUAAAAAAUUCAUUAAUCGUUAGUUUUUAAUUUCAUUAUUCAAUGAAAAGCCCUGUCAAAUUAAAUUGCAAAUCUCAAUGUGCAAGUACCUAAAUUUACAAAAUUUACUUUAAAUUAAUGAAUGAAAGAAUUUAUAUUCUGCUGUUGGAGGAGUCGUCAUCUCUCUCGACAUAGUAUACGAUAUGUUUUGAUCCCAUAGGCUUUUUAAUAUAUUACCUUGUGUUGUUUGAUCUCUAGGUUUAUUUUAUCGUUUCAUCUUAUUAUUUGCAAUGCGUCAGUUGGUUUAUUUGUUAAUUUUGGAAUGAAGUUGAUGCAGCUGAUGGUUGCAUAGGAUGAGUAGGAUAUCACUCCUAUAUCAUAACUUGAGCGGGUAUCUAUUCGGCAAGAAAUUCUGUUUAUUUCGUAGUUAUUUUACAAAGUUUAAGUUAUUUUCUUAUUUUUCUUAUUAUUUUCAAUAUUUUUAUAUUUUUUCUCUAAAUAUAAGAUUUUAAGUAUGAUUUAUUUUAUUUUUCUUAUUUCAGUUAGGAGAACGUUAUUAUGUAAUAAUAUUUCAAGUUUGUCUAUUUUGAUAAAUACAUAAUAUUUAGAAUUUGUGUAAAAAGGGUCCAAUACCCUAAUUUUGUUAUUCAAACUUCUAUUAAUAAAAUUUCAGACUUUUUAAAAAAAUUUCUCUAUGUUUUCAAUCUCAACAUCUAUGUUUCCCUUUCAUCAUAAGUUCUAAUGUCUGGUUCUGAGCUAGCUUUAUGUGCAUAUUAGACAUCAUUGAAGGUCUUUUGAUCUGAGUUAUGAUCAAAAAAUUAUGCUCGCUUCUGUCUGGUUGUAUGAAAAUUGUACAAAAUAAUAUUCUUAUAUAAUUUUUAUCCUCCAUUGUUACAGAAUCCCCAAGCUUCGAAUUUGUAAACUUUGAAAGCAUGGCAGAAAACUUAGUACUUAAUAAGGCUCUGGAAUAAGACUCUUUAUGGCUUCAAUAUUUUACUUAACAUGAAAUUUUCUUUCUAGCUAGCAUCAUUGUGAAGAUAAAUUGUGGUAGUUCUGACAAGUACUGCACAAUUAAUGUUACCAGCAAUCAAUUGGCGUGAGCACCAACAACCAUUUUCAUAUUUAAGCCUUUAGAAAAGUAACACAAAAUAUGGCAAGUGGCAACCACAUCAAACAAUCAAAUUGUUGAAAGAUUUUGAAAGCUUUAAUUUGCUUGAUAUAUAUUUGAAUAUUUCAACAGAUGCAUCUUUUCUCCACUCAUGGGGCACGUUGAGUUAGAAACGGUUUGAAUGUCAAUAUUACUCCAAGUGCCUCCACCGAAUUCAGAAUGAAAAAAAUCAUCUGGUUACCUGCACUUUAGUUUAAGCAGCUAACUAAGCUAAUUAGCACCAAGUAAUUCACAAACUAGUGAGAAAUUUCAUUAGUUAAUUAUCAUACCUGUUAUUAUACCAUAAACCAACCAAUUAAUUUAAACUUUGGCACAUACAAAAUUUGAAAAAGCUGAAAGCAUGGAAAUGUACUAAACAAACAAAAGAAAAUAUAUUUACCACUGCUCUAUUUUGCAGAAGGAACAAUCCAGUUAUUGUAGACACCUGAUGUUACAAUUCAGGAAAAGUAAAAAAGAAUUACAGCAAUUCUAAUAAAAAAGACAUAAAAUAAUUUUAUACAUACUUUCUGGUGGAUAAUAUAACCUAAGUAUAUGGAUCAAUGAUUAGGAUAUCCACUUACAGAUAAAACAUUCUUCAUCACAGAAGCACAGUUUAUCAAAAAGGCAAGGCUGAACCCAGAUAGCAUUGCUAUGUAAGUGUAACUUGUCAAAAGCGGUAUCGAUAAAACCUGUACAUACAUAGAAAGUUAUGGGACCAAAACCAUGAAGAAAAGUAUUUUAUAAACAGAUAUGUUUGAAACAAACUAUCAAAUGGUCCAAAUGCCGCAUGAGGUGUUCAAAAUAUUACCCCCUGCAAUUCAUGUUAUGAUUAUUGGCCCAAUAAUCCUCUCGACGUAAGGGUACAGAGUAAGUUGAAAAACAAGGAGAAUGAAACCUAUAGUAAGUUCAAAAUGAGGACAAUCGACAAUCGUCAAGCAGUUUUGUGGGGGUGAUGCAUGCGAAAGCAAGUACAGAAAACAAGUAACAUUUUUAGUUUCGUAAUAAGUUUGGUGCUGAUCGCGCAAUAUUUCACAUGCAUAUGCCUCGUGGUGUAAGAGAAGUUUGAGCACAAAUAUUUACAGGAACUAAAUUGGAAUUAUCAAUAAAUACCCCCAAUCAACACCUUUAUUGGUCCAAGUAAACCAUUCAAUUGAAAGAAAUUGAGAGAAAAUAUUGUUUGGUUGCUGAGAAAAUAUCUCAGAAAAUUUCCAGAGAACUUUCGGAUUUCUUGUAUUUAUUUUUCUUAGAAAGAAAUGUUAUGAUUACAACUUAUUUAUACUCAAAACUCAAGGAUUACUAAAGCUAAUGACUAACUAAUUCAGUAGAAUCUCCACAUGCAUAACCACAGCUCGAUAUACAAAGUAAUCACACCAGACUGUUAACUACUUAAGCUGAGGUGGCAGCUGAGCUGUCAUUCUGCUUACAUUCAUCUGACAUCACCAGCUUGCUGGUUUUCCUUAGCUUGUGCAGCUUCCUCUUUUCUGCACAAUGAGCUUCUCUAACAGCCCCCCUCAAACUCAAAGGACAAGAGUGAACAUUGAGUUUGGCCCUCAAGUAAUUAAACUGUAUGAAGGAAAGAGGUUUAGUCAUUAUGUCUGCAACUUGAUCUGCACUUGCUAUAUAUUGAAUGCUGAGCUCCUUAUUAAGAACCUUGUUGCGAAUAAAAUGUAUGUCAAUCUCAAUGUGUUUUGUUCUGGAAUGGUAAACUGGGUUCUUGGCCAAUUCAGCUGAACUAAUGUUAUCACACCAAAUAAUAGGUUUAGCUAUGCAGCAUACUCCAACUUCAGCAAACAAGGACUGUAACCAAGUUAAUUCUGCACUAGCUGAUGCCAAUGCCCAGUACUCACUCUCGGCACUUGACCUAGCUAUUACUCCUUGCUUUUUAGAAGACCAUGAUAUAAGAUUAUUACCCAGGUAGAUACAAUAUGCACUCACUGAUUUCCUGUCAUCUAAAUCACAUGCCCAAUCAGCAUCUGUAAAUCCAGUAAGCUCUAUAUUGCCUUCUUUAAUGAUCUUUAAACCAUAGUCCUGAGUGGCCUUUAGAUAUCUUAAAACCCUUUUACAUGCCAUGAGAUGCUGUAGUGUAGGAGCAGAUACAUACUGACUGAGUUUGUUAACUGCAAAAGCAAUCUCAGGUCUUGUCAAAACCAGAUACUGCAUGCUUCCAACAAUGCUUCUAUAGUAUGUAGGAUCUUCAAGAUAAUGACCAAGCUGUCCUUGAACAGACUUCUGUAACUUCAGACCAGUGCUUAAAGGAGUAUCAAUGCCCUUACAAUUAAUCAUAUCAACCUUAGCUAACAAAUCUCUGAUGUAUUUCCUCUGAGACAGAAAUAUGCAAUCUUCAUCAUAUAAGACUUCUACCCCAAGAAAAUAAGAUAAAAUGCCAAGAUCUUUUAAAGCAAAAGUUGAGCUUAGUGUUGCAAUAAAAUGUUCUAAUUCAGCACUGCUAGGACCUGUAACCAAGAUAUCAUCCACAUAUAUCAACACAAGAAUCAUGGAAGUAUGACUCCUUUUCAAAAACAGAGAUGUAUCAGAAGUAGUAUUAGUGAAUCCCCACUGCAGCAAGCAGCUCUUAAGUUUAUCGUACCAAGCUCGAUGAGCUUGUUUAAGUCCAUAAAGAGACUUGUGCAAUUUACACACAUAACCAGGCUUUGUGUUGUCAAUAAAACCUGUUGGCUGAGACAUAUAAACUUCUUCUGUCAAAUCCCCAUUGAGAAAUGCAUUAUUGACAUUAACUUGUCUAAUUUUCCAUUUGUUCAUCACUGCUAAGCUUAAUACCACUCUGACAGUUGCUGGUUUAAUAACUGGACUAAAGGUUUCAAAGUAGUUUACCCCUGCAAUUUGUUGAAAACCUUUGGCAACAAGCCUAGCUUUGUAUUUGGCUACACUCCCAUCAGUGUUGUAUUUAAUCCUAUACACCCACUUAUUAUCCACAAUCUGUUGAUCAGUCUCUUUAGGAACCAAGGACCAAGUAUUAUUGUGAACUAAGGCAUCAUACUCAUCUUGCAUAGCCUUCACCCAUCUAGAAUCACUCAAAGCCUCUUGCACUGAAUCUGGUUCUUUGUGAGUGAGAAUGGUUGUAUACACUUUUGGUUUAAAAGUGCCAGAUUUGCUUCUGGUGCUCAUAGGAUGAAUGUUGGAUUGUAUUUGAGGUAAGUCAACAGGAGGAGUUAAUGAUGUUGUAUUAUCAGAAACAGAGGCAGAUAAGAAAUAUUGUGUAUUAACAGGUAGAUGAGUUUGAGAACUUACUUGCUGUGAAUUUUGAUCAUUUGUUGUUUGUGCAGGAUUUUCUGAGUGAGUUGAGUUGCUGCUAUCAGGGUUUGCAGAUAAGGAAUAACCAGUGCUAUUUUCAGUAAAUGAUUGAACAACAGGCAAAGUGGAAAGAUGAUAUAUUUGCUGAGGAGAAAAGGAAGUAGAAGAAAGAGGUGAUGAUGAUGACUCCGUGAAACAAUGAAAGCUAGAAUCAGUAGAGUAAGAAAAAGUGAGUUCAUCAAAUAUGACAUGUCUUGCUAUGUAAAGAUGACCUGAAGGAUGUAAGCACUUGUAACCUUUGUGUGAUGAACUAUAUCCUAGAAAAAUACAUUUACUGGAAUGAUAGUCAAAUUUGUGUUGGUUAUAAUCCCUCAAGUAAGGAUAGCAUGCACAACCAAAACACUUAAGCAUAUCAUAGUUGGGUUGGUGUUUGAAAAGUUUCUCAUAGGGAGACAAAAGUUUGAGAACAACAGAAGGCAAUCUAUUUAUGAUGUACACAGCUGUAUGAAAUGCUUCCCACCAAAAUUUAAAGGGUAAUUUAGAUUGAGCUAGCAGUGUAAGUCCCAUUUCAACAAUAUGCCUAUGUUGUCUCUCAACCAAUCCAUUUUGAUGAUGAGUGUAUGGGCAGGAGUGUCUAAAAAUGAUACCACACUGAUUUAAGAACUCAGUGAAAGGUCUGUACUCACCCCCCCCCAAUCAGAUUGUAACUGCUUAAUGGUGGUUUGAAACUGAUUUUCAACCUGUGUUUUGAAAAGCUUAAAGACACUUAGAGCUUCAGACUUAAACUUUAGAGGGUAGAUCCAGGUAAACCUGCUAAAAUCAUCCACAAAACUGAUAUAAUAGUGAUAUCCAUCUCUAGUGUAGACAGGUGAAGGACCCCAGAGAUCUGUAUGUAUCAGUUCUAAAAACUUGGUUGUUUUGGUUGUGGAUGAAGGGAAAUGAAGCUUAUGGCCUUUGCCCAUUUGACAAGCUUCACAGAUGUAUUGCAGUGCUUGUAUUAUUUGAUUAUCAGAAAAAUUUGCAGACUUGAUGUUUUUGAGAACAAGCUUUAAGAUAUAUUGAUUGGGAUGACCAAAUCUAUUAUGAAACAAAGCAAUCUUAUUCACUGAUGUUGUACAAGAUAAUGCAGUAGAUGAAUAACAAGAUUUUGAAUGGCUACAAUCUGCAUUAUUAACAUCAGUUACAGAAUUAAAAUGAAAACAUCACAACAUUGACAUUGGCUUAUUUGAACUGAUCUGAGAUAGAAAAGAUGAUUUAGAGAAUGAGUAUGGUUUGAAUAACAGCCUGUAUAAUCCUCUUUCAGCAAUACCCUGUAGCAGAACUUCCCCCUUCAGAGCAUCCUUCACAUAACAAAUAUUUCCAAGAAAUUCAACAGACAAAUGGUUAUCAGAUGUGAGUUUAGAAAUACUCAAUAAAUUUUUGGUAAUUGAAGGGACAAGAAGAAUAUCUUUCAGUACUAUGUGUGGGUGUUUGUGUUGAGCAAAUGAAGUUUUAAAAACAAAUUUAGCAUCACCAACAUGAGUUAUGGGCAAACCUUGUCCAUUUCCAAUGAUAAGCUGAUCAGAACCAUUGAAUUCCUCUCUGACCUGUAUAUUAGCCAUGUUGUUGGUUAAGUGAUGAGUUGCUCCACUAUCAAGAUACCACCCUUCAUCAGCAGGCCCUUCAAAAUUUGCAAGAUAAGCAGCUCCAGGUGCAGAAGACAUUUCAGAUGAACAAUGAGGCAUAGAAGAAUAUGUCACUGGAUCCAGAUUGUAAGACUGAUAAUUUAAGCAGUUCAUAGCAUAAGAAUCAUCAAAAUAUGGUGCAAACUCAGCAUGUGAGUUAAAUGUAGUCAUAUAAGCUGACUUAGGUCCUCUUCCUCUACCAAAAUGCCUUGACUGUGGCACAUAAUUCUCAAUAUAUAUGUGCCAACAAGCAUCAGCUGUGUGCCCUGACUUAUGACAUAUCUGACAAACAGGAAUGUUAUCAUCUGAUUCAGUUCCAGCUAACACAAAACCUUGACCAUAAGGCUUAGGAUGUGAUAAGACUUUGUGAAACUGCAUUGGCAUAGAGUUGCCUCUUCCAAAAUUAUGACCACUGUUAUUAAAGCCUCUAGGAUAUGUAUUAAACAUCAUUCCUCUUCCAGCAUUUCUGUUUCCAUUAUGAAUUUGUCCACGAUAUCCUCCAUAACCAAAACCUCAUCUUCUAUUAUUCCCUCUGACUUGAGAAUAAUUGGAAUUCAUCACUCUAUAGUUAGCAUUGAACAUGACUUUAGUAUUCUGAUUGGUCUGACUUUGUUCUAAUCGUGCCUCAUGUGUUAACAGUAAGGCAUAAGCAUCAUCAUAAGACAUCUUAUUAGCUGUGAUAAUAGAUGCAAGAUCUAAAUAACCAGUCCCUAAUCCAUUUAGAACUUGCAUUAACAAAUCCCUUUCUGACAUAGGACUACCAGCACAGGCAAGUUUAUCAGCUAAUAUUUUGACUUUUAAGCAAUAUUCUUCAACAGACAUGGAUUCCUUUCUAAGUACAUUCAAUUCAUAACGAAGUUGCAUUAUUUUAGCUUCAGACUGAGCUCCAAAUUGUUUCUCAAUAGAUCUCCAAGCAUCUCGUGAAUUGUCACAGUUAAGAAUAGAACUGAGAAUACCUUCAUUAACUGAUGGUAACAGCCAGCCAAGUAGUAUUUGAUCUUGAGCUCUCCAAUUUAUGUAUGCUGGAUUAUCCACUUUCUGCACUGAUCCAUCAGCUGUUGUUUGAAUGAUAUGUUGCUCUGGUAUGAUCUGAUUUUCAGAUAUGAAAUCUUCAAGCCGAUUUCCUCUGAUUGAUGUAAGAACUUGUUUUCUCCAGAUUAGGAAAUUAGAUCGAUCUAGUUUUAUUGGAUUACUGAAUGAGAAUGAGAUCUGUGAAGGUUGAUUUGCAUUUGUUGAAUUUGAAAGUGUUGUUGUGUUGCUGGAACUAGCCAUAUUGGCUCUGAUACCAUGAAAUAAAUUGAGAGAAAAUAUUGUUUGGUUGCUGAGAAAAUAUCUCAGAAAAUUUCCAGAGAACUUUCGGAUUUCUUGUAUUUAUUUUUCUUAGAAAGAAAUGUUAUGAUUACAACUUAUUUAUACUCAAAGCUCAAGGAUUACUAAAGCUAAUGACUAACUAAUUCAGUAGAAUCUCCACAUGCAUAACCACAGCUCGAUAUACAGAGUAAUCACACCAGACUAUUAACUACUUAAGCUGAGGUGGCAGCUGAGCUGUCAUUCUGCUUACAUUCAUCUGACGUCACCAGCUUGCUGGUUUUCCUUAGCUUGUGCAGCUUCCUCUUUUCUGCACAAUGAGCUUCUCUAACAAAAGCCCCAAGGAGAAACCUUGUAGCUAUGGCCAUCCAGAAAUUCACACUAAGCCCAAAAAGAGUGUUAAAAAUAAACCCUGUGAGCAUUUUAAGACAGACAAGAAAUCCAGAAAUUGCCGAAGUAUCAUCAAUUUCAAGCUUGAUCAUAUGAAAAUAGAAGUCACUAACACUGUGAUGCUUCCUAUUAUUAUUACAGGCUUUCGACCACAGCGGUCAGCCACCAUUUCUCACAAAACAGAUGUUAGAGCUCGGCCAAGCAUGUAUGAAGACCCUUCAAUUUCAUCAAGGUAUUAAGAUGUUUGUUAGGAUAACUUCUUGAGGAAUUUGAACUGUUAUAUUGGUCGUACGUACAUACACACACACACACAUACAUACAUAUAUACAUAUAUACAUACAUAUGUAAAUCGUUUCCAGGUGCGAACAUAUGUACUUUUUAAAGCAUAGACUUGGCCCUUUAAAGUUGUAAAGACGCGGGUCCGUAUUGUAAAGCUCUUGUACAGUGCGUUUACAGUGAUGUAAAGUCUCGGUAGAAUGUCUUCCCAGAGUUGUAAAGGCGUGAGUCAGCACUUUAUAAGGCGUGGACAUUCGUACCCAAGACGGACUCCAUACUGUGUGUCAGAAUUUGUUAUACCUUUUUUCUCUUCGUGUGAACGCAAGUUAGAGUGACAUCUAACAAACCACUGCGCAACUUCAAUUUCAUCAUGGUAUUAAGAGGUUUGUUAGGAUAACUUCUUGAGGAAUUUGAAGUGUUAUAUUGGUCAUACACACAUACAUACACACAUACAUACAUAUAUACAUCCAUACAUGUAGAUAUGUAAAUCGUUUCAGGUGCGAACAUAUGUACUUUUUAAAGCAUAGACUUGGCCCUUUACAGUUGUAAAGACGCUGUGAAGCGUUUGUACAGUGCGUUUACAGUGUUGUGAAGUCUCGGUAGAAUGUCUUUGUAGAGUCGUAAAAGCUUGAGUCUGCACUUUAUAAGGUGUGGACAUUCGUACAAAAAACGGACUCCAUAUUGUGUGUCAUUUAUUAAAUACAAUAAAAAAACAUAGAAUAACUCACCCACGUAACCAGCAUAGAAUCCAAUAUCUUGAUCCUUUUUGCAAUGUGAAAAUUCCUAAACUGAAAAAAAAUCAUAAAUGACUGCUGUGAAAAAGCAAUGAAUUAUUUGAAAUAUAAAACUUGUCUUUUCUUAUAUUUCUCAGAAAAUCACCAAGCAUGAUAGGAAAAUAUAAAUUUUCUCACUAAUAACCACUACGCUGAAGGCAAUAAUAAUCCACUCACCAUAAAAUAAAGGAAGGGAAAGAGAGAUGCGACCGGCAGAACUGAAAAAAAAAAUCACAAAAGAAUUGAAAAUCAUUGUAAAUGGUUCUCUCCAAAAUCAUUAUAUCGAGUUGAAGUUGAAAAAUUUUCCAGUUGCAAGCACAACAAUCCAAAUAAUUAAAAGCUUACGAAUUGGUAAGCCUCGUUCCGACUCUUUAAGCUUAUCAACCUUACAGCCUGAGCAGUUCUUAUAAUAUUUCUUCUUCAAUAGCGGCUCUCUCACUUUCCCCUCCGCCAUACUUGAAAAAUUUUCAGCUCAAGUAAUCGUCUUUGUCUAUUCAAUCCUAUUUCAAUGCUUAAAUAUAAGUACUUAGAAAAGAAGUAACAAAAUCAAUACAAAAGAAUCAAUGAGCUUAAGGAUAUAAUCAAACUAGAGAUAUAGUGAUCAUUUAAAGAAUUUUCAACAGAAUUCUAAAAUCAGUUGAUUUUCCAGCUGGGUCUGUCACCACCAUGGUAAUUAAAAUUAUUGGAUCCCAUGCAAAACAAAAAUUUUUCAUUACAUGCCCUCAUAGCUGACGUCCAAUUAAUCAUUACUCUUAUGAGAAUAAUUUUUGGUGACAAGAACAGCGGCAUCCUUGGACGUGGCAAAAUAAUCACAAAAAUCCCUUAUUUUAAAAAAUGAUCAUGAAAAUUUAUUGAGGAACACACAAAUUCAGGAUCUGUGUAACUAUUGUUAAAUACAAAAAAAGGUCUAUAUGCAUUAAAAAAGAGUUUGUAUGUUCAUUUUUUAAAAAUAAGGGAUAUUCAUGAUUACCAUGUUAAGCCACGAGAUGUCGUGUUGUUUUCUAAUUUUUCAUUAAAUCGUUGUUACACAAUUCGACAUGUAAAAGUAAUUUUUUUUUUUUGAGAGAUGGUAACAAACAUAGUGACAAAACUAUCAUAGUACCGUCUAAUGAUGAAACUAAUUGUUAAUUAAUUAAUAAAAAUACUAAGUGAUUGUAACGGUUCCGGUCACAGUCACAGUCAAAUAUAAUUAGGAUAAUUUAAUUUAAAUAAUGUGUAAUUAAAAAAAAAACCCUUUUUCCUUCGCCGCCUCUAUAAUUUAAUUUUGGGUUUGAUAUCUUUAGUUUUAAGAUUUUUGAUUAUUGGGUUUCUUUUUAUUGAAUUUUCUUAGUAUGAAUUUAUUUUGUAAAAGAAUUUUACAAUGAAAUUUGCUCUCAAGGAUUUUGGUAUCAUUAGUUUAGGGUUUCUUUCUAUUGGGUUUUAUUUGUUUUGGUGGGAUUAUUGGACUUAUUUUGUAAUGUACUGAUGAAUGUGUGUUUGAUUUUUUUCUUUCACAUUGGAAUCAUGCUUUGCCUCUGAUUUUGUAAUUUACUAGGUUUAUAAUCUUGGGUUCGUAAUCCGGAAAAAAAUCGUUUCCAUAUAAUUUUAAAAAUAUUAUAAUAAAUUUUUACUUUUUGAUUUAAAUUUUAUUAGUUGUAAGGGUAUGUUAGUACUUAUAUACCCAAUUCAUUUCAAAAUAGGGGUAGUAUAGUCUUUUAAAUUUAUAACAGCCUAAACAGUUAGAAUUAGUUGAUUUUUUUAACAGAAAUAGGGGGAGGUGCAUAUGGUCAAAAGAUGUGGGUGCGCUGUGUGAAAUACUGAACAAUUGGGAGCUGAUGCUUAAUGGAAGGAACAAAAUUCAGGAAAAGAGGAAUCAAAGUGCAAAAUGAAUUAGGAUACCUGAAAAGAAAGAAUGAAAAUAACUUUUUUUUUUUAAAUUAUUUAUUUGGACAUUGUGACAAACAAGUGAUGUGCAUUGUUAAUUCAGAUUGCCCAAAAUGUCAAGUCUUGAAAAACGACAACAUUACAUGAUUCAUGAGAAGCCUAUCACUUUGAGAUUAAUUUAAUUAAAAAAAGUUCCGUUUGCUUAAUACUAAAAUGUCACGCGCAAGUUGUCCUGGACUAGAGAGUCGUUCACCCGUACUUACACCCAAAAGUCACGAGGAUCAAAACCAGAUCUGUCACUGCAUUUGCUUGAAAAAUGAUUUUACUAAUAUAAAAUAUUAGUAAAUAUAUAUUUUGAAAAAUUAAUAUUCGUGUUUCGAUAGCUUUCUAAGUGGUUUAUUUACAGGUAUUCAAAAUAUAUAUAUUUAGUAAUUUCUAUUAAAAUUUUGCGACAAUUGUUUGGCUGGAAUAUUUUUUUAUAAGAAAAAUAGCGAUCUCACACUGAUCCACAGUUGAGCCAAUUACCUAGUUAAAAGCUACCUCAAUAUUUUUUAUUUUUACCCUAAUGCAUGUCUGAUUCUUUUAAAAUUUUACGUUAUAUAUAUUAAACAAAAAUUAUAAUUUUAAUCAUUGAAAAAUUAAUGACAGACAUCUUUUGAAUAAUUUUUUUUUGAAAAAUACAGAGCUAGAGAUAAUGCUAUAAUUGAUUGAAUAAGAAGGCUACAACUUGAUGAUAACUUUAUUGCAAUGUUGCGUGAUCUCAAUAUAUUAUUGGCUUGUGUGAGUAAAAGCUGCUGGCUCUUGUUUUACUAAUUUGCCUUUGUAUUUGACUGGCUCGACAAAGAAUCGAUUUACCUCAUACUCAAAUUACAAACAUCGAAACCGGAUCUGUCAUUACGUUAAUUGGCCUCCUAAAAUAAUCAAUCACUUUCUCUUUAGUCUACCAUCCACUCUUUCCAGUCGCUUAGUUUCAUUCUAAUCAUCUAAACGCUCUUUGCUACUGUUUCUUCUAUUCGUCAUUGUUCUUGUUCUGUUAUUAUUUAGCUUUGCUCACUCCUCAGUCUCAUUUCUUAUUCUGUACCCAUCAGCUCUUUUAGCUCUUUACGUCGUGAUCGAAACCCUUUUCUUGUUUCCUUCAUUUCAUCUGAAAAACACGAACUGCCUGUCCUAUCGCUGUCUCUUUGUUUUUACUUUCCUUUGGCUUUCUUAGCUUCUACGUUUUUGUCAGGAUUCGAGAUGCUGGAAAUCAUUGCGACUAUCGUCUUGGAACUUGUAAAAUGCUUGGCUCCUCCAACUGAACGCCAACUUGUGCAUUUGCGAAAGCGGAACUACAAUGCCAACUUUGAGAAUAUCAAGGCGGAAAUGGAGAAGUUGAAGGUUGAACGUGCGAGCAUUCAGCGCAGGGUUUCAGAGGCGAAAGAAAAAGGGGAAGAGAUUGAAGAGAAGGUUGAAAAGUGGCAGGUUAGUGCGAACGGCAUCAUUGACCGGGCAGCCAAAUUCAUUGAAGAUGACGAGUCAACGAAUAAGCGCUGUGUCAAGGGCUUGAGUACUAUUUGGAAGAGUCGCUAUCAGCUUAGCAAGAAAGCAGAGACGGAGGUGAAGGCCAUUAUUGAACUUGGAGAAGAAGUUAAGAAGUUUGAUACUGUUUCCCACCGUACCAUUCGGGAGCAGAUACGGCUUAAGUCUAGCAAUGGUUACGAGGCCUUCAAAUCAAGACUUUCUACUUUGCAGUCUAUAAAAAAUGCAUUGACGGAGGCGAAUGUCAGCAUUAUUGGGGUGUACGGCAUAGGCGGCAUUGGAAAGACCACACUGGAAACAUCUUGAAUUGGAGAAGAAGCUGUUUUAUCGGGUGGUUUUAUCAGAGGUUUCAUAAACUCCAGAGAUAAAAAAGAUUCAAGGGGAAAUUGCAGAGAAGUUAGGUCUGGAGUUGUCCGAUGAAGCUGAAUAUAGAAGAGCUAGCAAGCUGUAUGACCGAUUGAAGAGUGAGAAUAAGAUUCUUGUGAUUCUAGAUAAUAUCUGGAAACAUCUUGAAUUGGAGACGGUUGGAAUUCCUUUUGCAAAUAAUCAUAAAGGAUGUAGACUGUUGCUGACAGCACGAGAUAAUACUGUGCUUUUAAGUAUGGGCUCCAAAGAUAACUUUUUGAUUGGCAAUCUAACUGAACAAGAAGCCUGGAGAUUGUUUAAGAUAAUGAAUGGUGAUGAUGUUGAAAGUUUUAAGUUCAAGUCUACAGCAAUUAAUGUAGUUAAGGCAUGUGGAGGUUUGCCCAUUGCGUUGAGGGCACUGAGAAACAAGAGUCUCCAUGAAUGGAAGAAUGCCUUGCGAGAGCUCCGAACGCCUUCAAUGGUAAACUUCGAAGGUGUGUCUGCAGAGACUUAUUCAAGUAUUGAGCUGAGUUUCAAUUAUUUAAAAGGUGAGCAAGUCAAGAAAAUUUUUCUGCUUUGUCGUCUAGUAGGUAACAGUGUUUGGUUUUCAGACUUAUUUAGAUACUCCAUGGGUUUGGGCAUAUUUCAAGGAGUCAACAUUCCCUUCAUAUUUACCAAAGGUAAGUGAUAAAUCCUACAUAUCCCACUCAAGAAUGCAUAUGUUUUUUCAAUCUCAAGUACCUAAAGUUUUCUUCUACGUUUAUAAAAAUUUCAGCACCAUCUCCCUAUAAUUCUCCAAGCUCACGACACAGCUAUAUAAGUGUUUAUGCGUUAUGCCAAAACAACACAUGACACCCAUUCACCUAGUACGUACCCAGAGAACACGAGGAGCAGCUACCGAAAAAGCCAUUUUUACGUGGGAAGAAAACUUCAGCUACUAGCUACCAGAGAGAACUAUGCAUUCCCAAACUGUCCAAGCCUGGACAAUUCAAGAAUUAUUAAUAGACAUAUGAUCCUCACUAUCAUCCAAAGAUGACACUAAUACAACAUGUGUCUAUUAAUAAUUUCUUAAACAAGUCUAAGCUUUCAAUGCACGUAUCAAAAGUUUAAAAUUGAAUCUGAAAUUUGAAUAGCACAUAAAUAUCAUAAAUCUCUUCAAUUUAUUCCUGAUACAAUGUAGCAUUAUUUCACAUAUCAUUUCUUAAGCAAAACCAUAAAAAAUACAAACGAUAAAUACAUUUUCCCACUGAUGCAGAUUAUGUUUACUGAGCAAUAAGUUUUAAGCCAUUCAUUUUGAAAUACUUCUGCCUAUUCUUUCAACAUAUAACUAGUACGUACACACAAUUAAUAAAUUAAAAAAAAAAACCUUCUGGUGAAUCUUGCAAAAUCUUCCUUUUUUCUUUUUUUUUUCUUUUUCUUCUUUUUUUUGGGGGUGGGGGGGUGUGUUGGGGGAACUAUGAAUCUUGCAAAUCCUCAAGAAGCUAUGUUAAGACAAGGCCAGCUUACUAUUAGGGUAUGAAAGAUAAAACCUUUUAUUUCCUUUUCAGAAUAAAAAGAACAUUGACAGUGUUAAAAAAAAUCUAGAGGAUUUCAGGCCUCCAGAUCCUUACAAAUCAAGGAUAUUAAAAAAAUUUACUUAGAGGAGAAAGGUUAUGCUCAUUUGUAUCUUGUUAGAAGAAAUUGAUCCAAAGCCUCAGUUUUAAUUAACUUCAUAUAGCCAAUGAUUAGGUGUUUAAAAACCAAUGAAUAUUUUUAUAAGAAAUCGACAAUAUUGUUGAAAGAAAAACCAAAUAAAAAUAAUAAAGCCAAUGAAUAGAUCAAGGCUCUUUGUGGUCUAAAACUAAUCAAACUAAGUUGUGGGCAAAGGCGAAUAUGUUUGUUUGGUCAAUAAUAAGCUCAACAAAUCACUAAUAAUCACCUAAUCACUAUUCCUUAUGCUCUGCAAUAUAAUGGCCUGGGUAAUGGCGCCAAGGCAGAUAAUAACUAGCUAGCCAGUUAUGAUAGUUGAUUAACUUAACCUACUGGAAAUCUGUAGACCAAAACGAAGAAGCUUUGCCUAGAACUAGAAUAGGAACAUUCAUACCCAAAACUGAUAUACACGAUUAAGAAACUUGAUUAUAUGGAUAUUUCUGGUGGCCACACUUAAAGAGAAUUUUCAAAAGAUGCUAAGGUACACCAAAUCCCACUAUUUCAUACUCAUAAACACAAAAACCCAUGGCAAAAAUUAAUGACUAUAUCAAAUAAAAUCAGUCAUAGGACAAUGAGAUUAGGACAACUUGAUUUGUAUACCAUAAAUCUGCAUAGUGAACUAUAUUUCUGUUAGAACUCUGAAGUUUUUCUAUUAAAUUUUUUUCUCUGCUAGGUAAACCACUUUUAACUGAAAUGCUUAAGCCAAUAUUGACAAUCAUAGACAUAAAAGUAUUAAUAGGCUCAUUCAAGUGAAAUGAGCAUUAUUUCACACAUCCUUUAGGUUUUUAAGUUAUUUAGAAGUCAUUCAUGUUAAAAAAAAAAUCAUAUACUUUCAAUAUAAUUAGUACAUACACAAUUAAUUAAUUAAAUAAAUUUGUUUCAGCUAAUAUAGGAACUUAAUUAAUCAAAGCUAGUAGUUAUAGCUAGGACUUGAACGAGGCACCUUUCAAAGUUCAAGAAGAGCAUCUGAACAGAAUGAAAGCAAUUUGUAGAAAUGGUAAUGAUGCUUUACAUCUACAUGCUCUUACACAAUAUGAACUUUCAUUUACUCCAAGCUCUUAUUCUACAAGUCAAUUCAGUUUGUAGACGCACGCCAUUGUAAAAACUUUUGUAUUAUAAUUUCUGAAAAUAGAAUGUAACAUUAUUAAUAUAGAAUCAGCAAUGUAUAUAACUUAUCAGACAAUAUAACAAGCACUUGGUGAGCAUACAAGAUAAACUAAAACAAGUUAUCUAGAAAAUGAAACUAAAACCCAAGCUCCGCUAUUCAUUGUAGAAGCUUUAAACAUAAAAUUAAAGUAAAUCUAAUAGCAAAACAUUAGAAUGGAUAUUGAAAUUAAAGCUAAAUUCAAUAGUAAUUCAAAUGAAUCCAUUUGAACUUUGUAAAUUCCGCAGAACAAAAUUAAUUUGAGUGAGCAAACUCACCAAUGGAACAAGAACACAGGGGCUUCAACUUGUAGGAAUAAAAAAAUAUUGCUGGCGGGACAAAAAUUGACAAUAACAGCUACAAUACGAAUUUUAAAAAAAAUCAAAAUCUAUAAUUACAAGCUAAGUAAGAGAAGAAACUCAUAAUCACAAGCUUAACUCAAAAGAUGAAGGGAGAACACGAUGAAGAAGAAGAUGGCUGGUGUUUUACGCCGUUCGCCGGCAACCAGUUAGGUUUACGAUGGUGGCUAGUAACACGGAGUCCAGCGAAUAGUUUUCUAACUGGAAAUAAAUUUAAAAUUCUAAAAUAGUACCGAACGGCUCAAGCUCUCUAUAUAGUUACUAAUUCAAUUCUCCUUCGAAAGGUUCUCUCUGUCCUAGAGAGAACUUUGAAUGGAAGAGUAAAAGGGUCCUCAUGACUCGAGUAGUCACUCACAGGUGAGUGAAGUAUUUCAUUUCGUUACCUUACAUCCUAGUUCAAGUAGAUAUUCAGGUCCUUUUAUUGGGGUGAGCAGAGUUGGUGAGGGGUAUAAAACACAGGGUAUUAACAACCAAGGCUGUACAUCAAUUUCUCUAUCUGUUAAAAAGAGAGCUUCCAUAAAUAUGGAUACUGAGGAACUGAUUAGGAAAUGCAAAGCUAGGGGAGGAUAAAGAAAAGAUAGUGAACUUUGAGGGAAGCAUGAGGAGCAAAGGAAGACAAGUAGUAGCUGGUUGUUUGGUGGGUAAAAUCCUACACAACAGGAGUGUUAAUCAAGAAGGAUUGAAGAGUGCGCUACAAAUGGUGAGGCGGACAACCAAAGAAGUUCGGAUUGAAAGCUUGGGAAAUAAUGUCUUUUUGUUCAAAUUUGCGCAAGAAGCAGACAAGAAAAGAAUCCUAGCAGGAGGUCCUUGGCAUUUUGACAGAGCAUUGAUAAUCCUCACAGAGCCAAAAGGAAUUGGGGAGGUUACUAGACAAGCCUUCACACAUACUUCAUUUUGGGUACAACUUCGGAAUGUACCAAUCAUGUGUAUGGAAAAGGACAUCCUAAAAGUGUUGGGGGAGCAAAUCGGGACUGUGGAAUAAGUAGAGACGAACGGAUAUGGAGAAUGUAUUAGUGAAAUUGCUAGAAUACGAAUCUCUGUUGAUAUAACACAACCACUGCCCAAAAUGAUUUUUCUCAGACUAGAAGGGGAAGAAAAAAUCCCAAUGCCAGUUGGCUAUGAGCAUCUACCAGACUUUUGUUUUUGUUGUGGACAUAUUGGUCAUAGCUUCAAAGAGUGUGCUCAGUACAAGGGGCAAGCUAAAGAGCAGCUACCAUAUGGGGUCUGGAUGAAAGCGAUCAAGAUAAGUGAAAGAGCAAAACUGAACCGCAGUAGAGUAAAUUGGAGUAGAAACCAUGGGAAAACCGACGGUAAUCCAACAAGUUCAGAGCAAAUUGACAAUGGGAAAUCGCAACAAAGGCGGGUUGAACCAAACCCAGAUAUGGUGCACGGGUCGAAACCAGCAAAUGAGGAAACGGGUCAAAUCAUUGAACAAGCUCGAGAUGCUGAGGUGGAGUGGAAAGCUGAUGAGCAUUUAAUGCAAGAUAUCGGAGGAUCGAAAAAGAAGCAAAUCAGGGACAGUAAGCACGAGGUAGCAGCUGACAAUGGAAAAUCUUUUGGAAAUUCGAGAUUUCAAGCGAGAAAGGAAAAUACGAAAGAGAGGGAAAAUGGAGGAGCUGAUUCAAUUGAAUUAGAUUCGGGUACAGUGGGCUCAGAACACCAAAUUCAAAAAACCAAAAAUCAAGCAAAAAAGGGAACAAAAAAAUAUGGUUUGGAUAAAGGGCCACGCAUGAACUACUCGAGGCCCAAUAGAAGGAAAUGGAAGCUGCAGGCUCGGGCAACAUGUAACAAGAGUGGAUGCAAGGCUAGUCCAAAGGUUUCAAAAAGCUCAAGUUGUCACCUAAUUGGACCAAGCCCAAAACACAAAAACAUAAAGCUUGUUAGCCCGAUUAAAUCAGCAAUGAAGCAAAAACAAGAAGGCUCCCCAGCAGCAAAGCUCAAACUUACUUGGGAGCCGUUGGCAGUGGAAGAAAUGGAGAUGGCAAUUCCAAGCUUAGAAGAGAUAUCGGCGGAGGCUAGUGGCCAGCCCCGCCGGAAGCCAUGAGGAUCCUUAGUUGGAACGUUCGGGGUUUGGGGAAUACCCGAACGUUUCUAGCAUUGCAAAAGAUUCUCUAGUUGCAUAGGCCUCAUCUUUUAUUCUUGUGUGAAACGAAGUUGUUGCCUGCGCAAAUGAACGGGAUUAGUAGGAAGUUGAACUUUGAAAAUUGCUUUAAGGUGGAUAGAAGAGGUAGAGGAGGAGGAUUAGUGAUGUUGUGGAACUCUGAAAUUGAAGUGCAAAUUAAAUCUUUCAGCAACCACCAUAUUGAUGCUAAGGUUCAAACUGAAAAUGGGAAGCACUUUCGAUGCACCGACGUUUAUGGCCAUCAUGAGGCAGGGCAAAAGAAACAUACUUGGACACUUCUGAGGCGGUUGGCAGGAUUAUACCCUUUGCCUUGGUUAUGUUUUGGCGACUUUAACGAAGUAUUGCAUCCUUAUGAAAAAACAUGAGGUAAUGAAAGAGAGCUAAGCUUGAUCAGAAACUUUAGAGAAGCUUUGCGAGAUUGUAACUUAGUUUGACGUGGGAUACAAAGGAUACCCAUUUACCUGGAAUAAUGGGAGAUAUGGGCCUCAUUACAUUGAAGAACAGCUUGAUGGGUUCUUGUGUAACAGGAGCUGGAGUGACAUUUUCUACGAUUGUGCAGCAGCUCAUCUAUCUACUUGGACUUAUGAUCAUUGUCCGUUGUUGAUAGAAGUUCAAGAAAGGGGGAGGGAUUAUGUUGGAAGAGAAAAAAAUCCACUCGAAUUCAUUAUGAGGAUUUAUGGAGCCCAUAUGAAGCUUGCAAAGAAAUAAUCAAGACUGAUUGGAGUAGUUACGGAAGCUAGAAUGAUGCAAAUCCCAUACCCUUAUUUCAAAAGGUGGUUAAAGAAUCAAUGGCUAGGCUGCUUGUGUGGAGCAAGGAAGAGUUUGGAGAAAGAGAGAAGAUGCUGAAGCAGAUUAUGAAUCAGCUGGAGAGGCUGAAACAAAGCUGCGUGCAAUAUGAUAAUGGGGAGGAGAUUAAGAAGUUAGAGGGGCAGAUUCAAGAUAUCCUCAUUGAUGAAGAAAUAUUUUGGAAGCAGCGAUCGAGGGCAGAGUGGUUGAAAGCAGGGAACAAAAAUACCAAAUACUUUCACUACAAAGCAUCAUCGAGGAAGAAAAAGAACCAGAUUUGGGGAAUUGAAAAUGGGUCAGGAAGCUGGACUGAUAAGGCAGAAGAGGUGGAGUAUGAGUUUUACGAAUAUUUCGCAAAACUCUUCACUACAUCAAAGCCAAGUCAAGAAGAAAUUUCGGCAGCAUUAGAAGGCAUCACGCCAAGAGUCUCAAAAGCCAUGAAUGAGCAUUUGGAGCAACCUUUUACACCGGAGGAUAUUACGGAAGCCUUAGCUCAAAUGUCUCCAAUAAAAGCUCCGGGACCAGAUGGUUUUCAAGCAGCCUUCUAUUAGAAGCACUGGAACAUGGUGAAGAAAGGGGUCAUCACAACCUGCCUCCACAUUCUAAAUGAGCAAGGUACUAUGGCUCCUCUUAACCAUACCUAUAUUGCUUUAGUCCCAAAGGUCAGAAAGCUUAAGAGAGUAACAGAUUACAGACCAAUUAGCUUGUGCAAUGUGAUCUAUAGAAUUGUGGCUAAAACGAUUGCAAAUAGGCUGAAACAUAUCCUCCAUCAAGUUAUUUCCCCAACAUAAAGCGCUUUUAUUCCUGAUAGGCUUAUAACAGACAACAUCAUAGUAGGAUAUGAGUGUCUACACAAAAUUAGGCAUAGUAAGGGAAAAAUAAAUGGGCUGGUAGCUUUGAAACUUGAUAUUAGUAAGGCUUACGAUAGAGUCGAGUGGAGCUUCUUAGAACAAGCCAUGACUAGGUUGGGUUUUUCUCCAAAAUGGGUGAAUCUAAUUAUGAGAUGUAUAACUACAGCGUCUUUCGCUGUGAUUAUAAAUGGAGUACCACGAGGAGUUAUCCAACCACAGAGGGGUCUGAGGCAAGGGUGUCCACUUUCUCCAUAUUUGUUUAUCAUGUGCGCAGAAACUUUUUCUUCUCUAAUGUUACAGGCGGAAAGGCAGAAACUCAUUCAUGGAUUAUCAUUCGGCAAAGACAUAAAUAUCUCGCACCUCCUCUUCGCUGAUGAUAGCCUAAUUUUUAUUCGAGCUUCGCCUACGGAUUGUCAGAAUCUGAAAAGAAUUUUUGACUGCUAUACUACUGCAUCAUGACAACUCUUUAAUUUCGAGAAGUCAUCAAUGUUUUUCAGCAAUAACACCAAAGUUGAGCAAAUUUCAGCCAUACAGAAUAUUUUUCAGCUCAAUGUGGUUUCAAGGCAUGAGAAAUACUUAGGUUUACUAUCAAUGAUAGGGAGGAAGAGAAGUAGUUUUUUCCAAGAUGUCAAACUCAAGGUGAUGGAGAAGAUAUCCAAUUGGCAGCAUAAAUUUUUCUCUAGUGGGGGCAAGGAAGUGUUGAUUAAGGCUGUGGCUCAGGCUGUUCCAGCGUAUGCCAUGAGCGUGUUCAAAGUUCCUCUUGGAGUUUGUGAUGAUAUUUAGAAAGCUAUUGCCAAUUUCUGGUGGGGAUCCAAAAAAGAGAAGAGAUGUAUUCACUGGGCGAAAUGGGAAUGACUAAGUAUAGCAUUUAUAAAAGAAUCCUUAGUCUUUCCAUAUAGAAGAACUUACAAAAUAAAUUAGUAAUUUAUUGUUGUGCAAUAAAAUAUUUUCAUGCAAAUAUAAAUCAACCCUUUUUCCCUAAUUUCUUUUUUACAUCUAAAAUUAACAUAUAAAAUAAAUUUUACCAAUAAUUCAAUUUUUUUUUAAAAUAUAAUAUAAAACAAAUACUAUAAAGUCACUGCGUGUGACCGUAGAUCAUCAAUUGACCUCAUUAGUUAUUACGAUUGAUGAUGAUCAGAUCGUACCCAACUUGGAGGAACUAUCACUAAGUGGAAAAGAUGUGAAGAUGAUUUUGCAGGCCGAUUUCCCACAACACCUUUUUGGCAGUCUUAGACAUCUAGAGAUUGCUGCAGAUGACUCAGCUUGUUUUCCAAUCUGGAACGUACUGGAGAGAUUUCACAAUCUCGAAAUACUCAUACUGUGUUAUUUUUCAUUCCACGAAGAGGUAUUUUCGAUGGAAGGAUGCUUAGAGAAACAUGUGGGGAAGUUGGCAAUGAUAAAAGAAUUAGAGCUGUACUGGCACUAUCAUCUGAAGCAGCUGUGCAAACAAGACUCCAAACUUGGCCCCAUUUUUCAGUAUCUUGAAAUUCUAGGAGUAUAUCAUUGUCAAAGUCUGUUAAUUCUAUUGCCAUCAUCAUCGGUAUCUUUUGGGAACCUAACAAAACUUGUAGCUUUCGAUUGCAAGAAAUUGAUACACUUAGUUACAUCCUCCACAGCAAAAACUCUAGUGCGACUCGUAUCACUUUGUGUAUACGGAUGCAGAGCAAUGACAGAGGUCGUAAUAAAUGACAAAGACGGGGUUGAAAAAGAAGAGAUUGUUUUCCGUAAAUUGAAGACGUUGGAACUGCGUGAUUUAGACAGCCUCACUAGUUUCUGCUCUGCCAAUUACACCUUUGAAUUCCCAUCUUUGCCAAUUUUAUUGAUUUCACUACAGGAGAAUCAAUCACGCCUCCGAGAGCAUACGUCUGGCAUGGAGAGACAGCGGGUCAAUGGCUUCGGGCCAAUAAUGUUCUUAACACAACUAUACAACAUUUGCAUGCUGAAAAGGUACGGAUAUACAUACUGCUCUCUAUCUCCCAUGGAAAAAUUUUACAAAAUUUGCUUUUUUUAAUAAAAUAUAGAUAAAAUGUUUGUUAUAAAGUAAAAGUUUAAAUUGAUGAAUAAGAAUUUUAUUUUCAGCUGUUGGCGGUGCCGUCGUCGUUCUCCACCCGGUACUAAUUUCAUAGGCUUCUUAUGACUUGGGAAUUGUGAAUUUUUAGAAGAAAGUCUCAACUAGUAAUUAAUUUUUAUUUCAUUUAUUUGAUCACAUGGCUUCUUUCGCAAUUUCAUCUGAAUUAUUUAGAAUGGGUCACUUGAUUUACUGUUAAAUUUGGAAUGUCAUUUUAAUGAUUCGUUCAGACUUUUAUGGACAGAUUUUGCAUCAUUGAAUGUCUUUUAGUCUAGUUUAAUUUUUUUUUUAUUUGGAGAGUUUCCCUUGUUUUCUAAAAUUGUAUAAUUCCUUUCAUACUUUUUAUGAUAAAAUUUCAUUAAAAGCCUUCAUAUUUUAUAAUUCCAUGAAAUCGUGCGUACUUUUUUCCUAUCUUUCUUCGCCAAUUAUUUGUUUUCAUCAUUGCUGUUCUGUUAUUUUAGUUUGUGCUCUGUUUGUUCAUUUGGUUUGGUUUGCUUCACACCUACCUUUCUUUGGAAACUUAGAAGGCAAAGGAAGUACUUAGAAAAUGCUCUUCCCUAUGAACACAUAAUUAAGAACAGCUGAAAAUCAUUCAUCGGAUAAAAAAAUUAAAAAUAAACAAAAUCUAAUCAGAGCAUUAUGCCUGGAACAAAUCCUUAAGCCAUCAAAGCAAAACUCUUCGCUAUGAAAAACUAUAUUGUGGAAAUAUUGUUUGAAAACGUUGGAUACCAAGAAAGGGACUAAUCUGGUCUAGUUUUAUGAGAAGUGCAGAAGAACAGUAUUUUCUCUGUUGUUCCUAUUAAAAUUCUUUACUCUGUGAUUGUAGAAUGUCUGGAUACUGAUGAAGAUUCAGGUAACUCUUCUUCUGUGCAUCAUUUGAAAUAAGGUCUUUUGUUUUUUUUGGGAAUAUCUCCUACUGGGUUAUAGCUCAUACAAAGAGAUAUUCUCAAAUGAAGCCGGAUACUGGUAGAAACAAGGGAGGAAGUUGGCACUGAUAAAAUGGAUAAUGAAGCAACUCCAAACUGGACUUCAUUUUCAAUAUCUUGAAAUUCUAAGACUAUAUUACUGCUUGUAAAAAUCUUUUAAGUCUAUUCCCAUGAUCAUCUGUAACUUUUGGGAAUCUAACAGAACUGGUGGUUUUCCAUUGCAAAGAAUUGUAACAUCCAUCCACUACAGCAGAAAGUCUAGUGCGGCUCGUAUCAAUGAAUGUAGCUGGAUGCAGGGCAAUGACAGAGGUGGUAAUAGGUGACGGAGAAGAAGAUGGAGCACCAAAUUUAAAUAGAGAUCGUUUUCAGCAAAUUGAAGACGUCAAGUCUGUGUGAUUUAUCUGUGUGAUUUAGAUAGUCUCACAAGUUUCUGCUUUGCCAAUUACGCUUUCAGAUAAAGAUUCUUGAAACUGUCCUAUUUAGAGCUGACAUUUCCACAAGAGUUAAGAGAAUAUAAAAAAUUCAUUAAUCGUUAGUUUUUAAUUUCAUUAUUCAAUGAAAGUCCUGUCAAAUUAAAUUGCCGCUAUUGAAUCUCUCGCUCCCCUUGCAAAUCUCUAUGUGCAAGUACCUAAAUUUACAAAUUUUACUUCAAAUUAAUGAAUGACAUAAUUUAUUUUCAGCUGUUGGAGGAGCCGUCGUCUCUCUCGACGCAGUACGAUAUGUUCUGAUCCCAUAGGCUUUUUAAUUUAUUACAUGGUGCUGUGAAAUUUGAAGAACAAGGUCCCAGGUAACUAUCGUUUUCAUUUCAUUUUGUUUGAUCUCUAAGUUUAUUUUAUCGUUUCAUCUAAAUUAUUUGCAAUGCGUCGGUUGGUUUAUUGUUAAUUUUGGAACAAAGUUGAUGCAACCAACGGUUGCAUAUGAUGAGUAGGAUAUCGCUCUGAGAUCAUAACUUGAAUUAUAGGUAUCUAUCUAGGGCGUAUAAUAUAUCAUUAAUCUAUUACUAUAACAUCGUAUUGGUCUCGUGGUCCAGCUAGAAAUUCUGUUUAUUUCAUAGUUAUUUUACAAGUUUAAGAUAUUUUCUUAUUUUUCUUAUUAUUUUCAAGAUUUUUAUUUUUUUUAUAAAUAUAAGAUUUAAGUACGAUUAUUUUAUUUUUAUUAGAAGAAUGUUAUUAUAUAAUAAUAUUUUAGGUUUGCCUAUUUUGGUAAAUUCGUAAUAUUUAGAAUUAGUAUAAAGAGGGUCCAAAAUCCAAAUUUUGUUAUUCAGACCUCUCUAUUAAUAAAAUUUCAGACUUUUCAAAAACUUGUGUUUCUCUAUAUUUUCAAUCUCAACGUCCAUGUUUCCGUUAUCAUAAAUUCUAAUGCCUGGUUCCAUCAGACCUCUCUAUUAAUUGAGGCUCUUGAAUAAGACUCUUUAUGACUUCAAUAUUUUACUUGAUAUGAAAAUUUCUUUCUAGAUAGAAUCAUUGUGAAGAUAAAUUGUGGUAUUACUGACAAUGAAUAAGUUGAAACAUCAACAGAGAUAAAUAUUGAGCAAUUAAUGUUACCAGCAAUCAAUUUGUGAGCACCAACAACCAUUUUCAUAUUUAAGCCGUUAGAACAGUAACACAAAAUAUGGCGAGUGGCAACCACACAAAUAAUCAAAUUCCUGAUAGAUUUUGAAAACUUUAAUUUGCUAGAUAUGUAUUUUAAUAUUUCAACAGGUGCAUCUUUUCUCUACUCAUGUGGCACGUUGAAUCAGAAACGGUUUGAAUGUCAAUAUUACUCCAAGUGCCUCAACCAAAUUCAGAAUGAAGAAAAUCAUCUGGUUACCUGCACUUUAGUUUAAGCAGCUGAUUAAGUUAAUUAGCACCAAGUAAUUCACAUACUAGUGAGAAAUUUCAUUAGUAAAUUCAUACCUGGGAGGAAACCAGCAUCUUGACGCUUUUGUGACCAAGAAAAUCUGCCAGAACCCCAAUUAAUGAAAAAAAAAUUAUAACAUCAUUUACAUAUAAUUUUAAAAAAUCAAUAGGACACUUACAGAGCACCUCCUACAGCUGGACCGGCAGUUUUGGUAAGCGACACCACUGUCAUAGCAAGUCCAUUAGCAGCUCCUCUUUGAUGCUGUUCCUGUUAUUAUACCAUAAACCAAAAAAAUAAUUUAAACUUUUGACACAUACAAAACUUGAAAAAGCUGAAAGCAUGGAAAUGUACUAAACAAACAAAAGAAAAUAUAUUUACCACUGCUCUGUUUUGCAGAAGGAACAAUCCAGUUAUUAUAGACACCUGAUGUUAUAAUUCAGGAAAAGUGAAAGAGAAUUACAACAUUUCUGAUAAAGAAGAUAUAAAAUAAUUUUUAUACAUACUUGCUAAUGGGUAAUACAACCUAAGUAUAUGAUGGGUGUCGAAGCCAACAAAAAUAAAUUCCUACUCUAAAUAAAUUGUGUAUAGUGAUUGAGCAGGGUCGUGUCCACAGAGAUCGGUAAUUAUUUAAAUCCUUUUGAAACGUAAAACGUAAAAUGGGGGAAUUGUUGACAAUAAUAAAAAUCAAAUUGAAAUAAACAAGAAUGCAAAUUAAAGUUGUAAUUCAAAUUGGAGAAAGCUCUGGUUGAAGGAAUUAACUCAGCUUGAUUCGACUACUGAUCAUUGAUUCAAAUAUAGAUUAUUAUUAUUACUUAUGAAUAGAUCGGUUAUAGCUACUGGGACCCUCUAAUAGCCAAUCUCUCCUUAACUAGUCGAUAACCAAGGUACGACCGUUGGUUAUUUCCCUAAUCAAUAGACAACCCUAGAUACGAUCAUAGGAUUUAAUCAAUUGACAGCCUGAGAAACCAGAGAGACCCAAAUCCUAAUCAACACAUAUGAUGAUUCAUUUAAAUUAGAUUGUUUAUUCUCACAACACAACUCUCUGCUAUGUUAUUUGUCACAAACAUUAAAUUCUUCAUACGAUGAAUCCUUUAAUUGACAAUAGAUUAAGUUGAUAAUUAAAUAGUGGCCAAUUACCUAAUUAACAAACAUAAUCAUGAAACUAAUUUAGAGAAUAAACAAAUACCCAAAAAGCAAUAAAACAAUUAAAGCACAAGAAAGAUCUCACAGUAGUGAUGAAUCAAAGCUUCAUUAUCCUUCAACCAGAAAAAUGGGUUUAGUUCCUUAUAGAGAGAAGAGAAAAAUUAGAUCUAGGGUUUCUUUUUCUCCAAUCCAAAAAUCCCCCUUUUUCACAAUAGAUUCCUCCCUUCAAUACUCUCUCUCUCUUCUCUUUUAGAAUUCUAUUUAAAAUAAAAUACUAAUAUCUGAAAUAUUAAAUUCGUAAUUACAAAAAUAACCAAAAAUACAAAACACGUUAAACUAAAAACUGCAGGUCCGCAGUUGACAGCACGCGCCCACGCCUUAUCAACAAAGUUCUUCUGACGCUCAGAAAUUUCUCCAAGAGAACAAUCCUCCUUAAACAUCAUCUUUUAGCUCAAUUUUAUCAUCAAUCAAUAGAAUUGCACCUACAAAAGUAAAACACAAGUAAAACAUUAUUAUUAAAUGCAAAACAUCGAUAUUAAGGGAAGUAAAUAAUGCAAAACUAGUGCAUAAAUUGCACUCUAACAAAUUCUCCCACACCAAGAUGAUGCUUGUCCUCAAGCAUAUAACUCAAGAUUAAUCCCAAAUCUCCACUCAAUUCUCAUCUCAACUCAUCCAAAAAUAAUUUUAAGCAAGCAUACCUCAAGAAAUUAAGUCGAUCAACAUUCGAGAGACAAGGAUUUUAAAGCAUAGAAUCUCAUAAGAUAGAAUAAGAACAUUCAACCACCAAGAAGAUCCAUUCAAAAUUCAAGUGCAACAAGAUGUAAUAGCCCUCUCAAUAACUUCACUCCAUGCACUCAAAGUGUUUAGGGUGUCAUUUAUCCACUCAAAUCAAAUCAAAGAAUGCUAUUACCAUAAGCUUGCUCAUAAAUCACAUCUCAAUCCACAAAACAUGAAUAAAAUGCAAAAAUCUAAGGGUCUUAAAAGGGUUGUAAUGGGGUUAAAUGGGUUAAAUGAAAAAGAAAGGUUUACGAAAGAAAAAGAGAUCAAAAUGAGAAGAAUGAACUCAUUGAAUGAACUUAUGAUAUCAAAAUGCUUAUUUCUACUCAAGUCACCAAGAAUGUAAACAUUUUUUUUUUCGAUUUUUCUUUUUCUUUUUUUUUUCUUUUUCUUUUUUUUUCUUUUUCCUUUUCUUUUUCUUUUUUUUUCAUUUUUUUUUGUUUUUUUUUUUUUCGAAUCAAACAAAAGAAACGAACCUUGCACAAUUGAAUUCAAGCAUAAUGCUUGUUGAUCUAAUUGAGAAACUUUAAUACAAGGUAGAAAAAGCAACAAAAUAUAUCCAUACAAUGAGUCCAAAAAUCUCCUUAAAUUGAGGCUCAAAAAGAAGAAAAAUGGUUAAGUAGACGGAGAGAAUUAGAUGGGUAAUGGUUAAGGCUCAAACAAAGGUAGCAAAUAAAGGUCUUCGGGUAAAGAAAAAUGAAAAUGCGAGAAUAGAAAAAUGGUAAAUGGUUUGCCCUUAUCAUUUUAAUGCCUAAAAUCCCGUAAUGUGGCUUCAACAUGCAUAACAAAGCAAGUUCUAGAAUAAACAAACUAGGAUUGAUAUUCACAUAACAAAAAUAAUUAGAGCAAAGUGGUUGCUCAUAGGCUCAAAUCCUCACAAAGUUGGUAAAUUUGCCAUCAAAUCAUGUACACUCUUCAAAUGAAUCAACCAUCAAUAGUGGUGUAGAAUGAGAAGAAGGUAUGAGUGAUAUAUAAAAGGAAAGGUAAAAAUGAUAAGAAGUGAGAAAGAUGAAAAGUGAAAGAUAAAAUGUGAGUGAUGAAAGAGUAUGAUAGAAUAAAAAUAGAUGUAAAUAAUUUGAGAUAGAUGGGAAAAAAAAAAAAAGUAGUGAGAAAUAAAAGAAAAGAAAAAAUAAUAAUAUAUAAAGCAUACUAACUCCAAAAUCAUUUAAGGAUGAGUAGAGUGAAAAAAAAAAAAGAUAAGUAGAGUGAAAACAAUAAUUCCAGCAUCAAUAAUGCAAAAAUCCCUCCCCCACACCAAGAACUUACAUUGUCCCCAAUGUAAGAUAAUCAAAGCUCACAUAAAAAUUAAAGCAUAAGGAUAAAAGUUAAAGGGCAAAAAGAAACUUCCCUGAAUUGUGAGCUUUGAUCCACAUAACGUCUAUGGGCUUGGCGGAAAUGGUGGGGUAAAUCCCACACUCUCAAAGUAUGCGGCCAAAUUCUGCUCCAUUUUGUUCAACUUGUGCUCCAUUUUCUCUAACUGAAUGCUCAAAGGUGGUGCGGAUGUAGAAGGAAUAGUUGGCGGGGCAACAGUGUCGUCGUCAAACUCGUCAUCAGAGGUAGCACCACUCCUAGCAUAAAGCUUCUUCGGAAGUUGAGUGGGUCCUGGUUCAGUAAACUGAAAUCUCCCCUCCUUGAAUUCAACCACACCUGUUCUUUCAAACACAAACAUAUCCAAAAAUUCCUUUUUGCAAGCAGGAUGCAAAUCAUUAUUGUCAGGAUCAAGCACACAUAGGUUUAUAGCUAACAGAGUAAUGUAUGGACCAAGAAAUAAAGUCCUAUACCGUUUAAGCACACUUUGAAAUUGAUCCGCUAACCAAAAACCUAAAUUAGGCCUCACAUCAUUUAACAUGCACCAGAUAAAAUAAAAUUCAGUUUUAGAGAAAAUUCCUGAGUGAUAUUUCUUGCCUAAAAAAUUAUAUGCUAAGAAUCGAUGCACACAUUUCAAAACAGGAUCACGUAAGAAAGAACUCUUUGAUUUACUCGGGUCAUAGGCAUUGUGAUCAACAGAUAAAUUACGCCAAAGACCAUAAGGCUCAAAAUUUUUGCUAAAGUCACAAGUUGUUCCUAAAUAUUCAUCACUAGUAGAAUAAUCAUCAUCAAUGAAUCCUAAAGCUAGGUUAAAAUCCGUGAUAGAGUGUGAAAAACUUCGUCCCAUUAACCUAAACUUAAUGACAUCCGGGGUAUGCAAAGUAAAAUCAUUCGGCAUAGUGAAUUGAAAAGUAGCAUAAAACUCCCUAAUCAACUCAACAUAACCCAAGCAAUCAACAUCAACAAACUUACGCAACCCAAUCUUAUCUAUCAAAGAAUCAAAAUUAUCUUUAACAUUUAAUUUUUCAAGAGUCGGGUAAUGAAUAUACUUAGCUGGAAGUAUUUUGCGCGUGGAAAUAUCUUUGUACCUCUCUUUCUCUUGUUGAGUCGCGAAUGCGAGGCACCCUCCGAGAUUGGAUUCCGCAAGUGGCAAAACACUCAUGCCUUUUUCAUGCUUCGAUCUUUGUCUCACGGCUUGGCGUGAAUCUGAAAUUAUGUUCCAUGGAACCGUAGUGGGAGCGGCAAUCUUAGAUUUCUUUGCGACGGGUGUCUUUUUCGACGACUUGGAAGUAGAUGCUUUCCUCUUCGGCAUUGUUACAAUAAUUGCACUCACGGAUUUCGAUUUACUCGGCUGGAAUACAGGGCGUAGGCUGGUUGUGUUGCGCUUGCUGCUCGGCUGGAGCUUGUUGCGCGAGUUGGGGCUGGUUGUGCGCGCUGCUGAGGCUUGCUUUGCGGGUGCUGGUUCGUUGCUGUGUUGCGCGCACGGGGCUGUUGCGCGGGAGAGCCAGUUCACGUUGCGGGUCUGCGUUGCGGAUCUGUUGCGCUGCGCGCGCGGGACUGAUGUGCUGUGCUGAGGCUGAUUCGCGCUGCUGCUGGUUGCGGUGCGCGAUGCUGUGCGCGGCGGCUGGGGCUGCUGGAGCUUGCUGCUGGUUCUGGGCGUACUCGUCUGCUGCUGCUGGUUGCGCGGUGAAGGCUGGAGCUGAUGCUGCUGUAAAACGAUAAUCAACAGUAAUUUUGGAAUUAGGGAUUUGUAAACAGUGAUUUUCGAUUUUUGGUUUUUUUUUUUUUUAUAUAUAUAAAUAAAUAUAGAAAAGAAAGAAAGGAACGAAAAUAAAUAAAUAAAUGAUGAUUUUCGAUUUUCGAUUUUUGGUUUUUUUUUUUUUUUUUUUUUUUUUUUUUUUUUUUUUAGUGAUGAAUCACUUUGAGACACUAAAAAUUUCAGAAGUACUUUUCUAAUAAGUACGUGGGCACGCCUUAUCAAAAAUUUUCUUCUGACCAAAAUAAGCAAACAAAUUAAAUUUCAGAAGUACUUUUCUAAUAAGUACGUGGGCACGCCUUAAAACUUUGUGACAUUAAAAAUCACAGAAGUACUUAUUAGUUAAGACGUGGGCACGCCUUAUCAAAAAUUUUCUUCUGACCAAAAUAAGCAAACACAUUAUUUAUUUUUUUUAAAAAAAAAAAAAAUCUGAAUCAAAAUUAAAAGAAGAUAUAACAAAAACCAAAAUAAAUAAAUCAUUUGGGUUGCCUCCCAAAAAGCGCCUUUGUUUUAUGUCUUUGGCUAGACACAUUUAUGCAUCAAUCUCCAUAAUUGGGACUCUCGAGAGCCACAUCCUCCAUAAUAUUCACCGAAAAACCUUCAUAAAAAGGUUUUAAGCGAUGACCAUUAACCUUAAAAACUUUGUCAGAGGUCGGACUCCGAAUUUCAACUGCACCAUGAGGAAAAACAUUAGUAACAAUAAAAGGUCCAACCCAGCAAGAACGUAAUUUACCCGGAAAAAGUUUAAGCUUAGAAUGAAAAAGAACUUUUUGACCAACAGAGAACUCCUUUAUCAAAAUCAUUCUAUCAUGAAAUGUCUUCGUCUUUUUCUUGUAAAAAACUUCCUGCACUAUAGGGUUAAUAACAUCCACAGAGAAUAUUGAAUGUUCCUCACUAGGAUAUUUCAUGGCAUCAUUCAUAUUGAAUUCUAUAACCUCUCCAUCAAACUCCAUAGUGAGAGUCCCUUUAUGUACAUCCAUUUUAGUCCUAGCAGUCUUAAGAAAAGGUCUUCCUAGCAAAAUUGGGACAGAAUUAGAGGAGUUAUCAUCUUCCAUAUCAAGUACAUAAAAAUCAGCAGGAAAAACCAACUCAUUAACUUGUACUAAGACAUCUUCUAAUACCCCAUCAGGAUAUGCAUUAGACCUAUCAGCUAGUUGAAUUAUCACGCCAGUUUCUUUUAAUGGACCAACAUUCAAAGAUGAAUAAAUGGAACGAGGCAUGACAUUAAUAGAAGCUCCUAGAUCUAACAUAGCCUUUUCAACUCUAACACUACCAAUUUUACAAGGGAUAGUAAACAUACCUGGAUCCUUGCACUUAGGAGGUAGUUUCUUUUGGAGAACUGCUGAAACAUUCUCCCCCAUGUGAACUUUUUCAUCUCCUCUUAAUUUUCUCUUGGAGGUGCACAGUUCCUUAAGGACUUUAGCAUAUCGAGGUAUUUGUUUUAUAGCAUCUAACAAAUGAAUAUUUACCUCAACCUUGCGAAAUGUCUCAAGGAUGUCUUUAUCUUGUUCCUUCUUCUUGGAUUUUGCAAACCGGCUUGGAAAAGGAGGAGGUAUCACAAUAGGUAGGGGUUUCGCUCUUGUGGGUUGUGCAUCUUGAGAUUGAGGCAUCAAUUCAUUCUUCUCAAGCUCAUCUUCUACAUGCUUUGUCACUUUCUUACUAGGCUCUUGCAACUCCGUCCCACUUCUAAGGAUGACAGCACUAACGUUUUCCUUUGGAUUCACCUCAGAUUGUGAAGGCAAUCUCCCUAAUACUUGAGACUCCAGACGGCUCACUGUAGUCGCCAAUUGACUCAUUUGGUUCUCCAAGUUCUGAAUGCUUGCUGUAGUUGCCUGCUGAAAUUGUUGAGUGUUAGUCGCAAGUGAUUUAACAAUUUCUUCAAGAGAUAUACCUGACUUGGAGUUUGACUGUGGAGGUGCUGGUUGUCUUGGUGGAUACUGUUGUGGGAAUCCUGAUUGCCUAACUCCAUAGCUGAAGUUGGGAUGAUCCUUCCAUCCCGGAUUGUAUGUUUGUGCAUAAGGAUCAUACCUCCUCUGAGGCAUGCCUGGAAAUCCUCCAACUGCAUUGGCUUGUUCAACGGGUUCUUCUUGAAGUGUAGGACACAUAUCAGUUGAAUGACCCAUAUUGUAACAAAUGCCACAAGUCUUCACCUGUUGCACAUUACCUACAACAAACUUUUCCACAAGAGAAGUAAGUUUAUCUAAACGUUGUUCAACAGAAGAAAUAUUUACCUCAUUCACCGUUCUUGAAGUGGCAUCUUGUCUGCUGCCAAAUUGUUGUGCAUUGGCAGCCAUAUUUGAGAUCAACUCCCUUGCUUGAGUAGGGGUCUUGUUCACCAACACACCUCCACUAGCAGCAUCUAUCAUACUCAUAUCCAUCAAUGACAGUCCUUCGUAAAAAUAUUGAAUAAGAAGUUGAUCAGAAAUCUGAUGCUGAGGACAGCUGGCACACAAUUGUUUGAAUCGCUCCCAAUACUCUUACAAAGUCUCCCCAGGAAGUUGUCUGAUCCCACAAAUAUCUUUUCUGAUGUUGGCAGCUCUUGAAGCAGGAAAGUACUUCUCAAGGAACUGCUUCUUCAAACCAUUCCACAUUGUAAUCGAUCCAGGAGGCAAGUAGUACAACCAAUCUUUAGCUAGCCCAUCUACAGAGAACGGAAAAGCACGCAGCUUAAUCUGCUCUUCAGUCACGCCUUGUGGCCUCAUACUUGAGCACACAACAUGAAACUCCUUAAGAUGUUUAUGAGGAUCUUCACCUGCAAAACCAUGAAACUUGGGUAAUAAAUGAAUAAGACCAGACUUUAAUUCAAAAUUUACCUCCAAAUCUACAUAUUGAAUGCAGAGUGGUUGCUGAUUCAAGUCUGGUUCAGCUAACUCUCUAAGAGUUCUUUCUACAGGUGCAGGUCUAUCCAUCACUUGUUCUUCUGAAUCACUAGAUGAUUCAACUAAAUCAGGCACCGUAUCUGUUUCAGAAAGCAAAGGCGACGAGGAUCGUUGCUUAGCUCGCUUUGUCUGCUGUCUCAGCUGGUGAGCUGUCUUCUCAAUUUCAGGAUCAAACGAAAGUGUACCUGUACGAGAAGAACGAACCAUACACCAAGUAAAACGUAAAAAGGAUUAAAUAAAUGACACCAAUCCCUGGCAACGGCGCCAAAAUUUGAUGGGUGUCGAAGCCAACAAAAAUAAAUUCCUACUCUAAAUAAAUUGUGUAUAGUGAUUGAGCAGGGUCGUGUCCACAGAGAUCGGUAAUUAUUUAAAUCCUUUUGAAACGUAAAACGUAAAAUGGGGGAAUUGUUGACAAUAAUAAAAAUCAAAUUGAAAUAAACAAGAAUGCAAAUUAAAGUUGUAAUUCAAAUUGGAGAAAGCUCUGGUUGAAGGAAUUAACUCAGCUUGAUUCGACUACUGAUCAUUGAUUCAAAUAUAGAUUAUUAUUAUUACUUAUGAAUAGAUCGGUUAUAGCUACUGAGACCCUCUAAUAGCCAAUCUCUCCUUAACUAGUCGAUAACCAAGGUACGACCGUUGGUUAUUUCCCUAAUCAAUAGACAACCCUAGAUACGAUCAUAGGAUUUAAUCAAUUGACAGCCUGAGAAACCAGAGAGACCCAAAUCCUAAUCAACACAUAUGAUGAUUCAUUUAAAUUAGAUUGUUUAUUCUCACAACACAACUCUCUGCUAUGUUAUUUGUCACAAACAUUAAAUUCUUCAUAUGAUGAAUCCUUUAAUUGACAAUAGAUUAAGUUGAUAAUUAAAUAGUGGCCAAUUACCUAAUUAACAAACAUAAUCAUGAAACUAAUUCAGAGAAUAAACAAAUACCCAAAAAGCAAUAAAACAAUUAAAGCACAAGAAAGAUCUCACAGUAGUGAUGAAUCAAAGCUUCAUUAUCCUUCAACCAGAAAAAUGGGUUUAGUUCCUCAUAGAGAGAAGAGAAAAAUUAGAUCUAGGGUUUCUUUUUCUCCAAUCCAAAAAUCCCCCCUUUUUCACAAUAGAUUCCUCCCUUCAAUACUCUCUCUCUCUUCUCUUUUAGAAUUCUAUUUAAAAUAAAAUACUAAUAUCUGAAAUAUUAAAUUCGUAAUUACAAAAAUAACCAAAAAUACAAAACACGUUAACCUAAAAACUGUAGGUCCGCAGUUGACAGCACGCGCCCACGCCUUAUCAACAAAGUUCUUCUGACGCUCAGAAAUUUCUCCAAGAGAACAAUCCUCCUUAAACAUCAUCUUUUAGCUCAAUUUUAUCAUCAAUCAAUAGAAUUGCACCUACAAAAGUAAAACACAAGUAAAACAUUAUUAUUAAAUGCAAAACAUCGAUAUUAAGGGAAGUAAAUAAUGCAAAACUAGUGCAUAAAUUGCACUCUAACAGUAUAUGGAUCAAUGAUUAGGAUAUCCACUUACAGAUUAAACAUUCUUCAUCACAGAAGCACAGUUUAUCAAUAAGGCAAGGCUGAACCCAGAUAACAUUGCUAUGUAAGUGUAACUUGUCAAAAGCGGUAUCGAUAAAACCUGUACAUACAUAGAAAAUUACGUCACCAAAUCCAUGAAGAAAAGUAUUUUAUAAACAAAUAUGUUUGAGACAAACUAUCAAAUGAUCUAAAUGCCACAUGGUGUGUUCAAAAUUUUACCCCUGCAAUGCGUGUUAUUAUUAUUGGCCCGAUCAUCCUCUCAACGUAAGGGUACAUAGUAAGUUGAAAAACAAGGAGAAUGAAAUCUAUAGUAACUUCAAAAUGAGGACAAUCGUCAAGCAGUUUUGGGGGGUUGAUGCAUGAGAAAAGAAGUUAAGAGGAACGAGUAACAUUUUCAGUUUCGUAAUAAGUAUAAAUGGGGAGCAAGAGUAUCAGUUUUGCACCUGAGAUGGCAAGAACUUGGCCAACAUUUUCGGUUGAGUAACUCAGACCCCCGUACUUCCACCGGCUGAUAGCCCACAGUGAAAAUAUCUAACAGAAUAGUUGCAAUAUUAUGAUUUAAAAAAAUUACACAGAUAAGAAAUUCUUAGGAUCAGUAAUAGCCAUAUGUCUUCUUUAUGUAUAAAACUCUCAACAAUCCCAUCAACAGCAAUAGCACCCUCUGUUUCAGGUAGAAGUUAAGAGAUAACUUUGCAAAUAUCUAACAGAAUGCGAUCUGAUCCAGGAUCCUGGACUUUAUUCAAGUUCGGGAAAGCCAUUGGUCAUUGGACUAUUAAACCAUAUGGCUUAAUAACUUUCCCGAACAUUAACAUAGUUUAGAUUUUGGAUUGGAACAUUUUUAUGUCAUAAUAAAGUAGAAUAUAUAUAUAUAAACAAUCAAGUAGAGAUAUUUAUACCUCGGUGUAAGCGAUAUCAUGAAGCGAGAAAACACAAUAAACAAUAAUAGAAGAAAUAAAGGGCCAAUUCUUCAUGAGGCUUUUCUUAGCAGUGGCCUCCUCACUUCCUUCAUCUUGUUUAAAUUCUGCAUUGGACCCACAGGAUGCGGAUUCCAAAGCAUCACAUGAUACAUCAAGUGAUACACCAUCUUCAUUGUGUUUGUGCAAUGUCUCACACUGAUCCAUAGUUGAGAGAGGCUGUGGGGAAGUUAAUGGAGUUGAAGGAGAGGGAUAAUGAUAAUGAAGAUUACUCUUCAUAUGCUAGUGAGGAUUAUGUCUACUCUUCUAGAGCAAUGACUGAUGAGGACUUCUCAUUCUCAGUAACUGGCUGAACUCAACUUAUUUUUUCUUUCUUUGGCUUUUGGCAGCUGAUGUUCUUUUUGGGGUUAGUAGAAGGAAGGAUAAAGCUGGCAAUUAAAGGAAGCCAUUUAUGUUAAUCUUAGUAAUUUCCCCAUAUAUAGAUAUAUCUUUGAAUGUUUUUAACUUUUGCAAGGUUCAUUAUGUAACGAGGCAGUGACACUGAUUAAACUUGUAUUAUUAUUAUUAUUAUUAUUAUUUUGAAUAGAAGCAAAUUGAUUGUGUUAUGGGUUUCUUUUGCUUCCCAUCGGAUUAGCAACUGGCACUGGCACCGGCAUGAUUGGCAAAGGCCAAGUUGAAGCUGCCUGCAGACUCUCAGUGGACUGAAUUACAUAUUACAUAAUACAAGUGAAAGGAAGGGACUCGUAAAGCUUUAUUGUCGUAGUUUGGAUAAGAUUAAGAAUUGCUGUCGCUUCUUGUCAGAUUGCAUUGAAACGCUAGUAGUCGCUGCUGCGAGCAUUGGUAUUAGAAGAUUAGCACAAGCAGCCCCUACCUAUCAUGGACUCUGAUGUUAUGGACCUUACGGAUAUCAAUUACCUAGUUAAAAGCUAGUUAAAAGCUACCUCCAUAUUUUUUAUUUUUACCCUAAUGCAUGUCUGAUUCUUUUAAAAUUUUACGUUAUAUAUAUUAAACAAAUAUUAUAAUUUUAAUCAUUGAAAAAUUAAUGACAGACAUCUUUUGAAUAAUUUUUUUUUUUAAAAAUACAGAGCUAGAGAAAAUGCUAUAAUUGAUUGAAUAAGAAGGCUACAACUUGAUGAUAACUUUAUUGCAAUGUUGCGUGAUCUCAAUAUAUUAUUGGCUUAUGUGUGAGUAAAAGUUGCUGGCUCCUGUUUUACUAAUUUGCCUUUGAAUUUGACUGGCUCGACAAAGAAUCGAUUUACCUCAUACUCAAAUUACAAACAUCGAAACCGGAUCUGUCAUUACGUUAAUUGGCCUCCUAAAAUAAUCAAUCACUUUCUCUUUAGUCUACCAUCCACGCUUUCCAGUCGCUUAGUUUCAUUCUAAUCAUCUAAACGGCUCUUUGCUACUGUUUCUUCUAUUUGUCAUUGUUCUUGUUCUGUUAUUAUUUAGCUUUGCUCACUCCUGAGUCUCAUUUCUUAUUCUGUACCCAUCAGCUCUUUUAGCUCUUUACGUCGUGAUAGAAACCCUUUUCUUGUUUCCUUCAUCUCAUCUGAAAAACACAAUUGCUUGUCCUAUCGCUGUCUCUUUGUUUUUACUUUCCUUUGGCCUUCUUCGCUUCUACGUUUUUGUCAGGAUUCGAGAUGCUGGAAAUCAUUGUGACUAUCGUCUUGGAACUUGUAAAAUGCUUGGCUCCUCCAACUGCACGCCAACUUGUUUAUUUGCGAUAGCGGAACUACAAUGCCAACUUUGAGAAUAUCAAGGCGGAAAUGGAGAAGUUGAAGGUUGAACGUACGAGCAUUCAGCGCAAAGUUUCAGAGGCGAAAGAAAAAGGGGAAGAGAUUGAAGAGAAGGUUGAAAAGUGGCUGGUUAGUGCGAAGUGCGAACGGCAUCAUUGACCGGGCAGCCAAAUUCAUUGAAGAUGAGGAGUCAACAAAUAAGCGCUGUCUCAAGGGCUUGAGUCCUAAUUGGAAGAGUCGCUAUCAGCUUAGCAAGAAAGCAGAGACGGAGGUGAAGGCCAUUAUUGAACUUGGAGAAGAAGUUAAGAAGUUUGAUACUGUUUCCGUAUCAUUCCGGAGGAGAUACGGCUCAAGUCUAGCAAUGGUUACGAGGCCUUCAAAUCAAGACUUUCUACUUUGCAGUCUAUAAAAAAUGCAUUGACUGAGGCGAAUGUCAGCAUUAUUGGGGUGUACGGCAUGGGCGGCAUUGGAAAUACGACAUUGGUGAAGGAGUGUGCUAGGCAAGCCAGGGAAAGGAAGCUGUUUGAUCGGGUGGGUUUUUCAGAGGUUUCACAAACUCCUAACAUAAAAAAGAUUUAAGGGGAAAUUGCAGAGAAGUUAGGUCCGGAGUUGUCCGACGAAGCUGAAUAUAGAAGAGCAAGCAGGCUGUAUGAACGAUUGAAGAGUGAGAAUAAGAUUCUUGUGAUUCUAGAUAACAUCUGGAAACAUCUUGAAUUGGAGACGGUUGGAAUUCCUUUUGGAAAUAAUCAUAAAGGAUGUAGACUGUUGCUGACAGCAAGAGAUAAUAAUGUGCUUUUAAGUAUGGGCUCCAAAGAUAACUUUUUGAUUGGCAAUCUAACUGAACAAGAAGCCUGGAGAUUGUUUAAGAUAAUGAAUGGUGAUGAUGUUGAAAAUUGUAAGUUCAAGUCUACAGCAAUUAAUGUAGCUAAGGCAUGUGGAGGUUUGCCAAUUGCGUUGAGGGCACUGAGAAACAAGAGUCUCCAUGAAUGGAAGAAUGCCUUGCGAGAGCUCCGAACGCCUUCAAUGGUAAACUUCGAAGGUGUGCCUGCAGAGACUUAUUCAAGUAUUGAGCUGAGUUUCAAUUAUUUAAAAGGUGAGCAAGUCAAGAAAAUUUUUCUGCUUUGUGGACUAGUAGGUAACAGUGUUUGGUUUUCAGACUUAUUUAGAUACUCCAUGGGUUUGGGCAUAUUUCAAGGAGUCAACAUUCCCUUCAUAUUUACCAAAGGUAAGUGAUAAAUCCUACAUAUCCCACUCAAGAAUGCAUAAGUUUCUUCAAUCUCAAGUACCUAAAGUUUUCUUCUACGUUUAUAAAAAUUUCAGCACCAUCUCCCUAUAAUUCUCCAAGCUCACGACAUAGCUAUAUAAGUGUUUAUGCGUUAUGCCAAAACAACACAUGACACCCGCUCACCUAGAACGUACCCAGAGAACACGAGGAGCAGCUACCGAAAAAGCCAUAUUUACGUGGGAAAAAAACUUCAGCUACUAGCUACCAGAGAGACCUAUGCAUUCCCAAACUGUCCAAGCCUGGACAAUUCAAGAAUUAUUAAUAGACAUAUGAUCCUCACUAUCAUCCAAAGAUGACACUAAUACAACAUGUGUCUAUUAAUAAUUUCUUAAACAAGUCUAAGCUUUCAAUGCACGUAUCAAAAGUUUAAAAUUGAAUCUGAAAUUUGAAUAACACAUAAAUAUCAUAAAUCUCUUCAAUUUAUUCCUGAUACAAUGUAGCAUUAUUUCAGAGAUCAUUUCUUAAGCAAAACCAUAAAAAAUACAAACGAUAAAUACAUUUUCCCACUGAUGCAGAUUAUGUUUACUGAGCAAUAAGUUUUAAGCCAUUCAUGUUGAAAUACUUCUGCCUGUUCUUUCAACAUAUAACUAGUACGUACACACAAUUAAUAAAUUAAAAAAAAAAAAACUGGUGGUGAAUCUGCAAAAUCUUCCUUUUUUUCUUUUUUUUUCUUUUUCUUCUUUUUUUGGGGGGGGGGGGUGUUGGGGGAACUAUGAAUCUUGCAAAUCCUCAAGAAGCUAUGUUAAGACAAGGCCAGCUUACUAUUAGGGUAUGAAAGAUAAAACCUUUUAUUUCCUUUUCAGAAUAAAAAGAACAUUGACAGUGUUAAAAAAAUCUAGAGGAUUUCAGGCCUCCAGAUCCUUACAAAUCAAGGAUAUUAAAAAAUUUACUUAGAGGAGAAUGGUUAUGCUCAUUUGUAUCUUGUUAGAAGAAAUUGAUCCAAAGCCUCAGUUUUAAUUAGCUUCAUAUAGCCAAUGAUUAGGUGUUUAAAAACCAAUGAAUAUUUUUAUAAGAAAUCGACAAUAUUGUUGAAAGAAAAACCAAAUAAAAAUAAUAAAGCCAAUGAAUAGAUCAAGGCUCUUUGUGGUCUAAAACUAAUCAAACUAAGUUGUGGGCAAAGGCGAAUAUGUUUGUUUGGUCAAUAAUAAGCUCAACAAAUCACUAAUAAUCACCUAAUCACUAUUCCUUACGCUAUGCAAUAUAAUGGCCUGGGUAAUGGCGCCAAGGCAGACAUUAACUAGCUAGCCAGUUAUGAUAGUUGAUUAACUUAACCUACUGGAAAUCUGAAGACCAAAACGAAGAAGCUUUGUCUAGAACUAGAAUAGGAACAUUCGUACCCAAAACUAAUAUACACAAUUAAGAAACUUGAUUAUAUGUAUAUUUCUGUUGGCCACACUUAAAGAGAAUUUUCAAAAGAUGCUAAGGUACACCAAAUCCCACUAUUUCAUACUCAUAAACACAAAAAACCAUGGCAAAAAUUAAUGACUAUAUCAAAUAAAAUCGGUGAUAGGACAUUGAGAUUAGGACAACUUGAUUUGUAUACCGUAAAAUAACUAUAUCUGCAUGGUGAACUAUAUUUCUGUUAGAACUCUGAAGUUUUCUAUUAAGUUUUUUUCUGUUAGGUAAACCACUUAACUGAAGUGCUUAAGCCAAUAUUGACAAUCAUAGACAUAAAAGUAUUAAUAGGCUCAUUCAAGUGAAAUGAGCAUUAUUUCACACAUCCUUUAGGUUUUUAAGUCAUUUAGAAGUCAUUCAUGUUAAAAAAAAAAAUUCAUAUACUUUCAAUAUAAUUAGAACAUACACAAUUAAUUAAUUAAAUAAAUCUUUUUCAGCUAGUAUAGGAACUUAAUUAAUCAAAGCUAGUAGUUAUAGCUAGGACUUGAACGAGGCACCUUUCAAAGUUCAAGAAGAGCAUCUGAACAGAAUGAAAGCACUUUGUAGAAAUGGUAAUGAUGCUUUACAUCUACAUGCUCUUACACAAUAUGAACUUUCAUUUAUUCAAGAACAUAACACUACUCCAAGCUCUUAUUCUACAAGUCAAUUCAGUUUGUAGAUGCACGCCAUUGUAAAAACUUUUGCAUUAUAAUUUCUGAAAAUAGAACGUAACAUUAUUAGUAUAGAAUCAGCAAUGUAAAUAACUUAUCAGACAAUAUAACAAGCACUUGGUGAGCAUACAAGAAAAACUAAAACAAGUUAUCUAGAUAAUGAAACUAAAACCCAAGCUCCGCUAUUCAUUGUAGAAGCUUUAAACAUAAAAUUAAAGUAAAUCUAAUAGCAAAACAUUAGAAUGGAUAUUGAAAUUAAAGCUAAAUUCAAUAGUAAUUCAAAUGAAUCCAUUUGAACUUUGUAAAUUCCGCAGAACAAAAUUAAUUUGAGUGAGCAAACUCACCAAAAUUAAAAAGAUAUUGCUGGCGGGAAAAAAAUUGACAAUAACAGCUACAAUACGAAUUUAAAAAAAAAAUCAAAAUCUAUAAUUACAAGCUUAACUCAAAAGAUGAAGGGAGAAUACGAUGAAGAAGAAGAUGGCUGGUGUUUUACGCCGUUCGCCG